rnacentral:lncRNA from 1 species
UGAACAUGAUUGGAUAUACGAAAGUACAUGAUCAAUUACACUGAGUAUCAACUAAAUUAGUGAUGUCUUCUUUGUAAACAUGUUUAACAGAUAUGUCCAUUUCCAAUAUCAAUCAUACUGAAUAUUUAACAUGAACCGCAAGCAUAUAUAAUAAUGGCAUAUAAGGACCACUAAAUUUAGAAAAAAAAUUGAGAAUAGGACCACGAAAUUUCAAUCAAGCCACAUAUAUAAAAGAGAGUUUUUAUAACUCGGAGGCUCAGUAUUUCUGAAAAGACAUCUUCACAUACAUAUGGAGAUUAAUAUCACGAUGUAUGAUUGAUGCCUCAAGACCCUGAAUGAUAGCAUCACCUUAUACAUUCAAUAUAUAAAAAAGAUACAUAUCAAGGAGGCUUGUUCCAGUGGCACCGAGAUUCGAGCCUUUUCAGUUUUCGUUUUGUGCCUGAAUUUCCUACUAAUGAAUAUGCUAACUAGUUCCUCCUUGACAUUCUCAUUCUUUAUACAACCCGCUUGCACCAUUCUCAUUCCCAACUGCGAACCAUACAGUUCUUCAGUUAAGCAUCCAACAACCUUCAGCUUAAUCUUCAUGGUUGUUUUCGCCUUCAGAAUCUGUUUAAUAGCAGGGGUAGCUUAUAACAAAUCCAUAAGAGUAUGCUGCCGAGAAAGAAAAUAAAUCUAACACCAAGGAAAUGAGCAAGAAAAGAAUCACUGACCGGAUCGAACAUCCUCACCAACAUGACCUCUGGACUGAAUUUGUUUGACAAGCAUCCGGUAAAUCAGUACCCACCAAUAUAUGUGAAAGACUAGAAGUGAAAACAAGAGAGUGUUGAAAAGAUAGUAGUAUGAGGUUCUGUAGAUUUUUUUGUUCUCCUUGUCCAAGAUCAUAGCUAUUUCAUAACUGAAAAAGACACAAGACCAUUGAAUUGAUCAACAAAUGCUCUAAAAAAACUAAGUAGAGUAAUGCUGCUUCCUAAUCAGGUAAAGUAGCACCACAUGCCAGAACAACCAAGAAUGUUACCUUGUGCUUCUUAGAAUCCAGAAAGGAAACACUAUUAGCCGAAGAAAGAUCCACGGAGCCACAAAAAGUAGAAAUGCUACAACAGCUAGCCACUCACAGCUACUGUACUUCGCCAUCUUUCCGAUCUCUAGGAAUAUAUCACUUGCAUCAUGGAGGGGUAAAAUGACCGAGCCAGGACGAGAUAAUCUGUUUGGAAGUAGCAACAACUUCAAGUUUGACUAUGCUGUAUAUUGUUAUGGUAUACAAGGGCGAUUACACUCAUCUGCAUACCUGCAAAUAUAGGACACAACAAUCAGAACAACAAUUGCCACACGGUGAGACAUCAUGACUCCGAAGUCCUUGCGUCUUGUUUCCCAGAACAGAAGAUCAAAGAUAGAAUAUACGUAAAAUCCAGCGGCAUACAUGUAUACAGACUUAAGCUUCAGCCUGGAGAGAAAAACAAACAAUGUUGAAAGCAGCAGCACCGACAAAGCUUCCAAGAGGAUAUAGAGGAAGGCGAGAUUCGUCGUGAUCGUCGUUGCUAGCAAGGUGCUAUAAGAAAGUGAUGCUGUUGUUGAUGACUUAUUGCCUAACAGAAAGCUUGUAGCUCUCUUCUGCAAAAUGUAUGUGUGCUGAACAUGAUUGGAUAUAUGAAAGUAGAUGAUCGAUUAUGAAGACUAUUAUGUUAUGCUCCAAAUUCAAGUAUAAAGAGGGCGGCUAACUUCUGACGAGCGAGCGGAGCGAGGCCCGAUCAAUAUUGACCUAGGUUACCUGUGUUAUAUAUACCUCUUGUAAGCCGCCACACCGGAUAAGUUGAUCAGUUGUAAAUCCCCGGCGUUUGUAACCUCCCCGAUAUAGUGAAGUUCGGCUGGCUGGCGUCUGUGGUUUUUUCCCCUUCGUGUUGGAGGGGUUUGUAACCUCAUUUUCGAAAAUACAUGAAAUAUUUUACUUAAAACUCAUGAGGAUUUGAAAAAUUCACGAAUAUCUUUUAUUAAAUAAGUCAUUUUAUUAAAAUCGUUAACCAACCUCUUACAAUCUAAUCACACCCCCUCCCUCCUCCCUCCUCCCGCGACGCCCUCGCGGGCGCACCGGAGGCUAACCCUAGCUGCCGUCGGGGCUCCCGUCUUCCAUUCAUCCCCUCCCUCGCCGCCGCCAGGGGCGCGACUUGGCGAAGUCCUGCCGGCGGCGGGGUGCUCUUCCUCCCCUCGCGCGGGUGGCGAGACGGGGGGCAACUCAUCAGGGCCUGGGUGUCGCGCUAGGUGCCGGGCGCGACGCAGCGAUGGUGCGUUGGGCAGCGCGGGUGGUAGCGGACGCGCCUUGGUCGCCAGGGUCGGCGACGUCGAGGCCAGAUCUGGGGCCUGUCGACGCGGCUUCAGGUCUUUGCCCCUGCCAUGGCCACAGCAGGUGGUGGUGCGACGCAGCAGUGGCUGGUUGGUCGGCGGGCUGGCCGGGAUCCAGGGGCUUCGACGGCUGGACAACGGCAGGCAGCGCAGAUCGGCUCCUCGAUGAGCCUCUUCACAAUUGGCGGCGGUCCUUGGGAUCUCUCCUUUCCGGUGGGCGAGUGUGUGUUGGUGGCCUCGCGUGGAGUUGCAUUCAUCGCCGAGGUGGGGCGACACAAGAGGUGUCCGGUGGGAAGGCAGGCUGGAGGGAUGGGAGGCGCCGACGAACUCAGGCCACCUGUCACGGGCACAUGGAUGUGCCGACCUGGAUGCGCCCGCUCCCCCUCCUCCCCCGUUCCUUGGUUGUGUGUGGGCUACGGGGCUCCUGCUUUGUUCGAGGCGGGACGUAUGUUGCGGUCUCUUCGGUCGGGUGCGCCCUUUGGCCCAAAGCCGAUCACUUUGGUCGGUCUUGGGGGUGUCUCGAUGCAGAGUGGCAGCCCUGGGGGCGGGAGGCACAGAGUUUGUGGGCAGAACUUGCACCUGGGGUGCGAGCGAGUGGCCAUGGCCACGUGGGUGGGUGGUCGCUGGUGGUUGGCGGAGCUAGGAUGCGUCGGAGGGGUGGUCGUGCCGGGACUUGCCCAAUCUUGUAUUGGCCAUUCGUGGACACUGUAUACCUUCAUGAAGGCUCUGUCGCCGUGUCCUUACUCUUUCGAGUUGCACCGGGUGAAAACUCGAUCUUUGGGAUCAAAUGAUGGCGGCUAUAAGUGGUCGUUCCCUUCUAGGAGGCACCAUCUUGGAGUCCUUGUUCCGUUGUUUCCCGUCUCAACUCUCCUCGGACGAGGUCUCUAUUGGCUUCAAGCGGUUCGUCCUCGCGCAUUUGUAGUGGCACGGUAGUCGUUGGGGGUGGUGCGGCGGUGCUCGGCACCUUUAUAUCUUGCCUUGGGUGUGUGUGUCGUGUGCGGUGGUGGCGUGAGUUUGUAUCGUGGUGCUUGUGGAUCGGUGUUUUAUAUAUAUAGCAGGACGAAAGCAUUUUUCAGUAAAAAAUUGUUAAACAUUUUUAAUUGAAAAACACAUAAAAUAUAAAAAUGUUGGCUACAAACAGUUGCUCAUUUUAGAGACUUGGCUGCAUUUUAUGGAUCAACAAUGUUGAGAGGAGCGAACCAACCUGUGAUUGGAUGGUUAGAGGGACAGUGGUAUCCCCAAUCCACCAAGGUUCUCAAGAUAACAUGCCGGCUGAGUCUCUCAGAGGAGCUUAUCUCUACUCCUAAUGGAGCAGUUGGUAGUCUCCGCGGUCAAUUUUCGUCCCACCAGAGACGGGUUUUUCUCGUCCGUUUUUUUUUCGCUGGUUUUUUUGUCACCUCCCCACCCCACCUCACCCCACCCCACGCACGCACCCUAUGAAAACCACCCCGCAGGCCGUUCCUCUCGAUCCCCUCCCGUCGCCGCCGCCUUUCCUCUCGAUCCCCUCCCGUCGCCGCCGCUGUCCUCUUGAUCCCCUCGAGUAAGCGGCGCCGCCGUUGGCUCCCGAUCUCCUCCAUGGCGGAUUCCCACGGACGCCGCGGCAGGGCAUGGUCGCGAUAAUCGCAUGGAGGGUCGCGUCGAGGAAAGCGACGACCUCGCAGGCAUCGGGUCAAGCGGCUGGCCCUUCUUACGCGAUUGCGCCGUUUUUUUCUUCCGCGGCAGAGGUUGGUGCCGCCACGGCCGCAUCAUGGAUUGCGUCUGUUUUUUUUUUGCGCUGGAUCCUGAUUUGGCGGGAUUUUUUUCCCAGGCAUUGAGCGCGCGCUGGACGGCGGGAACUGUCGCGUCAAGGAGGACGCUAUGGACGGUGGAUCCAGGGCGCUGCACGUCGCUGUCGGCCACGGGAGGAUGUCAUACCCUUUGGGCGCAACAAACUCUUGGCCAUAGCCUCUUCGGCUUUUCACAACAAGUUAAUACUCUCUACACUAGCAUUAGUACUAUUCAGUAAUCACCGCUUUAGCUUCUGAAUAAAUUUUUAUAUGAGAUCUAGCCGGUAAUCGUGCAGGCUUUUGUCUAAAGUUUUUUCUUUUGCAAUUUGAAAUAUAUAGUAAGUGUGAAUAUCACAUAAAUGGUUGGCAUCUAAUUUUCCAUCAUGUUACUUACGCAUAAGACUUGUAUCUCCUUUCUACUGACUAAUGGUGAAUAGACUCCUUUUGUGAAUUAAGAUCAUUCAGAGAUGAUAAUGAUUGUAGCUUGCAUUGCAUGUACGGUGGUGUACCUCUUGAGUUGGAGAAUAUCUUAGAAUUUAUUGACUUGCAGCUAUGGCAAUGACCAACACAGUUUUUGCGUUUUCUUUUUUGUUCCCACGUUUCUUGUUGGUGCUGGUGUAGGUUUUCUUCUUCAAUAAAAUACAUAGAAGCAAAUCAGACUGGUUGCAAAUAUCAUGCUACUUCACCAGAAAUUAUGUUUUCCAACUGAAAUCAUUUUUGUUUACUAGGCGCUAGCUAUCCCUGACAACAAGGUAAGAGACAUGUUGUUUCCAACUCACCCUUAAUUACAGUUGAGAUACUUGCACAAAAGACGUCUGCAAAUGUUUUAUUUUCUUAACAUUGUUUUAUCAUAUCCUUUCAUAAUUUCAUCAGGAAAGAGAUGCAUAUGAGAGGAAGAGAGCCUCCCCCAAGCUCUGUCUAGGCGAUGCACGGGAAAUUUGGAAACUAUCAAGGAGAUGUCGAAUGAUGAAUAUACUCAGACACUGAGACACAUUCUAAAACGUGUUUACGCAGGUUAGUCCUGAUCAUCCUUAUUUUUAAACCUGAAACAUUCUUUAUUAUUGUAGGGUUCUCUAUAAUCCCAUGUUUGUGAAGUCAAUUGCUUAGUUUGAUUGAGAGUACUUAAGUUAAUGCGCAUGUAUACUUUUCUAGAUCAUAUAUUAAUUGGUUGGACUCUUCAUGUACACUAAAUGUGAAACUCAUUAUGAUUCGGAAGUCCUGGUAGCUUGUGACAUAAUUGAUGUAUUUUAUAAGUCAUGGAAUUUGUUGUUAGCAACAUGUACCUGCAGAUUUGGGGUAAUUUCCAUUUCAACAUUGUUUUUGUUCUUGGACAUUCUGGAUCAUACUAAGAUACUUCGGAGAGAUGUUCCAGAUUUAUUCUUUUGAAUUUCACUAAUUUCUUUCCAUGGCUUCAGAUUCACCAGUGCGUUCGUUACUGCCAUUUUGAGUCACUAUUGGUGCCUAUGAUUUGGAUCAUUAACAGUUCAAUUUGUUUAGGUGAUGGGGCUGCCGCCAACCUGGGCCCGCUCAAGAAUGGUGACUCUACAGGAGGGGGAUGGAGUCGCGGAAGCUUCCGUGCUAUUGGGAGCGACAGUUCCACAAUGAGCCGGUCUUUCGUCACCUCUGAGUUGGAGGAUGUCCAAGGCCGGAAGUGUUCGUCACCACUAAGCCGUGGUAAGGAAUUUUUUGCCCAAAAAUAUAUUGGUUCUUAGCUUCCUAAAACUCAGGAAUAUUUUAUCUUUCUCAUAUAUUUUAGUUCAUUUUAUGUAGGCUGAGAUAAUACUGGCGCGAUGUCCAGAUUUGGAUCUCUCAUGUCUGAACAUUUGAAACGCCGAGUACUCCAUGAAAGCUUGCCUAGCCGCUUUUGUGCAAUAUUAUAUCUUUGGACGUUUGCACUUCCGCGGCUCUAGACAUGAGCUUCCUUAUAUGGUAAAAAAAUGAUGGUCGAGAGCUCCAUUCAGCUUGUGGAAAUAAAUAAUCUCCCAUAUUUAUUAAAUUUGCUUGCUUUGGCAUGUUACUUUAUCUAUAUUUGAAAUAGGAUAUUCUUUGAUAUGUAAUUUUAGGAAAUAGUUGGUUUUCAAUCUUUUUGCUUGAGAUUCAGAAGAUCCAAAACUGCCUAAUACAAUGGCUACUCUAAUCAAUAAAAUGAGUUACAUAUAUAUUCAGAAACUAUGUUGAUCAGGCUACUUAUAUGCAUUGGAAAACCAUUAGAUUCCUUGUUGCAUUAACAUUGACAUCCACAGUUACUUCUCUGUACAUAUUUAAAAUGUAGAUAAAAUGUAUAUCCUCUAGCUCUCAUGUGUUUUAGUCUCUCUUUUCUCUUUAUGUUGUAUCACCAAUGAUGAGAGAGAGACCGGGCCAUGGAGAGGGAGAGAGAGAGGUCUAAAUGAUUGUAGCCAUACCAGUUUCAUGUUUCCAUGUAUGACAUUAUACUAGAUAGAAAACAGUAACUUUGUGUGGGUUGAUUAUACUAAAUACUUCUAACAUAAUAAUCUACAUGUAUCAAUUGUUUAUGCCCAUUACUUGCGUACACACUAUACCAUAGUAUUUUAGUAGUGCACCCUAUAAAAAAGCAUCAAUGCACAUUAUAUCUCACUUCUUGCUUUACAUGUGAUUUUCUACCUUCAAAAGGUAACAUGAGCACCUUGAUUUCCUAUCUGUUUAGACACAUAUUUCUUUCAGGGGUUAUUUUUCAAACAUCCACAACUCCUGCCUCUUACUUAAUACACUACAUUCCUAAAGCUUCCCAAAGAUAGUACAUGUUUAAAACAGUUUAUGUCUUUUAGUUUUACAAGCUCCCUAAAACUAAACCGAUGUGGAAUAGGUGUGCCUGCCUGCUUUAAAAUGUGAGCUACUUAUAUAGAUAUUUUUUUCCUCAUCAUUCUUAAGUAUUUCCCCUAAAACUGGGUUAUGCAUAGAUGAUGACUGCUACAACUCAAAGUAAAUAUUCUGAACCUAACUAAAGGAUUCUGGUGAUGGUGGCACACGCACUAGCAAGUAUCUAAUGCAUAUACAUGACUUCAUAUUAUUUAUCUUAUUCACAUUCACAUACUAAUAUAUUCAUGAUUUUCUUUUGCAUUGUAGAGUGCUAGCGUGCUACAUUGCAGAGAAAGCUUUGAGAAAAUGCUUUGUUGGGAUGAUAGACAAGAAUAAUCAAUCCUCAUUCCAAGGUUAGAUUUGUACUUCCUUCCCAGUUCUUCUUUACAAAGGACCAAUCCUCUUACUUUAUCCAUUCAUGUUGUCUUAAUUUUGUUCCUUCAUAGAAAAACAUUUUCUCAUUUCAAUCUUUCUCCAUUUGGUAUGAGUGUGGCACAUGCUCUUAAUUUUUUGACUAUUCUUGGUUGAUUAAUGGUUGGUGUAUUGCCUUCCACUUUGGAUUAUUCUCAAUCCUCUUGCUUAGGCUAUGUGUACCAUUCUGUCACAUGCCGCCAUCAAUCUGAGCAAAAAUUAGUGUAGAUGAACCGAGCUAUUUUAUUGUAAGCUGUGUAUAGACCUUCAUGGGAAAAUAAUCAUGUAGUUAAUGUUUUAUGCCAUAUCUAUCCAGAUAGGUGAAUCCUCGCAAGUUGGUCCCGGUAUCUAAAUAGGAUUGUGCCAACCUAGAGCCUUUUCAGAUUGUAGCAACUCUGUUUGGGGUUUCCUUCUACCUAAUCAAGGCUCAUUCCCGUUUGCUUUGUCCUUAUCUCCUUUUCUGUCAUAAAUUCUUCACCUAUUCAAGAAGCUCAUUUUUUGUUAGUUGGAACAACUAAAAAAAUCAGUGUGCUUUAUCAGGAGUUGUGUAAGUACUAAUUAUGCCAACCUGGGGCAACACUCUAAUGGUUUCUCCACAAAGGAUGCCUCCUGGAGCUCUACUUCUCUCCCACCCCCAACACCGGUAAUAGUAUGAAAAUCCUAUUACUAAAUAGCUUAUUGUUUGAUGCUUAUGUUUGUUGGUGUAGUAAUCAUUUUUGAAGGUCCAGUCCUGGAGGAUGUUACUCGAGGCUUCCGUAUAGUCGAGUGAUUUUGCUUUUGCAUGCUAAUAAUACAAUAUAGAUGGAUAUAAUUGGCAGUUAUUAGUGCAUAUUAUUUUGUCUCAAUACCAUAAAUUCAAUGUAAAGGUUUGCAUUAUUAUUGUCGAAUCUAAAUUACAUUAAAGACUUGAACAGGGAAUGAUGCCUCUUUUAACUGAUUGGUGUGCUUUUUUAACUCUCUUUAAUGAGAAAAUCAUAGUGUAGUUGCAUCUUAUAUUUUGAUUGGGCAUGUAGGUGUGUGCUUCCUCACGAACCCAACUUGGACUUAUCUUCCUUGUUCAAGUCACAAUAAGGGAGUGAGACAGUCUCCCCCCUGCCCCUCCCCUGCCAUGGCGGACUCCGGUGCUGACCCUGUCGACCGCCGCGCGACCCUCUCCGGCGAGCGCGUGUCCUCUGGUGACCGCUGGCUCAGCUCAGAGAGCGAGUCCCCGGCGCGCUCGUACAGCGAAGUCGCCCGCACUCCGUCGCCCCCGGCCCCGCAGAGGCAGGCUCCUCCGCGCGCCCACCGCUCCUCGGCGGCGCGCCCCAGGCUGCCGGCCAGAAACCGCCUUGGCCCCCGCUCGGAGGUACACCGCGUCUCUGGCGGAGAUGUGGUGGACGAGGACGGAUACCAGCUCCCUCGGUGUCGGAACCGCCGCCGUCGCCCGCGGCAGGCGGCCACCCCCAGCCCUCCGGCGCCCCGCCGCCGGAGCCCCUCGCCUGAGGAAGUCGCCGGGCUCUGCUUUCGUUGCCUGGACCAUCGCCACCGGGUGCGCGACUGCACCAACGACAUCCGGUGCCGCACAUGCCUGCAGUCUGGGCAUGACUCCCGCUCCUGCGACCCAUCGCGCCGGGACGUGGUGCCGCAUCGUCAACAGCACGGCAACCCGGCUGGCCGGGCACGCGUGCAGCCGUCGUCCGCGCUCAUCCCCCUGUCGCCCCCCGCAACAACUGCCACGGCGACACCUACGGUCGACGCGCACCCGCCAGAGCCUGUGCGGAUCAUCAUGGCACGCACCGUCGAGAUGGAGGACGCGGAGACGGUUCUGUCCCGCGCGAUGGUCGCGUCCAUCACCGGCAAUCGACCGUCCGUCUCCGCCGAUGAGGUGGCUGCGCUGCUCUGGGACUCAUUCGACCUCGUCGACGGUGACUUCACCGUCCACCGUCACCACCCGGAGGACUUUCUGAUCCUGUUCAGCUCGCUGGCCAUCAAGGAGCGGCUCGCCGGCGACCACUUCAUCCGCUCGCCACGCUUCUCCCUUUCGAUGCGGCCUUGGUGUAAGCUCGCGCACGCCGGCUGCAGCGAGUUCGAAUUUCACGUCGAACUCGAGCUGCGCGGUGUCCCCACUCAAGCAUGGCACCUCUCCACCGCCGAGCAUAUCCUCGGGCAAAGCUGCUGGAUCGAACGCCUCCACCCCCACACCCGUUCCCGCGCCGACCUCGCCACCUUCCGGCUAUCUGGGCGCACACAUGACCCUGACAAGAUCCAUCGCGCUGCCAUUCUUGAGGUGGUCAAGCAGGUGCCGGCGGCCUUGGACUCCGACACGCCCACCAUCAGGAUCCUGACUUACCCCAUCUCCAUCGCGCUAGCCUGCUCUAUCAUGAUCAGACCGCCGACGACUACAAGGCCCUCGGGCGAAGGGCCAGACCAUGAGCGCGGCACCGACGGGAACCGCGACCACGCCCCUGACCGCGGCCCAGGUCGCGCGCGCCGCCGCGGACGCAAGCGCAGACGCACGGACGCGCCCGCCACCGGUCGGGCCGACGGCAUGGCCAUGGACGACCUGGGCUGGCGCGUCGCUAGGCUGGCAAGGUCAGAUGGCCUAUCCUCGUCGCCGACGUGGCCUUCCGGCGCCGGCUCCGGCGCGGCGCCGUCCGCGAAUCCACUGCGUACGGGCAUGAUGCCCUGGCCUGGACAACGAGGGGGCCACCGCCCGCGUCACCACGCCAGAAGAGGAAAAGGCAGAGGAAAGCAAAAGGAGCAGUCUGCAGAGGGCCCGUCUGGCUGCACUGACGCGGUCGCCACAGACGCCCAGCUGGGCCUGGUCGGGCCGCGUGUCGACCCACAACAGGCCGCGAGUUCAAAUCUGGUGGCUGGCAACGAUCCCAAUGACGAUUUUGUGGGGCAUAGACCGGCCCCCCCCUGACGCACCGGCUUGUCGGGAUCUGGCCCAUGGUUGUUGCGCGCCUGUCGCCUCGCAGGAGAGAUCUGCAGCGCUAGAGACCCGGUCGGGACAAAGUGGAGAUACCGCCUUACCCGAGCCAGAGGAGGGGCUGGAUUCCGCUGACCAGUCCGCCGCCACCAAUCCCUCUCGCGAUGCCUCGGGCGGGGAAACGCCCCCUCUCGGCGCCAACCCUCCCGCCCUUGCUGCUGGGCCGUCUCCACCUGCUGCCGCGCGGCCGGCCCGCAGCCCAGCUGGCCCGAUUGCGAUUCUGCAGCGGCCCACGCCUACACCUCCCCUCCUGCUGCCCACCGAAGACCAGCUACCCCGAAACGCUGGGGCCGCGACAAACCAAGGCCCAAGUGGCCGCACGUCGAGCCGCUUCGCAUCGCCUCCAAUUACACUGCGGCGAUCCCGAAGCCGCACUACGCCACAGCCAUGGACCCUUGGAGAGUUUCUGGCCACCGCCACGAAACACCUCAACGCCGCCCUGCCGGCCCCUGGAAAGAAGCCACGCCGACCACUCAACUUCGCCCCUCGCCGUGGACGAUCUGCAACUACGACUUGCCAACCGAGCGCCCCUCCCACGGCGGAGCGGCGCGCCCACGUGCAAAUCCUACGCACCCUUGGGAUCAUAAGGAUCGAUCAGAAGAUCACUGCCGCUGAGAUGAAAGCCUAUGACGGCAUGUUCGCGGCACCGCUACCCCUGACGGUACUCAAGGCCAUUGCCACACUGGUUGACCGGGAGAUCCCAGUCUGCAUGGCAUCGGCUGUGACCGGCAGCGUCGACGUUGCAUGUGAAGGCUAGACCAGUAUACGGGCGCCCGCCCGUCGAUCCCGUUCCCAUGGAUCACGGCCUUAAGAUCGCUAUCUGGAAUGUGCGCGGCAUGAACGCACGGGCUCGGCGACAUGCUAUCCGGUCGCUGCUGGACACCACCGGGGCCUCCAUUGUUUGCAUUCAAGAAACGAAAAUGGAGUUGAUCUACUCGGCUAUUGUCCUUGAUGCGCUUGGUUCCGAGUUCGAUGACUACACGUACCUCCCAGCCGAUGGCACGUGGGGCGGCAUCUUGCUGGCGUGGAAGAGCAGGGCCGUGACCAUCACGGACCCAAUGUUCACCACUAAUGCGAUCACUACUAAGGUGACCACGGUCACUGGCCCUCCUUGGUGGCUAACGGUGGUAUACGGACCCCAGGAAGAUGCAGACAAGGUUGCAUUCCUGCAGGAGCUUCGCGACAUCCGAGCCGCCUGCCCAGGCCCGUGGAUGGUUUGCGGCGACUUCAAUCUUAUCCUCCGCGACGAUGACAAAAACACGGGCACCGUCAACCGGCGCAUGAUGGGCAAAUUCCGCCGUCUCACAAAUGACCUCGCGCUCAAGGAGAUCUACCUCAACGGGCGGCGCUACACACGGUCCAACGAGCAAACACCGCUGACGCUUGUGCAGCUCGACCGUGUUCUUUGCACCGCUGAUUGGGAGGACACGCACAGCGGAUGCCACCUUCGAUGUAUUGCGGCUGUGGUGUCGGACCACGCCCCGUUGCUGCUGGAUUGCUCGCCCACGCCCACCUCACAUCGGAGGUUCCAUUUUGAGGAAUACUGGCUACGCUUGGACGGAUUCCAUGACGUGGUGACCGCAGCCUGGGGCUCUACACAUCACGUCGAUCCCUUCCACCGGCUCAUGCUCCGGCUACAGGCAACGGCGGCUAGCCUCACUAGCUGGAGUUCCAGGUCUACGGGCAACAUCAAGGCCAAGCUGGCGAUAUCACGGGAGCUCAUCUCGCGCUUCGACCAAGCCCAGGAAUCGCGCAACCUCUCGCCACCAGAGGCCUGGCUCCGCAAGCAGCUCAAGAUAUCCUACCUUGGGCUCGCUUCCAUGGAGCGCACGAUCGCCCGGCAACGCUCUCGCAUCGCCAACCUCAAGGACGGCGACGCCAGCACCAGUUUCUUCCACCGGCAAUGCUCAUUCCGUCGGCAGAAGAACCACAUCUACAGCCUGGCCGUGGAAGACAGGGUGCUCACGGACCACUCUGACAUGGCCGAGGCAGCCUUCGCCCAUUUCGAGGCCUUGCUGGGCACGGCGACCGCCCGGGAGCACUCGCUGGACCUGUCCCAGCUCAUUGAGCCGACCGACCUCGCCGACCUUGAUGCACCGUUCAGCACCGAGGAGAUUUGGGAGGCUGUCAAGCGCCUCCCCGCCCGUAAGGCGCCAGGCCCAGAUGGGUUCACAGCAGAAUUCCUACACGCAUGCUGGACUACCAUCAGGCAGGAUUUCCUUGACGUGUUCCAGCAACUUUAUGACAUGCGAGGAAGGGGGUUCUACAAGCUGAACCAAGCAUUGCUGACGCUGCUGCCAAAGAAAGCCGACACCCAUGGGCUGCGCGACUACCGGCCGAUCUGCCUAAUUCACCUUGUGGCCAAAAUCUUCGCCAAGGUGCUCUCGAUCCGCCUCGGUGCCAAGCUGGACAACCUAGUUAGCCGCAACCAAAAUGCUUCCAUCUCGGGAAGGAGCUUGCACGACAACUACGUCCUCGUCAAGCAGUCACUCAAGCUGCUGCACCAAUUGGGAGCUCCGAGAGUCAUGCUCAAGCUCGACCUCACGCGCGCCUUUGAUUCCCUGUCAUGGCCAUUCCUCUUUGAGGUUCUAUGCCAGUAUGGAUUCGGGAACAGAUUCUUGGAGUGGACGGCCAUCCUCCUGUCUUCUGCGAGCACACGCAUCCUCCUGAACGGCGAGCCCGGCCCACCCAUAUGGCACCGGCAAGGGCUCCGGCAGGGCGACUCCAUGUCCCCGCAGCUCUUCGUGCUCGCGGUCGACACCCUGGGAUGGCUCCUACGACGCGCUCACUGCCUGGGCAUCCUGCAGCCACUACACCCACGGCGCCACAUCCCGGCGAUCUCCCUCUACGCCGACGACGUCAUGGUCUUCUGCCACGCCACGGCGGAUGAUACCACUGCGAUCAGGGAGAUCCUCGCCUUGUUCGGCAGGGCCUCCGGCCUGAAGGUGAACUUCACCAAGAGCUUCGCCACCAUCCUGCACGGCGACCAAGCAGCCACGGAGAUGAUCGCGCACCUCGGCUGCCCGGUGGCGACUCUCCCCAUCACCUACCUCGGCAUCCUCAUGUCCACGCGCCGCCCAUCUGUCGCCCAGCUACAACCCAUGGUUGAUGCGGUUGCAGCGCGCCUACCGACCUGGAAGGCCUGGCUGAUGACUAAAACCGAGCGCCUCGCGCUAGUUAAGUCGGUCUUGAGUGCCAUCCCAGUGCACCAACUGCUUGCGUUCGCGCCCCCCAAAAAAACUCUCAAGCAGAUCGAGAAGAUUCAGCGUGGUUUUCUUUGGGCUGGACGCGCCGCUGCCAAUGGCGGACACUGCCACGUGAACUGGAACAGAGUUUGCCGCCCCAUCGAGCUUGGGGGCCUGGGAGUGCGAGACCUCGAGCGCGCCAGUCUCGCCCUGCGACUACGCUGGUUAUGGUUCUCCAGAACGGACCUGGGGCGAGCAUGGCAGGGGUUGGACCUUCAAUUCUCGCCCACGGAACGUGCCCUGUUCUGGGCAUCCACGCUCACGCUCAUUGGGAAUGGGCAGACCGCCCUGCUCUGGGAGGACCGAUGGAUAGGUGGCCAAUCUGUGCGCGAGCUCAUGCCUAACCUCUACGGCUGCAUCCCCAAGCAACGACGGAAGACGAGAACCAUGUCGGACGGACUCAAUGGCAACUCUUGGGCACACGACAUCCAAGGCAACCUCGGCCUCCACGAGAUUGGUCAGUAUCUGCAGCUCUGGCAGAUCAUGCAGCGCACUGAGCUCUCCACCACACCGGACAGGUUGAUCUGGAGAUGGACGGCGAGUGGCACCUACUCCGCGCAGUCCUGCUACACGGCCACCUUCCAUGGAUCAAUGAGCUGUCAUUCCUGGAAGCUAAUCUGGAAGUGUUGGGCGCCGCCGCGGGUCAAGUUUUUCCACUGGUUAGCCAACCAGGACCGCUGCUGGACGGCAGAGAGGCUGGCGCGCCACGGUCUCCAGUAUCAUCCCCGCUGCCUCCUAUGUGACCAGCAACCGGAGACGAUGCGACAUCUGCUGCUAGAAUGCCCCCUAGCCCGACAGGCAUGGCACGAGACCCUGGCCUGGCUACGCAUACCGGCCCCGAUCCCAACACAGGAACUGUCGCUUACGGAUUGGUGGAACCAUGCCAAGGAAGACACGCCGCCGAUCCUUCGCAAGGCCCUGAAAUCUGUCACGCUGCUCGUGCCUUGGAUGGUCUGGAAACACAGGAACAGCUGCGUCUUCGACAACACGGCUCCAUCCCUUAACACGCUCCUAGAUAGCAUUCAGGACGAGGCCCGCUCAUGGGCGGCAGCUGGGGCACCUGGUCUCCGACUUGUGCUGCCCCAAACCUGGGAUGUGCAUUAAUCGACCUGCUGUAAUCCACACAUCCUCAGAUGUCUGUAACUGAACCUCCCCCUUUUCAAUGAAAAGAAACGCAAGGCUUUUGCGUUUUCUCGAAAAAAAGGUGUGUGCUUCCUCGCUUUUCCCUUUCUUAUAAGUUGUCCUCAUUUUGUUGCUUCUAUUUAGGUUUGGAUUUUCUUCAACCCGCAAGGCCCAUCCAGUUGUGAGCUACAAUGAAUUUGUAAAGAGUUGGAGGAGACAACAUUGCACAUCAGAGGUACGCUGAAUGUAGCGAGGCAACCAUGAAUUGGGUAUGUUCACACGAGGGAUGGGAGAGGAGAGGAACAUUAACAUUUUUCAUGUUUUGGAUGAAAAUUUCAAUUCAUAGUUUCUCUGUAUGUGCCAACACACUAGCGGUACUGAUGGGCUUAGGAUGAAAGUAGCGCCAACAGAAUCAGUAGGUUGGAUGGGAAGGCGGUUGUUGCCCUUGUCCCUUGGUUUGUCCCUUCGUGCUAGCCUACCGUGGCGGCCUCACUAACUUGCUCACUACGAAUACGAGUUCGUGGGGUCGCGAGUUGCUGCAGAUUUGUUUUUAUCACUUUUUACAAUAUUUUUUUAUGUAUCCCUAACUUAAUGAGUCAUUUUUAUCUUUGAUUUUCCAUAUACGCCAGCUUAUAUUGAUUGCAACAUCGUGUUAGUCAUCCAUGAUCUUCAAAAGGAUUUUCUACUAACAACAGAAUAAUUAGUACCACCAGUAACCCUUCUAUUUAGCCACCUUCAGGAUAAUUGUAAAUGGAAUUUGGUUAUUCAUGUAUACCACCAGUAGGACUCGAUAUUUAUGGAUUGUCAAUAGCCUCAUCUGAUUGCUUGAUGUACUUAUAUCGUGUUCUUUUCAGUCUCCAUUUCAUCUGAGCAGGGUGGUGAGGGACAGAACUGGUCAUGUUGGAAGUCAGUUUAGUGCAUCAAGGAUGGGAGGUUCAGAGAUUUGCAAGAGGUGAUGGAGGAUGGUUAGUUAUUAUGGCUCAUCAUAUAGUAGUGAAAGACGAGUACAAGCACAAGCUUAUUCAAAAAUUGCAGUUCUUGACUACAUGGGACAUAUAUUUUAUAAUCUUUUUCAUUUCUUCUAAGAGGAUCAAAUAUGUAUUUUGUUCUUCCCAAUGUUCUGAAGGACGAUGUUGGCAUUGAUAUAGUAUAACAUACAUUUACAAUUAUGAGUGCUCUCGAUACUUGGUUCAAGACUUCUCGAGGAAAGAUUAGUUCGUGAACUUUGCAUCUUUAGCUCUUCAAUUAAAACCAUUAAUGAUUAACAAGAUCAACAUUUAUCAAGAAGAGUCUGGAAAUGCCGAGUGGAGGAGAAGCAAUGCAGGGGGUUGGUGGGUUCAACUAUGGGUUGCAGGGGUCAUCAAAUUAGGCACGCUAUACGUCCGUGGGUGUGUCCCGGACAAUGACAGGUCACCCCUCGAACCGUCACGUCCAUAGCCUCGAUCUUCAUAUAUGAUACCCCAAAUCCAUACUAUGCAUGCAACAUGAAACAAACUACUUUGACCAUCAAGGAAACAAACAGACAUAUAAAUCUACAUAAUCGGGACAUAGAUAUCCACAUAAUCUGACAUAGAUCAAAAGAGCACCACAAUUAGCCGAUGAACAUAGUUCUAAACAAAUGUUACUAAAAAUUGUAACAAAGUCGAAGAGAAGGACGCACUUCUUCGCCACUUCCUCGUUGCUACGGAUGUAGCUGUCAAUGUAGGCGUCCAUGGUAGGAGAGGGGGGCCUCGCAGCCGUCGAUGAUAUUGGGGGAGUCAAUCUAGCCAACCAUCCUUCGAACGACGCGGUUUUGCUGCCUCACGAGCUUCGCCGCUUUUGCAUCCGCUGCCGCCCUCUUCUCCGCCUCGCGCACCGACUUCUCGAGCUCGAGGCGGAGGGCCUUGGUGUUCUUCUGAUGGAUCCGACGGGCGUCUAUCUCUGUCGUCAUCAGGGAGCUGUUUGUAGAUAUCUGUGAGGAGCUACUUCUCAUCGGUCAUCACUGACAAUCGGCAACGACAUCGAGAGGACUAUGCGACCGCAUCCUACGCUGGCAGCCUCUCCCUUGCACGUUGCCUCUCACGGCGGGCUGCUGGUGCCUCUUUUUCGGACAUCCGCGUGCGUGUCGCCGGUGGGGCGAGAAUGAGCACCCACGGAUAACCUUUAGGAGCUAUGAAGAUGAGAGUUAGGAGGUCGGCGGUCCAGUGGCGCAGAGCCGGAUGAGCGCGCGAAGCUCUGCGCGGUGCCCAACGGGCCCGUGCUGGCAUCCACGCUAAAAUGGCGGGUAACAGGUGAUGGAGUUGAGCCCGAGCUGUGUCCAUGUCGCUCUCCUCUCAUGAAUGAAGGCGUUCCCAGUCGUCCUCUUUGGCAGAUCUAUCGCCUCCAAUACUGCCGAUGCUCGACAUUAGGAAGGACAACGGAAUGUACAUGGGCUGGAGGGGAAUCAAUGGAGUGUGGAUCGAAAGUGAAGUGGAACUAGGAUUGUUCCGGGUGGGGAUUUUAGUGGGACGGAGGAGUCGGUGUGGGCCAACGUGGACUGGGCUGAUGUGGUGUACACGUCUGGGUGCGCCCAGGCCUCCCUAUAUUUUUCCCAGAUUUGGGUUGGAUAUGAUGGAUGCGGGACUGCCAGGCAUAUAGGGUUGUUAUGAGGCAUCGGUCAGCGUCUUUUUUUGACCCGUUAGUGACCGAGCCAUGCAACCAGUCUUAUAAGGGCGGUUUGGGGUGCUCGGGAUGUAGAUACUCUCAGAUGGGGUGUAGUGGAGGUGGUUGGAUCAACGGAUGAAGAAAGAAGGAAAACAUUUGAAGGAAGAACAACGGCAAGCGAGUUUGACUAAAACAUAAAUUUCUUUUUAGUUCGCUUAGGCACUUCUUUCGAAUUUCCAUGCAUUGGGACCAUACUAAUACAUUUUAUUUGUAUUAUCAGUAUAUUCAAGAUAACAUUAAUUUAUAAAUGAGAUUUGUCUGGCUCCUUUUUUAUGCUCACAUGGAAUGGUAAAGAAUUAGUAAACCCAAUUUGUACGACGAGUAUUCUCUAUUAUACAUUUCAAGACCUUCGACUUGAAUUAUUCGUGCCAACUGCAUAUAUUGCUUGUGCAUGACAUGUAUGAGUUGAGGAAGACGUUUUUAUUAUACUUGGUCAAAUAUUGUGCCAAUGAAUAAAGUCAACAUUUCUGAUAUUGUGCAAGAAUUUCUUCAGAGCAUCAAAUAGAUCUUAAUUUGUAACCGAUUUUUAAUUGGAUCAUCAUUCUAUAUUGUAUUCUUUGUCAAAUUGCCUUUUUGCUAUCAAUUUACGUUGCAAGGGAAGUGGUUUAAACUCUUAUACAAUUGUGGUUGUACUAUCUUUUCUCUACAUGUGAAAUUGUACAUAAUAAUUGUUUACAUAACUCCCUAAAAUAUUUGAAAAGCCCAUGGCAACGCACGGGCAUUCUACUAGUCGGGAUAGGGUGUGUGUGUGUUCAUAGGGAUGAGUGUAUGCGCGUAUGUAUAAGCGCUUGCGUCUGUACUGAUGUUAAAAAAACAAUGUCCAGAGAAACUGUUACAAGAUCAUGUGGCGCAGCAAGCCGAACAUGACGUCCAAAAUUUAAAUCGAGAGAGUAUUUCGCUAGACUUCAGCUUCAUGAUCUCUAUCUUGACUGUCAUAGAUGAAGUUGCAUUCCUCGAAAUUACACGAGCAUUGAUUGGGUAUUGUUCCAUGAUGCGCCCUGCUUUAUCCGAGAUAUCCUUUACAACUUUGACACAAUCCAAAGCUAUUAGAAUCCGCAUGACUAGUAGAUCAUCGGCAAUGUCUUGGUUCUUGGGCUGCCCGACAUGCUAGGUCUUCUAAAGUCGGUAUAUCAAUUAUGUCACUAAAUGCAACUGAAGAUGAGUCAAUAUAGAGGUUGCUUUGGUCUCAUCAAAUAGCCUCAAUAGCUUCCAUUUAAAUACAUUAUAACUGAGCACUUUUCCUGCUCUCUCAUGCCAUUAAUAUUUUUAACCGUUGGAUGUGCUGUUUUGACGAUUCCUGGCCACUGGAUGUCGUUCUAAUCCCGCUGGGUUACGUACGCUGGUCACCGAGCGCUUAACACUGGUGGGCCGCUGCUCCCGGAACUAAUUCCGAUGUUUCCUAUGACUUGGGCCAAAUGGGCUAGGUUCAUGUCUGGAGGGAGAGGCCGCUACUCCGGAGACAAAAAAUCCAAAGUCGCUCGUUCACCACGACCUUGACCUUGCCUAAUAAAAGAAAAAAAAAACUCAACCUUGACCUUACCACGAAAAAAAAAACCUCGACCUUGACCUCUCCUCUCAAUCCACCUCGACCUAUCCUCUCCGGAAACCCUACACACGCCGCCACGCCGCCAUUCCCUCCGGCUCUUCGGACCUCGCCCCAUGCAGCCGUCCCUGAAGUGAAACAACGCCUCCGCCAUCGCCCAGCCACCGUCGUAGUCCUCCUUUUCCUGUCUUUCCCCAAAAGGCCAAGACGAGUGCAUCAGGGAGGGGUCACCGCCCCGGCGAUGCCUACUCUGGCCAAUAUCACCUCCGCUCACCCAAUCAUGUGUGAAGCACAAGCUUCCGAUGCCUCUGCUACCUUCCCUAUUCCCGCGCGCCUCCUACUACACCCGCCAUCCCAACGACCUCUCGAAUACGCAGGUAUUCCACCUCCACUCACCGAUCUAUCUGCGUCCGGAUUUAACAUAUUACCUGCUCGUAUGUUUGUGUGAUGUUUGCCAUGUCAUUUUGUUGUGCAGGUAGCAAGGUGAAACUCGACCGCGAAGUACAUGGAAUUUUUGUUUCGGAUAUAUGUUCACAAUACUACUCCAUCACUUCUCAUGUUUGGAGAUGCCAGUUUUAUAUAACUGUUCGUUCAUGCAGAGGUAGAAUUGUUUUGAACAUGAAAAUAAGAUCAAAAUCGUAUAUAGUUGAAUGGAUAAAUGACACUAUAAAACUCUUCAAAUUUUCUGCAAUGACGACCCUUUGUUCAGCGAAAUAAGUUAACAUGUAAUACUGCUUUUGGUUUCUUAACAAUGACUUUAAAUAGUUUUAGAUUGGUGAGUAAGUUGUUGUUGAUUUCUGUUAUUUAUUUCUACAGAUUUUUGUAAUAGUCGACACUCAAUUCUUUCUUUGUGCACACAUCAUGUGCCUGAAGUUGUGCAAGCAACUAGAACGAUAACCAACUAUCUAGAUUAAUGGAGCAUUUCACACCACAGUUUUGCAAUGUUUCUGCUUUACAAAGAGCAAUAAACAAAGACGCAGAAGGGUAAACCUGGCAUGGCCACUGACCACUAAUUUCCUGCCCAGGUGAUUUUUAAUAUGUUUGUUAACUCAGUGCUAAAUUUAUGAAUGUAGACUCGAAACUACUUUAUCCUGCUCAUGCAUGCAUUGACCAAUUUCCGGAAGAGGAGAUUAAUAAGAUGACAUUGUGUAAAAAAAAACAUGAUAGCUCUUUGAAUCGAUAUAAGUAACCAACAUUUUUAAGAAUAACAAUUAAGUUGAAGCAAAAUAACUAGGAAUAUUUCAGAUUAUUUUUUUAUCAAAAUGGGAGAGAUAUUUGAAUCAACAAUUGUAGUACAACUCUUAGAUAGAGGAAAAUGAUGAGGUAAAGUUUUGGUUCCUGCUUUGAUAUAUUACUCAAUGCCCGUAUUAUUUAUUUCUCUAUGAAAUUUGACAUAUUAAGGACACUGAUUUUACACCUUCGCUUGUUUGUUCCAAACCGUCAGACUUGGGAACCAUGUUAUUACUUGUUAGUGAUUAUACUGUGGAACUGUAUCCAAUGACUAUUUUUUCUCCGUGUGUAAAUAUGUCUUUGAAACAUCUUUUCUUUUCACAAUGCAGACUUGGAAAAAUAUGUGUUCCUUUUAAUUUACAUAUGUUCUGCUAGAUUCCUUAAUUAUCACUACUCAUCUUAGAAAAUACAAGAAAUAUCUGUAAUUCUACAUUUGGAUUACCUGGAGCUAAAACACGUAUGUGACAUGCAGGUAUUGUGAGAACAUUUCCGUUUUUUGUGCAAAGGAGAUGUGUGGGCUGAAGUAAGUAGUACCAUCUAUUUCCUUCAAUUUGUAGAGUCUGAUGCGUUGCAGGAAUUGUAAAAAAGAAUGGUUGCCAUUUCUUCAUUUUUUACUAUAAUACGGCAACAACAGAAUUACAUAAAGCCUCGCCUCAGGAUUUUGAUAUUUGUUUUUAGGGAGAACAAUUAGCUUUGGUCUGACAACGAAUAGAUAUGUAAAUUCAAUGUGAUUCGCCUUAGAAUGAACAUUCCCUUGCGAUUCUUAAGAUCUUUGGAUGAAUGGGUCUUGAUAGUGGUCUUUAGGUGUUCACAUUAUAUAUGCUUUUGUUCUUCGGCACCUAACAAGUAUGAACAUAGGCAUGCAUCUUCCAACUAUUACUUUGUCAUACGCUUAUUAUGAUGUGUACAAAUUACAUCAUUGUUUAGGACCCAAUAAGUAUGAACAUAGGGCAUGCCUCAAUAGGUUUAUGUCAAGUCUUCAGUUUAGUCUGCACAUCUGUUCAGUUUUUUGUUCAUCAGAUUGAUGAUGUAGAUUUAAGUGCUUGUGAUCGCUAUGCAUCUACUUAAAAAAUUAAAAGUACCAUUAACUCUGCAAGUUGUUGUCAUCAUAUCAUUAUUUUCUGCAGUUUCUUUCAGCCUUUCACGUAAUUAAGUUUGUAAUGUACACUGCGAGUUGAGGCUUUUAUUUUCCUUCCUCAAUCCCUUUUGCACUUUCAUGGCUUAUUAAAUGCUGAUUUUAUAGAGUAAUGAUCAAACUUAUGAGAUGCUAGAAAAAUCUUUAUAGCUGGUAGGGGUCGGAUACUAUUGGAUGUAUUAACAGCAGAAGCUUUGGUUCUAAGAUUCGGCCUAUCCCUUGCACAGAAGGCGGGAUCGAUGCAAUCGUCUUGUCGUUAACUCUGACAAUAUGGAGGUGAUUGACACAAUGAAAAAUGAAGGACAUUCGGCGGCAGCGGCGACAACAGUGUUCGAUGAUUGCUAUUUCUUAGCUGGUGAUUUUCCUCUUUUAGGUUCGAACAUUGUAAUUGGGAAGCUAAUAAGGUGGCUCAUGAACUUGCUAGGCUAGCGAAAUUUUCCAUCACUAGGGAUUGGUUUGAGGAAUGUAUGAGUGUUAUUAUACCUUUCCUAAUCGAGAUGUAACAAUUACUUCUAAUUAAUAAAAUUGAUGUUUAUCAAAAAAAGAUAACCUUACCAAUAUAGAAGAUGUUGCGUAAAAAAGAUCAAUAUUUUGUUUGUGUGUACGAGAAUUGGAUCAGAGUUUCAAUUGGUGUUUCACUUACUGAUAGGAGUUCAGUUCUUUCUUGCCUUUGUAUAUUAACCACAAUUCUUAUUAUUCCAUUGGAAAAAUGGACGGGCGCAGCAACGCGCGCAGUCAUGGUCUAGUCGUUUCUUAAAACUGUACCAUCAACAUUGAACUUUUUUUUUUUAACAUUAAUACAGACGCAAACGCUCAUACAUACACGCAUACACUCAUUACACUCAUUCUUAUAAACGCACACAUACACACCAAAAAAAAACAUUGAACUUCCAAAACCAACCGCUGAGGCAAACACUGGGUUCUGGACAUGUUAACCUGCGAGAGCUAUGUGUGAGAGACAUAUAACUCCGACUCGCAGUAGGCGAGCGCAAGAUGGUCCGGCCCAAUAGCGGUUUCUGGGAGCAGGUUUCAGUGUUUUUUUUCUUUUCCAUUUGGUUUUUUUGUCUUCUUUUUUAUUUUCGGUUUUCUAUGGUAUUUUCAUUUUUCGGUUUUAUUUUGUUUUCGUUGUUCUUUUCUCGGUUUUCUGGUUUCUGUUUUCUCUUUUUGAUUCAUCGUUUUUUUAUUUUUCUUUUUUCUUUUUAUUUUUCCUUUUCCUACACGUAUCUACUUUUUCACGCACAAUAUAGAUUUUCUGUCUACAUUAGGGAUAUUUUUAUUCAUGUUUAGCAUUUUUGAAAUAAGUUAUUAACACUUCUCCAAUAUAUAUGUUUUAAUGACUACUUUUUUCAUACACACUAUAUAUUGUUUGCAUACAUCAGUAACAUUUUUAUACACUUUUAACAUUUUUUAAAUAAAUUAUUAACACUUCCCAAUAUAUAUGUUUAGUUGACUACUUUUUCAUACAUGUUGUACAUUUUCUGCAUACACCAGGAACAUUUUUUGUACACCUUUAAAUUUUCAAAUAAAUAAUUACAUUUGAAUAUAUGUUUUGAUCUCUAUUUUUUUCCCUGUACGCCUUAGAUUUUCGUAUACAUCAGUAGCAUACUUAACAAUACAUGAUUACAUUUUCUCAAUAUAUGUUUUAUAUGUCUUUGCGUUCAGAAAACUGCACAAUCUUGCAGCAAAAGUUGUGUUUAAUAUUUUUCAUAUACAGAGGCGAGCCGAGGCUUUUCGGACGAUCAAAACUUAAGAUUGUCCUUUUCUGACGAGAGGGCCCCUGGUACCUGAUCUUGCAGCAAAAGUUGUGUGCACGUUAGGGACCACAAGACUGAACUCAACUUUGAUAUUGCGGGGCGGGACACUCCUAUUUUUUUUAAAUGUUUAGGAUUUCUAAAAUAGUUCUCUAUUUCACAGGUUUGGAAAAAUAUUCCCAAAUUAAAAAUUCUUGAAUUUCAAAAGUAAUUCAGAAAUUACAGAAAAUGUUCAUAUAUUUUAAAAAUGUUUACAAUCUCAAAAGGUGUUCAUGGAUUUAUGAAAUGGUCAUGAUUUGAACAAAUGUUCAAAUUAAAAUGUUAGCAGAUUUGUAAAAUGUUUGCAAUUUCAAAAAAUUCACAAUUUAAAAAAAACAUGAAUUCAAAAAUGUUCCUGAUUAAAAAAAAUGUUCAUGAAUUUGCAAAAAUGUGUUCACGAUUUUAAAAAAAUGUUCACAAAUUCAGAAAAUAUUCACGAUUUCAACAAUGUUCACGUAUUGAAAAAAUGUUCAGGAAUUUGAAAGAUGGUCGCAAAAUGAAAAAAGAGAAAAGGGAAAGAGAAAACCCAAAAUAAAAAGAACAUGCAAAAAACAAAAAGAAAAACUGGUGUGGGAAGGCUUUAGAUCCUUCCCAUAUUCAGAACAUGGAGUAUGCCGAACAUGAAAAAUAUGGUUGGCCCAAUGUCGGGUGUAAUGAUUGCACGGUGGUUGGAUUACUCACUACCAAGCGACCUGCGCGGGGAACAGGGUUCGGCCCAGUCGGGCGACGCCCCUGUGUGCAGCCCCAACAGUUUGUUGCAACGUGCGGCAAAUAGGGUUUUCCUUGGAGGCAGAUUGGAGUUUUUUCUGGCCAGUUUAUCCGGAGACGAGGCCGAGCACAGCGAACUGUGGGGAGAUGUCGUUGUGGCCAACUUCCGCGACAGGUUUCAUAAACCCAUCGCCUCCCUGUUGCCAAGGCCGACAGUGAAGCUCGCCAGGAAGAAGCACACUCCUCCAACAAAUGUUCGCCGGAGUGCAAGGUAACAAGUCACGUUCAUAAGUGCGCUAUUGUUUCUGCCUUUGAUAGGUUUGGAUCAUAUAUUAUUGAUUUAAAAGUAACAGUUCAUAUAGAUCAUCAAGGUCUAAAGUAUCUCCUUACUAAGAGCAAGUCUAGCAGACCCCGCAAAAUCCUAACCCGCAAAACGCGUUUGUAGUUUGACGAAGAUCUUGUUUGCGGGUCGAGAACGAGCGCGGCCGAUCAGAAACUGUAGAUGAAAUUGCAUAAUUUGAAAAAACAGUUUCAUGGGAGAAAUUGCGCCAUAGUAGUUCAUCACAUACUACAUAUAUUACAUAAUCAAAUAUUACAAACACUAGUUCAUACUACAUACUAUAUAAGUACUAGUACUAGAGGGGGUGUGGAUCUCACGGUGUCGUGCUCGCGGCCAUGGACGACGCCGUGGAGGAGCUCAAUCCUCCUCGCCAGAGCUACCGAGGUCGAUGUACUUCUCCCUCUGCUCCUCGCGAAUGCGCCGCCACUCGUCAUCCUUUUCCUUGGGGGCGAGGUUGGCCGCGACCGCGUGCUGGAACACGAGGUCUUUGAGCUCCUCGUCGUGGCGCCGACGAUCUGCCUCCUCGCGCAAGCUCCGCUCGGCAAUGGCGGCCGCGACCGCAUCGACAUCGGUGACGAAGUCCUCCGGCCCGACGACUCCACGGCUCCCGAGCUCCUCGGGCUCCUACUUGACGGGGAUGAACCUCAAUCUCCUCUGGCUCCUCCGACCACUCCCGCUUUACGGGGAGAAGGCCCGCACCGGAAGAGGAGGAGCUCGUGGCGUACGAAGAUCUUCUCGCGGAGGACGAGCCCGCGGUCGAGGAUGGCGUACGGCCGUGCCGACGGCCGUAUUCAUCCGUCUUGCAGACACGAAAGCUCGGCGGCGGCGAGAGGUGAUACGUCUCCGUCGUAUCUAUAAUUUUUGAUUGUUUCAUGCCAAUAUUAUACAAAUUUGACAUACUUUUAGCAACUUUUUAUAUGAUUUAUUGGACUAACCUAGUGAUCUAGUGCCCAGUGCCAGUUCCUGUUUUUUGCAUGUUUUUUGUAUCGCAGAAAAUCCAUAUCAAACUAAGUCCAAAUGCAAUAAAAUUUCAUGGAGAAUUAUUUUGGAAUAUAUAUGAUUUUUGGGAGUUGGAAUCACCGCAAACAGAGUUCCGUGGUGGGCACAACCCACCAGGAUCCGACCCCUGAGCCAGGCGCGCGGUGGUGGGUUGUGCCCACCUCGUACGUCGGUUAAAGCUCUACGUCGAGUGCAAGGAAGCUUAUAUCCGAAAAAAAAUCGUGUUAAAAUCUCAGCGCAAUCGGAGGUACGGAUCUCCAGGAAUAUAAGAAACGGUUUUCGGCCAGAUCUGGGGAACGCGAAACAGAAGAGAACAGAGAGGGAGAUCCAAUCUUGGAGGGGCUCCCGCCCCUCCACGGCCAUGGAGGCCAUGGACCAGAGGGGGAACUCUCCUCCCAUCUAGGGGGGGGGGUGGCUAAGGAAGAAGAAAAAGGAGGGGGGCUCUCUCCCCCUCUCUCCCGAUGGCGCUGGAGUGCCGCCGGGGCUAGGAUUGUGACGGCGAUCUACACCAACAAUCUUGCUACCGUCAACACCAACUCUCUUAUCCUCUAUGCAGCAGUGUAACACCUCUUCCCCCCGCUGUUGUCAGGACCCCGACUCAAUGCCACACCGAUCUAGCAUGUAACACCUCAUAUCACUUUGCGGCCUCACGCACGGUAUCCCCAAGGGUGUUGCCUUACCAAGACCGGGACCGUUUGCGCCUUUUGGCACACAUAUAUGAUAGUGUCUCUAGCACCCAUAUGACAAGGAGCCCGGGCUGACAUGGCUAGUCGUGAACCCAAAGUGGCACUAACUUACGGGGACAGGCAUACAUGACCCAGCAACGAACGUGUCGAUCAUCAGCGAGUGAAUCCAGGCUGUAGCAGCUGGGCUAGCAGGACUCCGGAGGAUCCAGGCUGUAGCAGGCUAACAGGACUCCGGUAGACACCGCGUGACAUUUCCCCAAAGGGACAGACACAGGAACGAAGAAGGACACAUGCCGGCCAGCCUAAGUGUUCCGGAGUAGUAGCAAGCUACCAAGGCUCAGUGGAAGCACUAGGAGACAUUUCCCGGUAAGAGAGGCUACCAAGGAUAAACAACUAGAUAGCCAGAUCCCACACAUACCAAGCAUUUCAAUAACAUAUACACAAUAUGCUCGAUAUGUGCAAAUACAACAUGGCAUCACAACAUGACUCUACAACUCAAGUAUUUUAUUCAAUAGGCUCCGAGGAGCGAGAUAUUACAAACAUGGAUCUCAUGACCCAACAUUCAGAGCAUACAAGUCAAAGCACAUAAGGAAGCUUAACAUCUCUUAGUACAGACAUCUACAAAUGAAAAAGGCUGAGAAGCCUGACUAACUACCAGAUCCUGCCGAGGGUACAAGACCGUAGCUGAGGUAACAAGCUAAACGUUGAAGUCCAUGCGGAAAUACUAGCAAGACUGAAGUCUCUCUGCAAAACAUAAAUUAAGCAAACAUGAGUACAAAUGUACCCAGCAAGACUUACAUCAGAACUAUCUACAUAUGCAUCAUUAUCAAUAAAGGGGAUGGUGGGGUUUAACUGUAGCAAACCAGCUUUGACUCGAUGGCUAUCCUGAACUACGAAUGUGAGUAACUCUUUUGAGGUGGCGCACACGAGUCCACAUAUUCACCAUAUCAAUACACCACUAUGGAUCCGCUCCCGUCUCCCUACGAGAACGCCAUCCAUAGCACUCACGCUUAUCUUGCAUAUUUUAGAGUAUCCACUUUCACUUGUCUAUGAACUGUAUAGGCAACCCAGAGGUCCUUUACCAUGGACGCGGCUAUUCGAAUAGAUGAUGUUAACCCUGCAGGGGUGUACUUCUUCACACACGCUCUCAUCACUUACCGCCGUUUACACGACAUGUACUCAACAACCUUCAAGCGGAAGCCCAAUUAGGGUGUCAGCCACAGCCUACCUAAACACUCAAGUCUCUAGUCCAGGUUUAUCGCCUAUUCAUGUUCCAUCCACAGGGAGUCCGGCCGAAGUUUCCACAUACGGCCCCGAACGAUGUGUGCAGGGUUCCCGAGACACCAAACGGGCGCCUAAUACACCGUGCCACGUGCCUACCGCAUAACAGCCCACCCCUCGGGUCAGCGCUACGCACGGCCUCCAGCAUACUACAAAUACUAGAAACUACUUGCAACUCCUGGACAGAGGACAAGGGUGAUUAAGAAGCCGAGAGGGUCCAUUGGUUUCGGGCCCAAUGUGUGGUAGUAACUAUUUCAUGGAUCGCAAACACAGAACUCAGUUCGUGAGGACGGCUUCAAUGAGACAACCCACCAUGUACUCCUACAUGGCCUCUCACCGCUACCUUUACCAAACCGUGUUCACACACUUAGCUCACAUACAGUAGGACAUGUUCACAACGUUCCAAUUCAUCCCCGAUGAAUCAGACCUGACACAACUCUAAGCAUAGCAGGCAUGACAAACAAGCAUGAAUGAGUAGGCACAUCAGGGCUCAAACAACUCCUACUCAUGCUAGUGGGUUUCAUCUAUUUACUGUGGCAAUGACAAGUCAUGCAGAGGAAAGGGGUUCAGCUACCGCAACAUGUAACAAUGAAUCGUUGUUGUCCUAAUGCAGUAAAAGAGAGCAGGAGAGAGAGAAUGUGAUUGUAUCGAAAUGAGCAAGGGGGCUUUGCUUGCCUGGCACUUCUGAAGAUAGUAUAAUUCUUCAUCGAUGUGAUUGAUCACAUCAUCGGAACCACGUCUAUCGAGAGGGGGCAAGUUCUGGCAAUAGAGAAGGAAACACAAUCAAUCCAAUGCACAAUAUGAUGCAUGAUCAUGACAUGCAAUAUGAGUGUGUUGGCCUAAUGCAACUACAACCAGAUGGGUUUGAGUUAUUUUGAACCCAAGGUUCAAGUUCAAACUCAAACUAUGAAUUUAUAAAGUGCAUUAUCAUAUUUUGAUAUAAACAGAAGGUUUAAGUUGCUUUAACAUGCAUGAAACCAGUGCAUAUGGAUAGAUUGCAUUUUUCUGAUCAUUUUUCAUAUAUAACUUAUUUCAUUCUGAGUUAUUGUUGAAUUUCUAUGAAUUUUAGAAGUUUUGGGCAUUUUCUGGAAUUUCCUGAAUUAAAUUAAAUCCAGAAAAUCACUUAUUGCGUCAGCACUGCGCCACUGUGACGUCAGCUGGUCAACAGACCUGGUCCAGGUCAAACCAGACCAGUAGGUCCCACUGGUCAGUGUCACGGUGCUAGUUAGGGUCACUGACAUGUGGACCCAGUCAAUGGCCAUGUCAGCAUGGUCAAUGCUGACGCGUGGGGCCACUGUGAUUAGUUAAUACUAAGAAGAAACUAAUCUAAGUUUAAUUAGUCAGUGGGGCCCCGCUGUCAGUGUCACUAGGGGUUGACUAAGUGCGUCAUUAGCCCUAACUAAUCUGCCACAUCACCCUCGCCGGAGUUACGCCGACGGCGACCAAAACGCGGCAGAGGCACACUGAAGUGGCUCGGGUUUCGCCUACAGGCCAUCGUUUGACGCGCGGAAGGGCGCAUUUGAAAGAGGGAAGCGAGGCGCAUCUGUGGGUGGACGUGGUUCGAGCGGGGGUGGACGGAGUCAACGGCGUCGAGCUCUUUUGCAACCGUCGGAGUUCGGGCGCUGAUGAAAACGACGACACGGUGCACGGGAGGAACAACAGUUAGUUCCUACGGGUGCUACAUGCACUCACGAAGACAACGGACAUAUGCACGGGACCAUUUGGUCACCGGAGCCUCGUCGGCGACGAGCUUGUGCGGCGGCGUGCUACGGUCAGCAAGGGGGCGGCUUCUACGGCGAGAAACUAAAGCAGAGGAGAGGGAGGGUUCGACGCAACAGACGAAGCGGGCUCGGGGAUGGCCGGACGGUGACGAAAGGUCGCUGGCGAUCUCGGCGGCCGAACGACAAAGACGAGGUCGAGGACGGUGUUUUGAGGCGUCCGGCGUCGUGCGAGUCGAUGGGGAGGACGAGGGCAUCGAGGUGGAGGCCAUGGACACGUCGGCGAGGCGAGGGAGGGCCUGUGGGCAUGGCUACGGCAAGCGGUAGCGACGGCAGCGCUCGGGUGUGCUCGAGAGAGGGGCCAGAGGUCAAGGGAGAGAGUAGAGAGCGAGGGGAGAGGCAGAGGGGGCUGUGGGGCGUCUCCAGACGCGUUGGGGUGCCUCAGUGGCAAGCAGGAGGUGGCCAGGGGCAGCGCGCGGGCGACACGCAGCAGCCUGCCUGCUCUAGCAAGAGGAGGAAGACGACAGGGAGCCCCUGGUGGGCUGGGCUGGCUUUGCCCAGCUGGGCUGCUACAGUAUUGGGUCAGCCAGGUAAGUUUCCUUUCUCUCUCUCUUUUUAUUUGUUUCAGUUUUAUAUUAUUCUGUAAUUGGUUUUGACUUUAUUAAAAUGCCAGGGCAUAUCCAAAAAUCAUAAAACUGCUCCAUGCCACUGUUCGGAAUAUUUCCAACAGCAAACAUUUCAGUUUGUGAUUAAUUGAGCAUUUAAAAUAUUUUAUAGCAUUUAAAUGCCCAAUUGCAAAUAGAAUAUGAUUUAAGUUAGUGACCCUCUGUUGUCCUAGAAAAGUGUGCACCAUUUUUGUCAGAGGUUCUAGACCAGGGCAAAGAUGAUGAACAUUUUAGAAGGGCAUUUUUGGUUCAUUGAAAAUGAUUUUCAUAAACCCUAAUUGGUUUAAAGGGGUGCUGGGGGUUUAUGUCAUCCCCAUUUCAAGUUUCUGAGAAAUUUAAACAUGACGCAACACCAGAUGCUAGAACUAAGCAGUACCAUAAGCUAGGGAUGUGACAGCUGUAAUCUCUACUUAAACAUGGUGCUCAACUCCAUAUAUUAUUUCCCAAUGAUCUAUGGUUAUCCUAUGAUGUUUGAGCAGAUCCGUUUUGUCCUAUGGGUUAAUCGUGAUCUUGCUUGGUAUGAUUGUAUAUUUUAUUUAUGGUGUUGUUCUACAGUGCCCUCCAUCUCGUGCAAACGUGAGUGGCCCGUGCUGUAGGGUAUUGCAAUAUGUUCAUGGUUUGCUUAUUGUCAGUGUUGCGGGGGAUGACAACAGCCCAAAUGCGGAUAGGUGGGUUAUGGCGUAUGGGAGUAAAGAGGACUUGAUACUUAAUGCUAUGGUUCGGUUUCACGACCUUAAUGAUCUUUAGUAGUUGCGGAUGCUUGCUAGGGGUCCAAUCAUAAGUGCAUAUUAUCCAAGUAGAGAAAGUAUGUUAGCUCAUGCCUCUCCAUCAUAUAAAAUUACAACAAUGAUUACCGGUACUUGUUAUCGAUUGCCUAGGGACAAAUAACUUUCUUGUUGACAAAAACUCUCUACUAAAACUAACUUAGUUGCGUCUUUAUCUAAACAGCCCCUGGAUUUUAUUUACGUGCUCUUUAUUAUAUUGCAAACCUAUCCUAUCACACCUACAAAGUACUUCUAGUUUCAUACUUGUUCUAAGUAAAGCGAACAUCAAGCAUGUGUAGAGUUGUAUUGGUGGUCGAUAGAACUUGAGGGAAUAUUUGUUCUACCUUUAGCUCCUCGUUGGGGUCGACACUCUUAUUUAUCGAAGAAGGCUACAAACGAUCCCCUAUACUUGUGAGUUAUCAAGACCUUUUUCUGGCGCCGUUGCCGGGGAGCAAUAGCGUGGGGUGAAUAUUCUCAUGUGUGUGCUUGUUUGCUUUAUCACUAAGUAGUUUUUAUUUUCUGUUCUAAGUUGUUCUCUAUCUUUAGUUAUGGAUAUGGAACAUGAAACACCAAAAAAAUUAGUGGUACUUGCUACUCAUGGAGAUGGGGAACCUCCUAAAACCCUCGAUGCUCGUUAUGUGAAAAAUAUUAUGCACUACUUUGAUAAUCCUGAGAAAACUCCAUUCAACAUGAUAAUGGGCGUAAUGUUGGAUCAACGUGAAUACUUUAGGGAUUAUCACUUGACUCAAAAGGGAAAACUUUUAUGGGAUCAAAUUGAAAUAUUGCAAUGGUAUGCUUGGAAUCUAUGCUUGAGAUAAGAUUAUACUUGUUGCUCUAAGAUAGGUUCCACACCUUCCCUUUUCAUGUGAAUUUAAUGAUAAUGAAACCUUGGCUUCUUAUGCUAAUGGUAUAUAUGAUUACUAUGAUGUGGGAAGAAUAGAAGAAUUUGUUGCUUUUAAGGGUGCUUAUGAAAUUGAAUCUUUGUUUGAAAAGUAUGAAGCUUUUGAUGAUGAUGUUUAUAGACCUAAAAUUUUGCCAUCCUUAAAUAUUGCUAUGAUAAUUAUAAAUAUAAUUCCGGUAUUGAUGAAUUUUAUUGAGAAAGUCUCCGUUGUCCAAGAGGAGACUAAUAUUUUGCAGGAGUCUAUGGAAGAAGAAAUUGAUGAAACUGUGAGCUCAUUAGAUGAAGAAGAUGAGGAUGAGAGCGAAGAACAAAAGGAGGAAGAGCGGAUUGAUCACCCAUGCCCACCUUCUAAUGAGAGUAACCCUCCAACUCAUACAUUGUUUAAUGUCCCUCCAUUCUUACCGAAGGAUGAAUUCUACCAUAAUUGCUAUGAUCCCGUUGAUUCUUUUGAAAUAUCCCUUUUUGAUGAACUUGAUGCUUGCUAUGCUUGUGGUCAAGAUGCCAAUAUGAAUUAUGCUUAUGGAGAUGAACUUUCUAUAGUUCCUUAUAUUAAGAAUGAAAUUGUUGCUAUUGCAUCCACACAUGAUAGUCCUAUUAUCUUUUUGAAUUCUCCCAACUACACUAUAUCGGAGAAGUUUGCUCUUGUUAAGGAUUAUAUUGAUGGGUUGCCUUUUACCGUUGCACAUGAUGAUUUUGAUGAAUAUAAUAUGCAUGUGCUUGCUGCUCCUACUUGAAAUUAUUAUGAGAGAGGAACUACAUCUCCACCUCUCUAUGUUUCCAACACGAUAAAAUUGCAAGAAACCGCUUAUGCUAUGUAUUGGCUUUUACUUGAUGUGCAUGAAUUUUUCUUGUAUGACAUGCCGAUGCAUAGGAAGAGAGUUAGACUUCGUCAUUUCUUGAUAUAUGUUGCUUUGUUUUCACUACUAAAUGCCAAAUCAUUGUUAAUUAAAAUUGGCUUUGAUAUACCUUGAGAUCUGGGUGGAUUCAUUACUUGAGCACUUUAUACCUAGCUUAAUGGCUUUAAAGAAAGCGCUGCCAGGAAGACAACCUGGAAGUUUAGAGAGUCAUUUAUUUAUGUUGAGUGCUUUUAUAAAUUUUAAAAACAAAAAAAAAUAAAGAGGGGAACUUAAAACUUCACAAAAAGAAAAGUGAAAGUGAGAUAGACGAGCACUGUGGAAGCGGGAGCAUGCAUUGAACUUUGUUCAUGCCCAUGGAAACUUUGUGAUUCUUGAAUUGCAGAAAAUUUUCAAAAAAAUAAUUGUUACCUUAUACAAAUCCAUUGUAUUAUAAAAAUAAUGUGCCAAGGUUUGCCUUUAGGAUGUUUAAAUUGCUUGUUGGUUUGUGCGAUGCAAAACUGAAACUUUGGAUGUAGUGCACGAUUUUACAUUUUUUAUUGGAACGUCAAAUGGUUUUGAAACCUUUUGUAUUGUCUUUCUAUACAAUUUUUUAUUUUUCCUAAUUUUUUCAGAAUUUUUGGAGUACCAUAAGUAUGGUGAAUGUUCAGAUUACUACAGACUGUCCUGUUUAAGACAUAUUCUGUUUUUGAUGCAUUGCUCGUUUUGAUGAAACUAUCGAUUUUUAUCGGUAGUAUAAGCCAUGGAAAAGUUAUAUUACAGUAGAUAUAAUACAAAAAUAAAAUAUGAAUUGGUUUGCAACAGUACACUACUGCAGGAGAUGAUGACCCACAAGUGUAGGGGAUCUAUCGUAGUCCUUUCGAUAAGUAAGAGUGUCAAACCCAACGAGGAGCAGACACUACAAAAAAAGACACAUCCGUGACAUUUUGGGCCGAACGAAAAAAAAUUCUGUCAUACAUAUGACACUUCUAUGAUGAUAAUUGUGACAAAACCCGGUAUCAUCAUAGAUGUGGUGGGCUCCUACUUCUAUGACAAAAAAUCAUGACAGAAAAUGGGCUUUUCGUCCUGGGCUGGCCGGAGACGCAGCUGCACGACAUUCUUUGGGCCGUCCAUGACAGAAAAAACCAUGGUAGAAGCGAGGGCGAGGAAAAUUUUGGGGAGUUCCCGGUUACGGUGGGCGGUCGGGGGCCAAGCGAUGCGCGUUUCUCUCGUACACGUACGCGCGUGUGUGCGAGGCGUUGGCUCUAACUGAACCCGAGCGAGGCGUUGGGCACUAACUGAACAUGAGCGAUUGCACUGCAGGCUAUGCGUUACUGAACCCGAGCAAUCGAUCGAUGGCUGUUAACUGAAUCCGAUCGAGCGAUUCCUUCGCUACUGCUGCUAACUGAAGCCGAUCGAUGCUGCCUCUCUGGAUGAACAGUGAGCGUUGCGAGGNNNNNNNNNNNNNNNNNNNNNNNNNNNNNNNNNNNNNNNNNNNNNNNNNNNNNNNNNNNNNNNNNNNNNNNNNNNNNNNNNNNNNNNNNNNNNNNNNNNNNNNNNNNNNNNNNNNNNNNNNNNNNNNNNNNNNNNNNNNNNNNNNNNNNNNNNNNNNNNNNNNNNNNNNNNNNNNNNNNNNNNNNNNNNNNNNNNNNNNNNNNNNNNNNNNNNNNNNNNNNNNNNNNNNNNNNNNNNNNNNNNNNNNNNNNNNNNNNNNNNNNNNNNNNNNNNNNNNNNNNNNNNNNNNNNNNNNNNNNNNNNNNNNNNNNNNNNNNNNNNNNNNNNNNNNNNNNNNNNNNNNNNNNNNNNNNNNNNNNNNNNNNNNNNNNNNNNNNNNNNNNNNNNNNNNNNNNNNNNNNNNNNNNNNNNNNNNNNNNNNNNNNNNNNNNNNNNNNNNNNNNNNNNNNNNNNNNNNNNNNNNNNNCCCUCCCGAUGAACAGGACCCCCGUUUCGACCAUAGCGCUCCAACACAAGUCCAUUUCGUCCGUUUUGCGGUACACCACACCCCUCCCGAUCAACAGGACCCCCGUUUCGACCGUAGCGCUCCAACACAAGUCCGUUUCGUCCGUUUUGUGGUACGCCACACCCCUCCUGAUCAACAGGACCCCCGUUUCGACCAUAGGAGGUCCGUUUCCUCCAUUUUGCGGUACGCCAGACCCCUCCCGAUGAACAGGAUCCCGUUUCGAACGUGGCCGGUCGAACAUAAGGUCGUUUCCUCUGUUUUGCGGCAUGCCAGGCCUCGUUUCCAUCGCCUGUUCUGUCCAAGCCCUCCCGAUGAACACGACGACACAUUCCGUUCCGACCUAGCCGGUUGGCUCGCACGCGUUCCGUUGCCUCCCGAUGAACAUGACACAUUUUGUUGUCUAUCCUUGAACACGACGCAUUCCGUUGCCUCCCCAUGAACACGAUGAUGACGCUGUUUCUCUGUUCCGACCCAGCCAUGUACACGAGCCCUGGCCAUACGUAUGCACGAGUAGGCGUUCGAGACCCCUCCUGUAUGUACACAUAGGUGGCCGUAUUUUCUUUCUUGCACCUUGGCCGCUGUACGUACGUGUACAUGCUACGUGCGCGCCUCUACUACGUCACGUGCGCGCCUCUACAUCGACCAAUAUGUACGUAAACGUUCACGACCAGAAUGACAAUGCUACGUACGCUUCGACCAGGUGGGUCCCGACUGUCAGGCAAUUCCUAGCGUGCGAAGAUGUAGCUGGUGGGUCCUAGCAGUCAGGGGGGCGAAUCGUUUUUUUGUUUUGCCCGGACGCACUUCCUUGUGUGCGAAGAUGUAGCUGGUGGGUCCCAGCAGUCAGGGGGGCGAAUCAUUUUAUGUUUUUUUGCCCGGACUCCUUGUGUGCGAAGGUGUAGCUGGUGGGUCCCAGCACUCAGGGGGAAACGUUUUUUUUCGCGAAAUAUGGUGGCCCGUCCGGUGGGUCCCCGCUGUUAGGUGGAUGAAUAAUUAUUUUGCGCGUAAUAAGGAGACACUUCCUUGCGGCUAUCAUGGACCCAGCUGUCAGCCUCUCCACGCACAGUACUCUUCCGAUGGAAGUCGGUCGUUGACCACAUUGACCACGCCGCGCCGGGAGCACCACGGCGGUGGAUGAUGGCGAGGCCUAGGAAGGGGAUGACACAGAGCCGGGGAAGACGCAACAAUGGAUGCCCACACAAAGAGGAGUAUGAGGGUUCACUGGUUCGGCUGCGGUGUGAGGCUGCCGUCGCCGCAGAAUAACAGGGGGUGUGGGUGAGUAGAGGGAUGGCCUGGCUAGCGAUGGGAGUAGUAGGGGGCGGUGAGGCCUCCGCGGUAUCACAGCCGGCCACGGGAGGCAGGAGCAUGCGGCACGACUGGCGUUGCUUUAGGCGGCUGGAGAACGAAGACCAGAGGUUGAAGAAGCACUACGACCGUUGGAUGGACAUCGUGCGGUCACUGGAGUAUUGACAAGUUGACAAAGCCCUCCGUCCCCGUCAACUUAGUAGGCCCACAAGUCAGCCUGCCACUAUACUCAGGGGCGGAGCUAGGCUAAUGCAAGGGUAUGCAACACAUACCCAAUCUUUUUUGCAAAAAAAAUCAGUAUAUAAGCUCCUAUAUGCCUUUAUAUCACAUAUGGCAAUCUUUUUGUACGUACAAAGAAGAGAAACGAAGAAGAGAACGAUUCCAGCGCCGCUUGGGCCAAGAUUGGGCUGCUACGUUGCUAGUUAGCGCUACUGGGCCUUAUCGUUGAGGCAGUGAUGCGGCUGGCGGAUUGACAAAGCCGAGGAGACAGCUCGACCUGGAACGUGUCGCCUCGAUCGUUCGAUUGAACCGCCACUGCGCUGCGCUGUGCCUCCUCGGCCGCCUGUGACGCACAUCGUCGCGCCGCAUUCCCGCAUCCGCCAUCGGCAGCGUCGCUGAUCUGCCAUCUUGGAUCUACCAGAUCGAUCUCCUCGCGCAUGUUUGCUGCUUCGCCUCCAAUUGAGAAACGGUGGCUGCGGCGGCAACACCGGUGCACACAUAUCAGGCACCGAUUCCUGUUAUUGUUUUCAUUCGUGGCAGUGAGUGUUCAGUAUUGAUUUCUCCGUUUUGUUAGUUAAGAAGUGAUGAUUAUUUUCACUCCCUAAUUUUGUUUUGAUUGACCUAUUGUAGUAUCCAAUAAAUUUUGAGUGUGAUUUGCAUUGGCUUGCUAGAAAACUUGUGAAGCAGUACAGAGAAAACAAGGUGAAUCUCAUGCAUAUACUCCCUUCGUUCGGAAUUACUUGUCACAAAAAUUGACGUAUCUACAACUAAAAUACAUCUAGUUACAUUUAUUUCUUCGACGAGUAAUUCCGAAGUAAAUAUCUGAAUUAUGAAUAUUUGAAUUUGUGAGACUGCCCACCAUGCCAGUAUGCCGCCAUCACUAUCUAACAUGUUUUUUUGUUAUUAUUAUGAACUUUUCUAUUUCUUACAAUGUCGUGAAGCAAAUUUUUUUACCACGCAUACCCAUAUAGGAAAUCCUGGCUCCGCCACUGACUAUACUGGGUCCCAGCUAGCAGGGGGAGUAUUCAUUUUUUUUGCGUAAUAAGGAGGCACUUCCUUGCGUGCGAAGAUAUAGCUGGUGGGUCCAAGCUGUCAGCUGCGGUAACGUUUUUUUCGCAAAAUACAGAGGCCCUUUCGGUGAGUCCCAGAUGUUAGGUGGAGGAAUCCUUAUUUUGCGCGUAACAAGGAGGCAUAUCCUUGCGUGCGGCCGUGGACCCAGCUGUCAGCCUCUCCACGUACAUUCCACUUCAGAUGCAUGUCGGUCGUUGACCACAUUGACCAGGCCGCGCCGAGAGCACCAGGGCGAUGGACGACGACGAGGCCUAGGAAGGGAACGACACGGAGGCAGGGAAGACUCGGCAGCUGUUUCCCAUGCUAAGGGGAGUACGACUGUACGAGGGUUUACUGGUUCGUCUGACGUCGCCGGAGAAUAACAGCAGGUAUGGGUGAGUAGAGGGAUGGCUAGGCCAGCGAUGGGAGUAUGGUGGGGCGGUGAGGCCUGCGCGGCAGCACAGCUGGCCGCAGGGAGGAGGGAGCAGGCAGUCCCGCCGAUGCUUGUUUGAGCGGCUGGAGCAGGAAGAGUAGAGAUUGAAGAAGCGCGACGGCCGUUGGAUGGAAAUCCAACAGUCACUGCUUGUGCGUCAACCUUUUUUUAGGAAAGCCUCAAAUCUGUGGAAAACAACAUACAGCCCAUCUGCCAUUAUUUCUAAUAAUUUACAGCCCAUUUGCUAAUUCUUAAGGUUUUUUUGGAGCCCAGAUUCUUUUUGUUAGUAUUACAGCCCAUAUUGUGGCCACGGUUAAAAAAUUAUACGAAAUUUUGCAUACGGUGCGGUCCGAACUAUUUUUAAUCCCGAAAUUUCGAGUCACGUUCAAAAUGAUUUUAAAAAUAAAUGUAUAUCAAUAUAAAAUCCAACAAAUUGUCCAUGCAUAAAAAUAAAUGCAAUUUAAAAUCUCGAAAUGAAAAAAAGAUAUUUGAAACUAAUUGCCGGUUUGAUGUGUUUUAAAAAUGUACAGCCCAUUUCUCAUUACUGAUAGGCCAUUUUCUCGGCAAGCCGAAUGAAGCUCUCCUCGUCUUGAAAGAUUUACAACCCAACAGGCCUGACAAAGCGACUUACUUGGCAAAUCACAAAAAACUGGGCUGUGGCCGUGGACCCAGCUGCGGCCAUGGACCCAGCUGUCAGCCUCUCCACGUACAGUACUCUUCCGAUGGAAGUCGGUCAUUGACCACAUUGACCACGCUGCGCUGAGAGCACCAAGGCGGUGGAUGACGGUGAGGCCUAGGAAGGAGACGACGCAGAGCCGAGGAAGAUGUGGCAGUGGAUGCCCAUGCGGAGAGGAGUACGAGGGUUCACUGGUUCGGCUGCGGCGUGAGGCUGCCAUCGCCGUAGAAUAACAGGGGGUAUGGGUGAGUAGAGGGAUGCCCUGGGCCAGCGGUGGGAGUAGUAGGGGGUGGUGAGGCCUCUGCGGCAUCACAGCCGGCCACGAGAGGCAGGAGCACGCUGCAUGACCGGCGCUGCUUUGGGCGGCUGGAGCAAGAAGACCAGAGGUUGAAGAAGCACUAUGGCCAUUGGAUGGACAUUGUACGGUCACUAGAGCUAGAAUCGUUCAUAUUGACUAAGUUGACAAAGCCCUUCGUCCUCAUCAACUUAGUAGGCCCACAAGUCAGCCACCCACUAUGGUGGGUCCCAGCUAGCAGGGGGUUUUCAUUUUUUUGUGCGUAAUAAGGAGACACUUUCUUGCGUGCGAAGAUAUAGUUGGUGGGUCUGACCUGUCAGCGGGGGGAACGUUUUUUUCCGCAAAAUACAGAAGCCCUUCCCACGUACAGUCCACGUAUAGUGCAUAAUAAGGAGGAACUUUCCUUGGGUGCGACCAUGGACCUCGUGGGUCCCAGCCGUCAGGCUCUCCACGUACAGUCCUCUUCCGAUGACUCUCGUAUGUUGACCACGCCACACCGAGCACACCGAGGCGGUGGACGACGGCGAGGCCCCAGACUGGAACAACCUGGAGAUGGGGAAGACGCGGCAGUGGAGUCGCAGACGGAGAGGAGUGGGAAACUUGACUGGUUCGGGUCCGGGGUGGGCCUACACUUGGCAGAGAAUAACAGGAGGUGCAGAGUGGAGGGAUGGCCUGGCCGUUGGCGGGGUAGCGUUUUGCUGAGGAGCGCAAAACAACGCCGCUGGACGCCGAAGGCUGGAGCAGGCGGUUCCGGCAGCGCUGGGGGAAGAAGACGAGAGAUUGAAGAAGAAUGCCGGCCAUUGGAUGUAAAUCCAACGCCUUCUUAGGCUUCGACCUACUGGCCCACAUGUCAGCCAGUCCAUUUGUUUUUUAGUCCAUUUGGUGGGCUGGGUGAAACAAUGAUGUAGCAUCUAUGCAGCCCGUUUAAAUCCCAUUUGCAUUUUUCUCGAAAUCCCCGGACUUGCUAGGCUAGGUGAAAAUAUCAUGUUGAGCUAGACGGAGAAAUGUUAUAAAAACAUAAACACAUGAUUGCACGUCUAUUACUGCAUUGGUCAGUAAAAUCUUUACAAGCUUAUGUAUGCAAUCACUAGGAGUUAACUUGCCAAGUUAUAUAUAAACAAUUAUUAUUAUUAUUUUGUAAGAACUUUGAACUUACGAAAUAAAAUAUCAUUUAAAUUUGACGAGUUAAUAGUACGUGGGGUAUUAUUAUUUUUUAGGCUAGACGUGGGACAGUUGAGUUGGUUCUAGGGAAAAGUACUGGGAGAAAACUCAGUUUACAUCGAAAAAGAAAGUGGGAGAAAAUUCAAAGACCUGCUGGGUCCACCUGAGGAGGGGAAUAUGUUGGGAGGAAGGAGAUUCAAAGCACGGCAGCCGAGUGAACUAGUUUUUUUAACAGACAAGUGAACUAGUUACAUACAUAAGCAAAUAGCCACUAAAAAAAGCAAUUAGGUUAAUGGGUUUCUUAAAAGAAAUAUUUCGGACAAAACAGAUAAUUACAACACAUAGGCUAAUGCAUGAAACACUCAGAUGAUAAAGGUGCUUAUAAAUAGAUAAAGUACAACAUCUAGACCUUCCUGGCACGCUUGAUCAUGAUGCUGUGGCUGUCCGUGUACUCGUUGGUUACGAGAAGCAGACACACCCUCAUGUCCAAGAUCUGCCUGUACAUGUUGUAGCAUGCGUAUGCGUCCUUGGCCGCGUAGGUUAUGUAGGCUUGAUUCAGAGGUACCUCCCACGUGUUCAUGUCUUCUUCUUUCAUGUUGGCGUAUGAGGGGUCGAUGAUGGUCUCAGUGAGGUCAACCACGGAGUCCUUCUCCUGCCCGUUGCUGAUGAUCUUGUAUUGCUUCUGGAUGUCGACAAGCUUGUUGCACCAGAUGGACGAAUCGUCGUGUUCUUCCUUCUCUCCACCGUAGCGAAGGUGCAGUCGGCGCUGCCGAUGAAAUGAGCGAAUGCUCCAGAACCUGGUGCAGCCAUAGGAGUGAGGCGAGGCAGAGCUUCACCGAGUCCGUAUCAUUGGUGUACAUCACAUUCAACUUGGUGCAGCCAUAGGACUGAACGGCGAACUCAAAGGGGAACUCCUUGGUGAAGUCCAUAUCCAGCAGCCUCACCCCUCGGAUUGCCAUUGGAGUCUCUUUGAGUGAACGAGUGUGUAGGCGGCGGCAGCAGUUCGUUUUUUAGCUCUUGGGGAACUGGAUUCAACAGUAAGCUGAGUGUGUACAGGCGACAACAGUUACUACCCUCCCUCGUCCGCUGCACGCCCGGCAGAAGAUGCACCCUUGGCGCAUUCAAACGCCUCCAUUAAGAAACCUACUCCGGCCACACGUCGGUUCACGAGCGGGUCUGUAUUGGUACUAUAAUAACAUGAGUUUUGGUCACUUUACUUAAAUUUAAUUAGCUUUAAUAGAAAUUUAUACUUAAAACAAGCAAUGCAUUGGCUCAUUCUAUCAGUGCCACAGGAUCAACAUGCACAACAAUUAGAAUGAUUAUUCUCAGGACGCACAUGAUCAGCACAUUUGUCGCACUUUCACAAAAAUAAUACUACCAAGUUUGAACUGUUUGUUAUGGUUGUUGUCCUUUGCAUCAUCAUGCCAUGUUUCCCAGCUUGCAAGAUUCAGAACCAACAAAUAAGAUCCAAAUAAUAAGUACAAUAAAGAUGCCUACACAUCUCAUUGAUUCCCAGCUUGCAAGAUUCAGAACCAACAAAUAAGAUUCAAAUAAUAAGUACAACAAAGAUGCCUACACAUCUCAUUGAUUCCCAACUUGCAAAAUUCAGAACCAACCCAUUAGAGCCUUUUGAUAAAGUGAAUAUCGGGAUUAAAUCCAUCUUGGCUAGCCAUGUCAUACAAUCGAAGAACUUGGCGAAUGCUCUUGACCGUCACAACAUCUAUAGUUGAGUAUUCCUGUUUGCACAACACAAACAAGGAGACAGGAGAGCAUGAUUUUGCUUUAAUAGCGGCCUCCUUGAACUCAACCUGCAACUCCACUAGGAUGAGGUCUGCUUGGAGUUCCAUGAUUCAAUUCAUGCGCCUUUUUAUGCAGUUCACCUGAAAUGAAGCAAAGAUUACAUCAUUCAGCUAGCAAGAAGUACUUGCUCUCGUGAGCUGGCAGGUUCUUCUUUAGUAGUUGCACUAAAAUUGAGGAACAUUAAGGUUGGCUGUCCGGCUCAUGUACGGUGCAACUAUAAUUUUCUUAUCCUUUUGUGCAGUUCCACUAAAAUAAAGUGCCAUUGUGGUGACAGUAACGGCUCCAUCUUGCAAAGGCUAAUAAAAUGUUGCACGAGAUUACCAACAGAACUUGACAAAGAUUUUGGAAACUCCAAUCACCAUUUUGUGCAGUUCCACCAAAAUUGAGAGAUGUUGCCCACGUGACAUUUUAGUUAAACUGCACAAGACACUCAUUCCAAAAAAAGUGUUUUGUGCAGUUCACUAAAAGGUCACAAUAGCAACAAGGUGAAAUGGAUAUCCCUAUCUGCACAAAAAGAUAGAAAGUAAACAGUUGUUGGUCAAUAAGAAUAUAUGAAACAUAUACAAAAUGAAAAGAAGCAUCUUAAUUAUGUUCAUGGAAAUCACGCAAGGACAGUAGAAAUUUUAAAACGUCAGCAAUGCUUCAUGUUACCAUAAGCAUUACGAUCAACAAUGAGAUUCCUCAAAUAUGGGAUUACUUUAAUGGUGGCAUUGCUUGUUUACCAGACACAGUAAAUCAACGGCAGCUAAAGAGUUGGUUUAAGGGCAUGGGACCGUGGGGACACCAGGACACUCAUCAGCGUAAAGGAGCAACUUACUUAUCAUACUGGGGAAAACAACAGGAGUGCCAUUUGUAACACAGUUUAAUUGCAUCUUAUCACUGGAGGCAUUAGAUUAACAAUAACACUGGUUAGACAUGUCCCUAAGGUAACAGUGUGAUCGCUUCAUUUUACAUGUGCCCUUACAUUAACAACAUCAAAAAGGUUGGUAUAAGGACAUGCGACAGUGGACGCAUCAGCACAAUGUACCUACAAGGAGGCAUAAAGUGGUGAUGUCGAGUUUGUUCAUGCUAUGUGAGGGCAGCAAACCUAAUCCUGGAGACCUUGUACUAUGUGAGGGUAGCAAAUCUAAUCCUGGAGACCUUUUACUAUGUGAGGGCAGCAAAUCUAAUCCUGGAUACCUUUUACUAUGUGAGGGCAGCAAAUCUAAUCUUGGAGACCUUUUACUAUGUGAGGGUAGCAAAUCUAAUCCUGAGACCUUUUACUAUGUGAGGGCAGCAAAUCUAAUCCUGGAGACCUUUUACUAUGUGAUGGCAGCAAAUCUAAUCCUGGACAUACUCUGUUGACUUGUCCACCAGCUGCCACUUUCUAUCCUUUUUUCAACCAAUAAUAGAUCUGUUCCUUAUCCAGUUUGUACUGCGUUUUCCCAUUAUUUCCCUUUUCAUCCAAGAGACCGGUUGGGUAUCUGGUCUCUACUACUUUCACCAUAUUAUUUCCUCUUUGAAUCAAGUCCUAGAUUCAUGCUACAACUUUCCCCCCUUUCUUCGUUGUUUGAACAAAGCCCUAGAUUUGAAUGCAUGAAGUAGCUUUACCUCUGAUAAUACUAAAAACUUAGGUGGCUUUGGAAGAGCUGAUGGGAGUAGAAAAAGAUGCACAUGCAGACAUGUGGGGAGCUGGGGCAGUAGAGCAAGGCCGCUUUCGAAGAACUUAUACCUGAGGGUCGCCGGGAUGUCGGCGGCGGCAGGUCGGGUCUGCGGACAAUAAGACAGGGAGGAAGAAGGGUCGGAGGACCUCCCGAGCCGGCACUGUGUCGGAGAGAACGACACGGGUAGAGGAUCGGGCCCCUCCGACAGCUGUGGGUUUCCUCCCCCGGUGGCGAUGACCGCGUGAAUGAUGCACCUUUUAGUCCUUUACACACACCGGCCAAAGGGAUUCGGCCAGAUCUGUGACCAGCGGUGAGUAGAGAGAAAAUGCCGCUACCGCUGUCUUGUUUAUAUCUGGAGAGGAUGAGAGAAUGAAGAGAGCAACCCUAGUAAAGCAAGCGCUCAGGCCCCUGCGUCCAUAUAUAGUAGAGUGAUUAUCUUUUUUCUCUCCACAACAAGCAUUUCAAUUUGUGUACGUGGCAUUAAAGAAAAGAAACUCUCUAUUUAAGGUGACCACUGUACGACUCCUACUUACUACUAGUAGUACUACAGUAUUGUUCACUUGUGCUCCCCGCCCCUCCAUUCAUUGAACAACCCCACGGGUGAAUAAACAUACAGUAAGUAUUGUAUUUAUAUAGAACGAACAAGCUCGAACUAUUAUCGCGUAGUUAAAAGUUGAGGGCGGGGCUUUUCUCGGGCAGUUUUCGGGUAGGCGGUUUGACAGAGAGGCGAGGAGGGUGAGCGAGUGGCGGAUUCUCAAACAUACUGCUGGAAAGGUCGGGCUGUGCGAUUUGACGGUGCAUUACUGCUGGAAAGACUUGUGAUAUGACCACUCACUAUAGUCAUGAAUUACUGGCGCUCCGACCGGGGUGAUGCCCCCCUUCCGUUUCGCGCUCUAAUCUGGUGCAUGACACGUCGACCCGGAUGCUGGCUCUCCCACAUGUCAGAGUAGUAAGAAGGAGCAAAGAAUGAUGUGGUAUAUACUAGUACUACUACUACUCAGGUCGGAGGAGUGCGAACCACGACAGCCCAGUGAACCAGCAGCGAGAACCACGACAGCCCAAUGAACCAGCAGUGCGAACCACGGUAGCCCAGUGAACCAGCAGUAGAAAACAAUGUGCUGAUAUGGCCAUAAGAAACAAUGUGCUACGGUCCACACUGUAGCAUGUACAGUAACACUCCUCUUUGUUUGGAGUCCUGAGUUAGAGCUAGUUUGGGUUGAAAUAGCCUCAAAUUAUCGAAACAAGAGGGGUUAGUUUGAGCUAGUUUGCUCUAACCCAGCUAAAAAAACUAGCCCGAUGGAGAGGUCCUAAUUGGGUUAGUUAUCCUCGGGCCCACUAAAAGAGAACUAAAAAAAUCUCCCCUGCCCGCACCAGAUCGCUCCCCCCCUCUCGCACAACUCCUCUCUGUUCCCCAUAGGGCCGCCCGCCCAAGCAUCGCUCGCCCUCUCUCUCCUCCGACCGCCCUCUCCUUCCGGCCUCCGCCGCCCUACUCCGGCCGCCCUCUCCCUCCGGCCUUUGAAGGUUGCCCCGCUCUCCCUUCACCAGUCGUUUUUCUCCCUUUGUCGUGUGCGGCAGCGGCGCAUCUACCAGGGAGGUCGCGAGAGGGGUGGGUUUGUUCGUUCCUUCUCUGUCUCACGGCCAUAUCAUUGAUCUUGCUUGCUCUAGCGCUAAUUCUGAUUUGAAAAAGUAGAUCAUGAUCAAACUUGGUAUAGAUUUGUGGUGCACGCAUGGAAUUGUUUGAUGCUGCUUGAGGAGGUAAUAAAUCUUUCUAGAGGCCCAAAGAUUCAGUUCACCUUUCUAGGUAUUUCAAUUUCAGGCUUGCAUUAUUUCUAGAGGCCCAAAGAUUCAGUUCACCUUUCUAGGUAUUUCAGUUUCAGGCUUGCAUUAUUUCUAGAGGCCCAAAGAUUCGGUUCACCUUUCUAGGUAUUUUAGUUACAGGCUUGCAUUAUUUCUAGAGGCCCAAAGAUUAAGUUCCCAGUCUGCGGCAAGCGGCCCUGCUACCCAUGCCGGUGUCGACCUCAACUCGCAAGGGCCAGUGUCGGAGGGGUUCCCGGGGCUUGGGAUCUACAGAGCCUUCCUCCAGAGCAACGAUGGUGAGCUCCUCCCUCGGUGUGUGAGGGGCUCCGGGCUCCCUCCCUAUCGUGAAUGACUUCUGUGAUGAGUUAGCUCAUGCUUUGUUUCAUGAAGUGUUUUUUUUAUUUUGUGAAGCUUGAUUGACGACUUGUAUGUUUAAGUGGGAUAUCUCAUUUGUAUGGACAAAGUAAAAAUUAUCAUGCUUUGCAUGCUUGAUUUGUAUAGAUGGUUCAUUUAUGUCAAUUGUGAGUGGGAGGAGGCCACAGAAGAGCCGGCCACACCAAAUCCGGCAGGAAAUAGGGUCCAAAGUAGUCAAAUGAUUGAGAAAGAGCAUUUAUUGUCAAUCUAACCCUACCAUCCAUACACCUCUUUGGUUUAGAGUUAGUUCAGGGUUAGAAUCUGACUCUAACCUCUAACUGAGUUAGAGUUCUCCUCGUCUCGAUUCAUCGCCAUCAUACUUUCCCCAUUCCUGUGUUUUCAAUAUCCUGCGAAUCAAAGAGGCCCUUUUUUUGCGGGAAAAAUCAAAGAGGCCCUUAGACUAGUUUAGGUCCGGUCAUUUUUUAUAAACGUGUUAUGUCCAAAAUUUAAUGAACGUGCUCCGGUUUCCACGAAAAUAAUCCGGUUUCAUGUAGUAAUUCAUUCAUUUAUUUAUUCUUCUGCGGGGGGUUUGCAUGUAAUUCGUGAGGUCUGAAAUGUAAAGUACCCCGGCAUAUGCUCUGAGUCGUGCAUGCACUAUGACCCAGAUGCUCUAGGUCCCACAUGUCGACGAAUGGGAGCACGUGGAAAUAGCCUAGGAGUACAUAUAGGAGGACAAAUGCGUGAAAAAAUAUGUACUGGGAAGCGUAGCUGCGGUUCGAAAAGGAGACCUAAAGUGAUGACAGCUAUAGGUCGCACACACCCAACUAGUGGUACUAGACAUACGACUAAUUUUUCCCUCAAAAAAGAGAGGCACGAGUGCUCAGUACUCCUAUUCUAUAAACACGAGUCCCAUCUGACAACAGCGUCCGUGCUACAGCUAUCUCUCCUCCCUCGUUUCUCUCUUCUAAUUCUAAACUCGACCGACACCCGGUGGGCAGGGUGGGUUUGCUCAACUGCGGCCCCACCUCAUAGUGAAAACAUUACGACUGGAAUAAAAAUGCCAUAUACUCCCUCCGUUCCUAAAUAUAAGCCUUUUUAGAUACUAUUUCAAAUGGAAUACAUCAUAUAGAUGUAUGUAGACAUAGUUUAGAGUGUAGAUUCACUCAUUUUGCUCCGUAUGUAGUAGUCACUUGCUGGAAUAUUUAGAAAGACUUAUAUUUGGUAACGGAGGGAGUACUAUACUAAUAAAACAUUAAGGCCACGAGGCAAUGCAGUGCUGGUUACAGGAGGCAAGAAGAAGAGAUGCAUCCAUCAAUGACGUCCACCUCCUCGACUCAGGGCGUUGGCCCAUUGAACGACGCCUAAGUAGCAGCGGCUUUCGUGGCCAGGUCGACGUGCUUCUGAACAAUGGCGUCCAAAGAUUCCAGCCGCUGGAAGAAGGCCAACGUCUUUAUGUCCUCGCUUGCCUUGUAGUGGCCUAUGUAGACGAUUUCCUCGUAGACGUGGAUGUGCAGGUCAACGGUUUCUUGCAUGGCGAUGCGCUACGUGGUGAGCGCGGCCUCGAGGUGCACAUUCUUUGUCGCGACCUCCAGCACCUGCGGGGCUACCAGGGCUUGAAAGAGUUCGUCACCAUGGAGACCUAUGAGGGUGGCAGGCAAUGAGGAGCCUGGGCGCGCGGGCUAGAGCAGUACGGCAAGGUCGUCCGCAUGCUUCUUGACGACGGUGAACUUGUGGAUGGAGUUGACCAUCAUGUCGUCCAUGCGAGAGGCAAAGCCAGCGUCGGUGAGGGCUACGAUGCCUGCGGUCGCCAGCACCAUCUGGAAACACUGCACGGUGCAGCCGCAGGCCGGCGCCUUGGAUGAUUUGGCACAGCCGACUGCCGCUCGGGUCCAUCGCCUCCAUAGGUGCUUGUGGCUUGUGGUCACUUGGUCUUGGAUUGGAGUGAGCAGUGUUGCGCAGAGACUUGGGAGUAGAUGGAUUGGAGUGGUGGGGAGCCUUUAUUAUAUGAGAGUCCAAACUCUGUUACAUUCACAUCGUGCUGGCUCUAUUCUGCUUCUCCAAUUAAUUCCCUCUACAUGUAAUUGAGGAUGCAUCAUUGAUCGUUCAACGUCUCGGGAAUCGCUACCCUCUCCCUCCUUGGCAUUCAAGCACCUAUGGACCCGUCGACGACGAGGUGCCUAUGGUGACUUCAUAAAUUUCAAGAUGAUAGUGCCGUGCGUGUGUGUGUUCAUAGGGGUGAGUGUACGCGCGUGUAUAUGAGCGUUUGCGUCUGUAUUGUGUCAAAAAAACGUAAAUGCGUGUCAAAAAGAGACUAGUCAGUAUACUCAAUAUUGUGCACCUCGGAGAGGAAAACGAUAGAACUAGUACGUAUUUAUUUACGGUGCAGAUUCACUCAUUUUGCUCCAUAUGUACUCCGUCUCGGUGUAGUCUAGUCACUUGUUGAAAUCUCUAGAAGGGAAAAUACUCAUUUCUGGUUUACAGGGCUAUACUAGCAAGUAGUUGUACGUACUAGUACAAUAGUGGGCUCACAUAGCAAUUUUGUCUCAUGCAAGAGCCUGGCUAUAUGCGUGCUCCAAUGUUCGCAACUGCAACGUUCGGUUUGCGCUUGGCUCUUCGCCUCUUCGAGAAGACGAACAAUGAUGUUACUACUACUGCUUCUACAGUGUCGAAUCCACUGCUGCAUGUCCGUCCACCGCGAGCGGGACGGAUAGCUUGUUGUAGAAGUACUACUAAGCAAAAGCCUGUCCUCGUUUGUGAGCAACCGCGCGCAUGGGCGAGGGAGAAGGCGUGUAGUAAAGUCAAGCUUCUCCUUGUUGUACGAGUUGACGCGACACAUCAUAGCACUGUCCCCACAUGCUUGCCUCUAAACUUGGCUGAAAGACCCACAGUGUACAAUAUAUUUGCUGCAACCUCUAACAUUUACCCACCACAAAUUAAAAUAUAUGUGGCCGUAUGCAUCAUUCUGAUGCAGAGGCCGGGGAGUCCCCCCUUUUCGGAAAAAAUAAAUUAAAAUAUAAAUUCCUGUCUUGACCAGAUGAGCGUGCAAACUACAAUCACCAGGGUGACAGGUAGGGCCAGAAGACUGUUUUAAUUUUUUUAAAAACUUUGAGACGGCCACAUAGCAUGGAGCCGACCCCAGCGAUUUUAAGCUUACAUGCACGGUACAUGCUAUCCUAGACUACUCUACACAUGAAACUGCCACACGAGCGUCCGGGCUGCGCUUGGCUCUUCGCCUCUUCGGGAAGUCAAACAAUGAUGGAGUACUAUUGCACUGGAGGAGUACUACAAUACGCUUCUGGCCAUUUGACACCGAUUGAACUGCUGCAUGUCCACCGCCUGCGGGAGGGAGAGUGUGUAGCGAAAGCUUCUCCUAGUCUUGCCAGCCACCACGCUCAUGGGCGAGGAAGGGACGCUCCUGCCUUUGCGUGUAUGACAGGUGGGCCCGACAGGUGUGUGGCCAACCUGUCAUACAGCCAAAGGCAGGUGCAGUUAAGUCCGCGAGGGAGAGGAUAAUCAAACUUCUUGUUGAUGUAUGAGUUGACGCAACACAUCAAAGCACUGCACUCGAUAUAUUUCAAUAAUUUGCAUUUACCAAUGCAUUAAUUACAACGCAUGCAUGCAUGCCGUGACUCUCCUUUUGAUACUUGCAUGUGUUGAUUUAAUGCACCUUGAAGUAGUAUAAAAUAUGUGACGGUAAAGCUUUGUAAUGCCCCGGCCCAAGUUGAGAGAUGGUUGUGCACGAGGAGGGCGAGAUCAUGCAGACCGAACAAGACCCAAUGAUGGAGCUCUCUAAGGUCUCAAUGGACCUCACGGUGCUCCACUACCCCUUGUGCCUCCGCCCCUUGACGCCUCCAGUGUAUGAGGUUCGAAUACACCUUGUUCGUUCGGCUGAUUGAGCAAGGUGCAGGUUUCUUCAUUGAUGUGAUGUUUGAUUGAUUUCUAUAGUGCAAGGGAGGGCACCUGGCCUGCGCGGACUGCCGCGUCGAGCGCCCCGGGAACCAGUGGCAGUGCCAGAAGUGCGAGCGCGGCGGUGGCUUCGACGUGCGGAACACGACGGUGGACUCCGUCCUUUCGUCGGUGAGGGUGGAGUGCCCGCACGAAGGCUGUGGGCUCUACGUCACUUACCACAAGCUCGUCAAUCACUAGAGCGUGUGUCCGCUCGCGCCCCGCAAAUGCCCCGUGCCCGUCUGCGGCUACGAAGGCCCGCUGGCGGCGCUCUACCACCACAUCAGCACCGCGCAUCCCAUGCCCGUGCACAAGGUCCAGUACGGCAAGGUGCUCCAGCUGCAAGUGCCACUGUCGGAGCCACAGCUCUUGCUGUUUGCAGAGGAGGACGGCCACGCGUUUUUCUUGGUCGGCAGCAUGCUCGACAUCGGCGCGCCUAUCACCGUGUCGGUGAUCUGCAUCAGAGCGGGGGUGUCCCCACUGCGGCACUACGUGGCCAAGCUGUGGGCGAACGGUACGCCGGGGGAGCCCAAAGGCACGACCGACGCUGUCAAGGUGGAAAUGGAGGUGACAAGCAGCAAGGAUCCCGGUGACAUCGACGUGCAGGAGCUGACCUUCUUCACAGUUCCGCCCAAGCUGCUGGCCGGGGCUAAGCUGGUGUCCCUCCACAUUCAAAUUGACAAGCUCACGUCCUAAAUGUUUCUACAGUGCCUUCUGUUUAUCUUAGUAAUAUGCUAAUAUAGGGAUUACCUCGGUCUACAUUAGCUUAAGAAAUGGUGGGUUUUGGUGGCGAUGCAGCAAUUACUUCGACAUCAGAUCAGUAAUUUCCAACAGUCGAACGGAUAUUUUGUGUCUGUUGGAUAUAAAGUUCCUUUGGGUAAGAAGUACUACUUGUCAUCAAAAUGGAUAAAAGGAGAUGUAUGUAGACGUAUUUUAGUUCUAGAUACAUCCCUUUUUAUCCAUUUUGAUGACAAGCACUCCCUCCGUUCCACAAUACAUGCCUUCCAUUUGUCAAAAUAUAGAUGUAUCUAGACAUGUUUUAGUAUAUAGGUACGUCCAUGAUAGAGCCAAUCAGAUGGUUGAGAACACUACAAUUCGUAGUCACAGAUGCGUGUGUGACUCCCAGAUGUAGAGGCCGGGGGUCAUCAUCCUCCUUUUCGAGAAAAAAAUAGACGCGUGUGUGAGAGGACGAGUGCGUGUGUGCACCUCUUCUCUUCCUGUAUAACGUACUAAACUCAGAGUACAAGUUUUUGUGGGUGGCACGAUGGUGCAUGCGAGAAGUCCCGAGAGAUAGGUUUAAUGCGUCUGAAAAAAGACUAGCCUAGAGCUCGCCACGCGGCUAUUCCUGUCGAACGCCCCAUUAACCAUAAGAUAUGUAUACGACACUGCCAGUUAUUGCACGUACACAGCAGUACUCCCUCCUUUCCGGUUUAUAGGGCUUAAUUAAAAAAUCUCACCAACCAAGAUGGUGAGUGGUGGAAUAUUUUUUGUAGUUUGCAAAACACCUAAUUAAUGCUCUUGCUUUUCUCAAAAAAUUAUGUUUAUCAAUGCAUUAAUUGCAAUGCAUGCAUGCAUAAAGUACAUGCAUUGGUCAAUUUUCUCUUAAUACUUGCAUGCAAUGAUUUAAUGCACCUUGGAAUCUGAACAUGUGAUGGGGAACAACCAAAUUGAGCCUUAUAAAAUGGAAAAACUAAAAUUUUGAGAUAAUCCCUAUAAAACCGGAAAGGAGGGAGUAGAAAAAGAACUACUCCAUCCGGGAAUAGUGCCGCACUUCGAAACUAGAACCGUCAAUAAAUUUUGAGCUUGCAUCUCGUCACAUUCCAAAUUACUCCACGCUAUAUUGAAUUGCAAACCUGUUCACACCGAUCACAACCUAAACGGUUUCCCACUUAGGAGCGUAUUAGUACCACGCUAUAUUGAAUUGCAAACCUGUUCACACCGAUCACAACCUAAACGGUUUCCCACUUAGGAGCGUAUUAGUACUCGGUUAUAAAUACUAGUAUGCCAAGAUGACUGCAUAUUCCUCCUCAACUCCUCAUCCACAAAAACAAACAAGUCAUUCAGCAUCCUUCCCUUGUGUCUGCCAUGGCCAGCGUGAGUUCUGGGUCGAGAGAUUGCCACCAGGGAGAGGCGAGCAUGGAAGCGGAAGCACGAGAGAUGUCCCGCCUCGCUGCCAGAGCAGCCGACAUGUCCCGCCGCGUGGAAGUAGCAGCACAGAGGUCCCGCCACGCUGCUGAAGCAGCACGGAGGUCCCGCCAUGCCGUCGAUGUAGUAGACUGGUCUCAUCGCACCGCGGAAGCAGCAGAGAUGUCCCGCCGUACCGCGAAUGCAGCAGAGAUGUCCCGCCGCGCCGCGGCGGCCUGAGAAAAUUUCUCGCAGGCAGGCGACGACUGUUACAGGCGCAUGCAUGAGAUCGUCCAUAGCCAGAUGGAUUACAUCUUUGGCUGGGAGAGGUUGCAGGACGACAUGAAAGCCUCGUUUGAACCGGCUACUGGCGUCAUCUGACAACUAAGGGAGGGCAAUGAGAGGCUCUGGGCCGAGUGCGACCUGCUAAGGGAGAAGAUCGUCUGAAGUGUAGACCAGCAGGAGGAGACCAGUGCCUUGUUGAAGAGGACCAGCGUCAUCAUCAAGAAACUUAUGGACGAGAAUGACAUGCUCCGCAACAAGCGCCAAAGGCUAGUGGAGGAAUCCGUGGAUGUUCUCAAGCAGCGUCUUGAGGACACGAAAGAGCUCAUCGCCGCUCACCGCGGAUACUAGUUCCCGCGGCCUGCAGUAACGCAUCAAGAAAGUAGAGAUCAGCGAGCCAGAUCCUUGUCUUCCUUCUUCUUUUGCCCUUGUGUAUUUCGGGCGUAGACACAUGUGGCUUUUUUAAUUAUCUUUCUAAUUAUGUAAGACAAUUAAUCGUCCUUAUAUAUUCAUCAGUCUUGCUAUAAGUCGCAGUAGAUGCUAUAUAGGUCCGUCGGAUCUUACAUCAAGAUCUGUGCUUUCAGAUUUUCUUUUCUCUCUCUUAAAUCUCAGUCGAGUGAGACAUAGCCACGCCAUUAAACAGAGGCUUGGGCGCCAUUAAUGGAGACCUUGGGAGAGAGGUGGACGGCAGAUGGAGGUCAAAGGGCUCUCCUCCCGAUAAGCACGCGCAGGGGUCAGAUCGCACGCCUCUCGUACUCAAAUAGCUACCCUGCAUGGCGCCUCCUAGCUAAUAAAAAAUGGGGAUGCGUGGCGGCACGUAAAUGGUACUAGUAAGUAGAACGCCCACGGUUUCAAUAAUACUUGUGUUUCCGAUUGUAACAUGACAGCACUUGUUCCAAAAUGACUUUGUUGAUUGUUAAUGUGUGCGCCUUCGCAAAUUGGACUGCAAAAUUACCACAACAUGUUGGUGCCAUGUCAUGGCACCAAGCCAAGUUUCAUUAUUUUCAUGCGUGUUUUGGAUUUACAGGAAUUAAAAAACUAAGUUUCUCAAUGUUUCCAACCCAGCCACGACGCCCAGAAUUUUGAAUUUCAUUCCCAUUUCUUGCAUGGAACCUAGAAAUUUACCCGAGGACACACAUGUGAUUUUUCAACCAACUUUGGUGCACUGGAACAUGUGCUUGUAUUUCAAAUUUGAAUUAUGCACACAAAGGUGACAUGUUCCCUCCCAGAACCACGAGCCUUCUUGAGAGAAGCUCCGAUUUGCAAGAAGCUUAUACCAAAAUUUGUUCCUAUUCGGCCAAUUUUUUUACCACGGCAUGGUACUACCAUGACAUGACACCAUGCCAAGUUUCAUGAUUUUAAAACCAAGUUUCUCAAUGUUCUCGACCGAGCCAAGAUGCCCAGAUGUUUGAAUUUUAUUCUCAUUUUUUGCAUGGGACCUAGAAAUUCACCCGAGGACACAAAUGUGAUUUUUCAACCAACUUUGGUGCACAGGAGCAUGUGCUUGUAGUUCAAAUUUGAAUUAUGCACAUUAAAUGACGAAAAACUCAGUUAAUGUGUAAAUAAGGCCAAACGAAGCCGAAAUAAUUCCAAAAUUUAACAGGGCACUCAUGUAGUUCUAUGUUGCCUUUGUAAAUAAACUCAAGGGGGACAACGUAUAUCAUUUCGCACUCAAAGGUGGCACGUUCCCUCUCAGAACCAUGAGCCUUCUUGAGAGAAGCUUUGGUUUGCAAGAAGCUUAUACCAAAAUAUGUUCCUAUUCGGCCAAUUGUUUUACCACAGCAAGGAAGUACCAUGACAUGACACCCAUACCAAGUUUCAUGAUUUUCAGACGUGUUUUGGAUUUACAAGAAUUAUAAAACCAAGUUUCUCAAUGUUCUCGGCCGAGCCACGAUGCCCAGAUGUUUUAAUUUUAUUCUCAUUUCUUGCAUGGGACCUAGAAAUUCACCCGAGGACAAAAAUGUGAUUUUUCAACCAACUUUGGUGCACGAGAGCAUGUGCUUGUAGUUCAAAUUUGACUUAUGCACAUUAAAUGACUAGAAACUCAAUUAAUGUAUAAAAACGACAAACGAACCCGGAAUAAUUCCAAAAUUUAACAGGGCACUAAUGUAGUUCUAUGUUGCCUUUGUUAAGAAACUCAAGGGGGGCAGCGUAUAUCGUUUCACACUCAAAGGUGGCACGUUCCCUCUUAGAACCACGAGCUUCCAAAUCGGCCCAAUUUUUUACCACAACAUGUUAGUGCCAUGACAUGACACCAUGCCAAGUUUCAUGAUUUCCAGGCGAGUUUUGGAUUUACAUGAAUUUAAAAUCUAAGUUUCUCGAAGUUCCCGGCCGAGUCAUGACGCCCAGAUGUUUGAAUUUCAUUCUCAUUUCUUCCAUGGGACCUAGAAAUUCAACCAAGGACACACAUGUGAUUUUUUAACCCACUUUGGUGCACCGGAGCAUGUGCAUGCAAUUCAUAUUUAGAUUAUGCACAUUAAAAGUCCAGAAACUCAAUUAAUGUAUAAAAUGGCCAAAUGAACCCGAAAUAAUUCCAAAAUUUAAUAGGGCACUCAUAUAGUUCUAUGUUGCCUCUGUAAAGAAAAUCAGGGGGGAGGCAGCGUACAUCGUUUCGCACACAAAGGUGACACGUUCCCUCUUGGAACCACGAGGCUUGUUGAGAGAAUCUCCGGUUUUGCAAGAAGCUUAUACCAAAACUUGUCCCAAUUCAGCCAAAAAUUAUACAUAUGAAAACAGGGUUUAGAUUAUCCCAAACAUCUCGCUACCUAGACCAAUAAUGUACUAUGAUUUGAGUUCAACAUAAAAUGGAUACAAAUAUUUGAAUUGGAGAGCAUAUGGUACAUGUAGUUCAUAGUGAAAUAUGAUUACUGCUAUAUGCAUGUUUUUUGUUAUCAAGAUAAUAUUUAAAUUAUUGUAUAACUUGACAACAGUUGUAUUCAAAUAAGGAAAAUUGAUUCAAAUUUAGUCCAUAUGGUAGACGACAAUAUAUAUGUUCACAUGGAGGAGUAAAAUGUUCAUAUGUGAUGGAAGAUCAAAAUGUACGACUACAUCAAUUAUAAACCGCAAGGUCACCUAAUGAUAUAUUUGAAUUCAACAUAACGUGGAUUCAAAAAUUGAAAUUUGAUAUCCUGGCAUCUGUAAUCAUAUAAAAGGGGACAUUACACUUUCUUUGGUGGGAAUUGAUUUAUUUUUUGUUGUUGUUGAGGGAAGUGCGAAUCGAUUUGGUAAUGUGUAGGGUAAUCUUGUUCUCCCGAUUUUUUUACAUUUUUCUUGUAGUUUUUUAAAUGGCAUCUAUAGCAAUAUAGUAAAAGGGGACAUGACUCUCUUGUGUCUUGUAUGAAUUGUUUUUUUACACGUUAAGUUUGUUCUGCCGAACAAGGAAUCCACACCUUGUUAUCCCAAAAUUUUCAGGCUCGAGUAUCUUUUGUCUCACCUGCUUUGAAACUCCCGCCUCUUCAACCCGCGCCGCGCCUUGUUAUCCCGAAAUUUGGACACGCGCGAGAACUCCCUCCUCAUCCGAAAUCGGCCCCGCAGCCCAGACACGCGAAAUCCCCCUUCUACCCCUCAGCCGGAAAUGAAGCUCCACGUCGCGGUGUCAAAACCGGUGGGGGUACGCUGGUAACUUACCCUACAUUUUGGACAAGCGCGUCCCUAGGCUUGGCUCCCCCUCCCCCUUCGCCCCCCAUUCAUACACGAGGCCGCCAAAACCCGCGAAGGCCCACGCUGCUCCGUCGGCCUCUCGACCGCCGCCCAGCCGGAGACUCUUCCCCGACUACGUCGUCCACCGCAACAGCUUGCCGUCCCUCAUCCACCGUGUUGGAAAUAUGCCCUAGAGGCAAUAAUAAAAGGAUUAUUAUUAUAUUUCCUUGUUCAUGAUAAUUGACUUUUAUUCAUGCUAUAAUUGUGUUAUCCGGAAAUCAUAAUACAUGUGUGAAUACAUAGACCAAUAUGUCCCUAGUGAGCCUCUAGUUGACUAGCCCGUUGAUCAACAGAUAGUCAUGGUUUCCUGACUAUGGACUUUGGAUGUCACUGAUAAUGCAAUCACAUCAUUAGGAGAAUGAUGUGAUGGACAAGACCCAAUCCUAAGCAUAGCACAAGAUCGUGUAGUUCGUUUGCUAGAGCUUUUCCAAUGUCAAGUAUCUUUUCCUUAGACCAGGAGAUCGUGUAACUCCCGGAUAUCGUAGGAGUGCUUUGGGUGUACCAAACGUCACAACGUAACUGGGUGACUAUAAAGGUAUACUACGGGUAUCUCCGAAAGUGUCUAUUGGGUUGACACGGAUCGAGACUGGGAUUUGUCACUCCGUAUGACGGAGAGGUAUCUCUGGGCCCACUCGGUAAUGCAUCAUCAUAAUGAGCUCAAAGUGACCAAGUGUCUGGUCACGGGAUCAUGCAUUAUGGUACGAGUAAAGUGACUUGCCGGUAACAAGAUUGAAUGAGGUAUUGGGAUACCGACGAUCGAAUCUCAGGCAAGUAACAUACCGAUUGACAAAGGGAAUUGUAUACGGGGUUGCUUGAAUCCUCGACAUCAUGGUUCAUCCGAUGAGAUCAUCGAGGAGCAUGUGGGAUCCAACAUGGGUAUCCAGAUCCCGCUGCUGGCUAUUGACCGGAGAGCCGUCUCGGUCAUGUCUACAUGUCUCCCGAACCCGUAGGGUCUACACACUUAAGGUUCGGUGACGCUAGGGUUGUAGAGAUGAAAGUGCUAGUUAUCGACUAGAGGGGGGGGGGGUGAAUAGGCGAUUUUUAUCAAAGUCCAAAACGUGGAAGUUUCGAAGACAAACAAUAGAAAUGACCUUAUUGAUAUGCAGCGGAAGAUAAACUACAACAAGCAAACCAUAGUCAAGUAUGCAAUAAUGUGAAAGUACAAAGACUAAUAGCAGCUUGGUAGUAAGGAUCAGGAUGGAAGAUAGUAUGAAGCCAACCAACGAUAGUAGUCAAGAAAUGAAGUCAAAUAGGUAUGAAAAAUAGGCAAUGACUUCACGAAGACAAACUCAAAGUAAAGGGAGGGAGAGGAUAGCACCAGUCAUUUGUUGAAGACACAUGAUUUGUUGGACUAGUUCCAGUUGCUGUGACAACUGUACGUCUGGUUAGGGAGGCUGAGAUUCAACUCAGAAGACCGCGUCUUCACCUUAUUCCCCUUGAGCUAAGGACACACAGUCCUCGCCCAAUCACUCUGGUAAGUCUUCAAGGUAGACUUCCGAACCUUCACAGACUUCGUUCACCGGCGAUCCACAAUGACUCUUAGAUGCUCAGAAUGCAAUGCCUAACCGGCUAGAGGAUACACAGUCCUCAAGUGUAAUAAGUCUUCAGGUCACUCAAAUAGAAAGACUUUAGUGAUGCCUAACACUCUUUGGCUCUGGGUGUUUGGGCUUUGUCCUCGCAAGGAUUUCUCUCUCUCAAAGGCUUCAAGGUGGGUUGCUCUCAAACGACAAAAGCCGUGAACUAACUCUGAGCAGCCACCAAUUUAUGGUGUAGGGGGUGGGCUAUUUAUAGCCACAAGGCAACCCGACCUGAUAUGUCCGAAAUGACCCUGGGUCACUAAGGAACUGCCAUGUGUUCCAACGGUCAGAUUUCAAACACACACGGCAACUUUACUUGGGCUACAAGCAAAGCUGACUCAUCCAACUCUGGAUAAGAUUUGCUCUCAUUGUCUUCGCUCGAAGACAUAGGAUUUGGGUUGAGCAUCACUUCAGUCAUUCUGACUUUGUUCACUUGGACCCCACUUAACAGUAUAGUGGUUCCUAUGACUCAACAAAGAAGAAAAGGAAACAACGAAACAACACAGUCUUAGCGCUCCAUAGUCUUCACUCAAUGUCUUCUCAUGUCAUAGUCUUCAAUAUGAAUAUCUUCACAUACCACCAUUGUCGUCAAUGUCUUCAUACAUUUUUAGGGGUCAUCUCCGGUAGGUAAACCAAAUCAAUGAGGGACACUACCUGCGUUAUCCUGCAAUUCUCACAAACGCAUUAGUCCCUCAACCAACUUUGUCGUCAAUACUCCAAAACCAACUAGGGGUGGAACUGGAUGCACUUACAAUCUCCCCCUUUUUGGUGAUUGAUGACAAACUGGUUGAAGUUUUCAACGGGGAUAAAGUAUGUGAAAUUGUGAAGGAUAGGGUAUUGUCUUCAUAAGUGGCAAAGGCUCCCCCUGAAGAUGUGCAUAUAAGUAAUUUGCUUUUGGAAUGCAAAUGCACAUGGCAGGUUGUACUUGUGGAGAUCCUCUUCAAUUUAUGAAGAUAAUUCAUCAUGCAUGAAAUGAUAUAACUAAGAGAGUGACAUGCAUAAUGAAAAAUGGACGUCUGCAGAAUGAUCUAAGUGCGGAAGUUAUCAUCGCACAUGGAAAAGCAAAUAAGUAGUAGAUGACCAUCGAGUUUAAGUGUUAUAACUCAAAGAAUGAAAUGUAUCAAAAGCAAGAGUUGUAAUCACUAGGCAAAAUAUAAAGCAACCGCCCAUAUGAACCCGCUUGAAGACUAUCAAACUCAUAUGCUUCUCCCCCUUUUGUCAGUAAUGACCAAAAAGGUUUGAAGACAUAGAGCAUCUACUCAUCCUCAUGAGGAGUAGGUGAAGCAGCUGGGUUGUCGUUGUUGUUUGGCGGCGCAGACGAACUUGGUGCAGUGUCGAUGCGUGCAGAAGUAGGGGGCGGUGAAGUAGCAUCGUCUUCAUCAUCGAUCACUUUGGCAUUCACAGUUGCCGCGGAGGAAGAAUAGUCAGCGUCUUCAAGGGAUGGAGUUCGACGUAGGACAACAUUCCAUGGAGGAGUGGAGUCAAACUUGAAUCUUUCAGUGAAGCCAUCGUCUUGAAGAUCUGCUUCAGCACUGAGCAGUGUCAAACUCUUCCAUGAUCGCCGACAGGUCUCGUGAGUGACAAAGGCAUUCUUGGUGGCAAGAUUUCGAAUGCGAUUGACGUCCACCAAGAGGCUUUGCAUCUGUCGCUUGAUCCAGAAUUGAUGCUUGUCUUGUUACUGAUGCAGUGCCAUAAGAAGUUCUCGGUCAUUUAGGACGCGAGAGCGCUUCUUAGGCCUUUGGGUAAUUGUGCUCUCAGUAGCUUCAGUUUGCGCACGAUGAGGCAAACGAGUGGUCCCAGCCAUUGGAUAGACACGAGUUACUGCUUGGACUCCUUCCAUGGGCUGAGUGAAGCUUUGGUGUUCAGCAUUUUGAAGACAAAGAGGCUUCUUGGCAGGCUCAGGGUAUAUGGCUUCAACUGACAUAUCAACCUCUAGUAGAAAGAUCAGAUGAUCGCGAGCAGAGGGCUGAUAGUUGAUAACAGAGUGUAGCUUGAUGAGGCGCAUGACCCAUGGAGCAUAGAAUUUCAGGCCAAAAAGGUCAGAUCCUGAUGCAGCCAGUUGCCGGAGGAAGAAUUCUUGUGUAUUGAAGCUGAUGCCAUUGAGGAUGUAAAAGACCAAUGUCUUCAUGGCUCCUUCAAGUUUUGCAGCUGAUGAAUGCCCUUUGAUAGGCCAUAGAGUUCACCUGAUGAUGUGAUAUAUUGUGCGAGGCAGAUACUCAAGGUCAUCAACAAAGAACUCCUUUGGGUAUUCAGUGUCAUGUGGUAGAGGCUUCAUCAUGCUCAACAUCUGGAUCAUGUUGGGCUCUGGCUUAUGGAAGAUGCUCUCCAGUGCAUUGCGGUGGAGUUGACAAUCAGGUUCAAACAGCUCUCCGGGAGUGGGUAGGCCUGUAAGCUUAAUGAUGUCAAGAGCUUUGGCUUCAUGAUGAACAUUUCCUAUCAUCCACUUGAGAACCCAUGUCUUUGUAUCCCUGUUGUAGCCGUGAAUGUGGAGGGUAGCAUAGAAUUGAAGCAAAAGUUCCUCAUUCCAAUGUUCUUUGUCUGUCACAAAGCUGAGCAGACCUGCAUCACGAAAGCAGUCAAGUGCUUCUUCUAAGCAUGGCAGUCCAGCAAUGGCUUCAGUGUCAAGGCGCAUAUGAGGGAAAAUGCGCCCUUGAUCAUACAUAACGCAGGAGUAAUAGCUUCGCUGCUGAUAGCUCCAGAAAUGAUCAGAUGAUAUUCUUGGCCUUGAGUAGGGGUUCUUUGCGCUGUCAAAGAAGGUGUUGUGGCUUUUGAAGCCAUUUGCAUUGAAGGACCCUGUAGAGGUGGCAGUACCUGGGAACCUUGGCAGCCGUGGCUUUGGUUUCUGGACCUGAGGCCUAUGCUCAAUAUGAUAAUCAAACUAAGGACCAGAGGCAUUAGGCGGAGCACUACUAGGAAAAGGCCUACUAAUGGCGCAUCGGUUUUGCCUACUAAUGGCGCACUACCGGUGCGCCAUUAGUAGCACGCCACUAGUAUUUUUUACUAAUGGCACACCACUGGUGCGCCAUUAGUAUCUGGUAUAUCAAUGGCGCACCAUGCAGUGCGCCAUUAGUUUUGCCCACAGUGCACCACUAGUCUGCUAUACUAAUGGUGCACCACAUGGUAGUGCGCCAUUAGUAACAAUUUUUUUAUUUUUUUCUUAAUCUCAGGUCACUAUUUCACAUAUGAGAUAUCCAACACAUAUAUAUAUACAACAAGCAUCCAUAUAACAAUCAUAGCCAACACACAAGUUCCAUCAUAUAUACAUACAUAGCCAACACAUAGUUCCAUCGUUAUAUAUUACAAAAGUUUCACAUUGUUCAUCCAACACCGUUAUCCAUCAAUUCACAAAAGUUUCACAUUGAUACAAAAUAAAAACACAAAUGUAAAAGAAGCACCCCAUCCAUGCAAGCUUCCGUGAAUUAAAUCAAAUCUGCAAAAUGAUAAACAAGAAGUUAGAAGAAGAAGAAGAAGAAGAAGACUAGAAGAAUACUAGAAGAAGAAGAACACUAGAAGAAGAAUAAGAAGAAUUUUUGAAAAGAAGAAGAAUAAGAAGAAGACUAUAAGCUUAUUAUGUAAACUUGAUCAUUUUGUGCUAACAUAAGUAAUUUUGGAGCUAACCUAUAGGAAACUAAGCAUAUAAGCUCUAAGUUAGCAUAUUAGAGCCAACUUAGGUAAAAUGAAGCUAACCUAUGUCAUUUUGGAAAAGAAGAAGAAUAAGAAGAAGACUAUAAGCUUAUUAUGUAAACUUGAUCAUUUUGUGCUACCAUANNNNNNNNNNNNNNNNNNNNNNNNNNNNNNNNNNNNNNNNNNNNNNNNNNNNNNNNNNNNNNNNNNNNNNNNNNNNNNNNNNNNNNNNNNNNNNNNNNNNNNNNNNNNNNNNNNNNNNNNNNNNNNNNNNNNNNNNNNNNNNNNNNNNNNNNNNNNNNNNNNNNNNNNNNNNNNNNNNNNNNNNNNNNNNNNNNNNNNNNNNNNNNNNNNNNNNNNNNNNNNNNNNNNNNNNNNNNNNNNNNNNNNNNNNNNNNNNNNNNNNNNNNNNNNNNNNNNNNNNNNNNNNNNNNNNNNNNNNNNNNNNNNNNNNNNNNNNNNNNNNNNNNNNNNNNNNNNNNNNNNNNNNNNNNNNNNNNNNNNNNNNNNNNNNNNNNNNNNNNNNNNNNNNNNNNNNNNNNNNNNNNNNNNNNNNNNNNNNNNNNNNNNNNNNNNNNNNNNNNNNNNNNNNNNNNNNNNNNNNNNNNNNNNNNNNNNNNNNNNNNNNNNNNNNNNNNNNNNNNNNNNNNNNNNNNNNNNNNNNNNNNNNNNNNNNNNNNNNNNNNNNNNNNNNNNNNNNNNNNNNNNNNNNNNUAUAUAUAUAUAUAUAUAUAUAUAUAUAUAUAUAUAUAUAUCAUUUUGGAGAUCUGACAUACCUGAAAAAGUUCAGUUCUCAUGCAUUGUUCUUCUCCUUCUCCUUCCUCAGCCUGAUGCGCCAAGAGCGGCGAGGCGGUGGAGGCAGUGGAGGCAGUGGGAUGUAGUCUUCUACCACAAUUGGCGUGGUCAUGUCGCCCAGCUGUGGGAUCACCGGCGCCACCACCGGUGCGUGGUCAUUGUCAGGCACCACCACCAUCGCGAGGCCACCUUCAGGCACGACCAUCGCUAGGUCAUCCUCAGCCACCUCCAUCUCUUGCCCAUGGUCAGCCGCCACCAUCUCUUGCCCAUGGUCGGCCACCACCAUCUCUUGCCCUUGGUCAGCCACCACUAGCGCUAGGUCAUCCUCAGCCUGAUGCCCAUCGUCAUCCUGCAGCUCCUCAUCCCCACUCAGCUCCUCUUCUCCCGCACUCCAGUCCGGAUCAUCCUUCUUGUUGUCUAUGCUGCUGCCAAAAUCGCUGCUACUUUCGCUACAGCCAGAAUCGCUGCUGCUUUCGCUACAGCCAUAGUCGCUGCUGCUUUGGCUGUAGCCAGUGUCGCUGCUACUGCUCCCAUUACCUGUCCAAAUGCAACAAUGACCGUUAACAAUCGAUGUGAGACAAAGCCAAAUGUAGAGGAAUAAGAAGAGGCAGAACGUACUGGCAUCAUCAUCGUCAGCAUAGCGCAUGCGACACAUAGUCGCGUUGAACACCUUCACGAUGAGCAUGGUGGUGGCGUCGUCAUACCUGAAGAGAAGGAAGUACCCCAGCCGCGGGUCGUAGGCACUGUAGAACUUCUCCCACCCACGAGACAAGUACAUGUGGCCCCCCUUGAUCACCAACUCCACAUCCCACUGCCUGCGAAACCCGCUGUCGGCCUGUCGCAGCUUCACAUUAUUUGGCGGAUCUUCAUCCAUCAGCAUGUUCAUAAAACUAUCAGGCAGUCUCUGCAGUUUGGGACAAUGAGUGAUGUAGAAAACAACAGAUAUCAUAAUGAGAUGGGCGAAGGGGAGAUCUCUCGUUUUAUAUACCUGUGUCAUGGAUGAUACUGAAGUCUCAAGUAUGAUAGUGAAGAACUCGGAAGCAUCUAACUCGUACUGCAGUGUCGCAGAGCGGCGGUGGCUGCUUCCUGCCAUCUUUGAUAAGCAGUAGAAGAGACCAAUUAGUACCCUUACAACAAAUCAUAAAACAUGCAUUAGUCGCAAGUACCCCAUAUGUCCUAUUUUUAGCAAAGUCAUGCUAAAAUUCACGGAAAAUUUUAGCAUGACCUUUUGCUGAAAAUAGGACAUAUGGAGUGCCCGAAUUUGCCAGAACGGAAGUUAAUCAACAUUUCGGCAAACUCAAGGGCCUCUCGGCAAACUCAAGUUAAUCGACAUCACAAUAAAGCAACACCCUGCACUAGCCUAAAAACAAGUGAAGUUUCACCCAUAUAAGAACAACUUUAUAAAAUCAGAGAAGUUGCUAAAUUUUUUGUAUCCUUCAUACACACUGGAGUACAAUGCUUUAUAAUGUUCCAUCAUCAUUACAUAAAUCCAAGACCAUGUGUUCCAUCAUCAUCAUCAUUACAAAAAUCCAAGAAACAUCAUGCUUUUUAACAGUUUUCAGUUUGGACAGAAUACUGAAAACUACAGUUUGGACAGAAUUCCUAACACUUUGGUCUUCUAGUUACAAAACAAAACUGACAUAAUUACAUAAAAAGUAUCCCAGGUUUCCAUCUUAAUAUAACAAUAUAACACCAUCUUAAUAUAUGAACCCAGCUGAUUUCUCUGAAUUUACGGCAGCAACCACCAACAGACAGAAAACAGUAAUAUGAUCUACAUCAUCUAGAUGAUGAACCAAAUCAUAGCUCCUGACUAAACUUAAAAUCAGCACUAUCUCUAUAAGCAAUGGUUAGUGGUUAAUACAUUCAGCAACAAGUACAUGCAAAAUUGCACUAUGUCCACUAUACUUGCCAUGCUCGAUUUUGGAAGCAGUGAUGGUAGAAUGUCCAGUUUUCAACUUAAAAAGCAACACGCCAGAAAGUAGUUUAGGUGUGUACCCCAUAUGGAACACCUAAACAGAAGUCUACCGUAAAGUUCUGAACAGAUAUAAGAUCAUGAUGCAAUUGGCAGUGCAUCAACUAGACGAGAAGCAAGUCAAAGCUUCUUAUUGGAGUUCAAAAUAAGAUCAAAAUAAGAAGUGAAUUCCAGGUUAGUUGUCAUUUUCCUUUACACUGGUAGACUUGCAUCCAGAGUUUUCUUACAUUAUAUUCACAUUCACAUUUUCCAAACAGUAAAUCAAGUACAGUAAACUAAUCAACCAGUCCUAAGCUUCAAGUAUUUAGCAGUCCUACAGGCUACAGUUAAAUGGCACGAAACUGUAUAUGGACAAUUCUGUGAAGUACAAACAUUCAGAUUUAUAUGUUGCCACUAUCUGAAGCCAGCACAAAGGAGCCAACGGAUCCUAUGCUUCAGAUGAUAGAUACUGCAGUGCAGAGCCAAAAUCCUCUUCGGUUUCAGUGUGGCAUCUAUGGCCUGAGGAAGCCGUGGUUGAUGAAUUCUUGUAACGACAACCGGAGGGGAGGGAGGAUAGGGAAUGGGGAAGGGUGGAGAGGGAGGAAGGAGGAAGGAGGAAGGAGGAGAGGUACCUGGUCGCCGGAGGGGUCGGGAUCCCUAGGGCUCGGGGCCGGCACAAGACCACGCCAGAUCCCUAGAGGCGGUCGUCGUCUCCUCCUCCUCCUCGUCCUCCUCCUGGUCCUCCUCCUUCGGCUCGGGGCGCNNNNNNNNNNNNNNNNNNNNNNNNNNNNNNNNNNNNNNNNNNNNNNNNNNNNNNNNNNNNNNNNNNNNNNNNNNNNNNNNNNNNNNNNNNNNNNNNNNNNNNNNNNNNNNNNNNNNNNNNNNNNNNNNNNNNNNNNNNNNNNNNNNNNNNNNNNNNNNNNNNNNNNNNNNNNNNNNNNNNNNNNNNNNNNNNNNNNNNNNNNNNNNNNNNNNNNNNNNNNNNNNNNNNNNNNNNNNNNNNNNNNNNNNNNNNNNNNNNNNNCGGUGGGGGUGGAUUCCGGCGGGGGUCGGGGCGGCGGCGGCAGGGGACGGAGGGGACGGAUAGGGCGUGCAGGCGCGGCGGCAGCGUACGGCAAAUUAGGUCGAGUGGGGAGGAAGGGAGGGAGGGGAAUAUGUGGAGUGGGGGGAAGCUUACUAAUGGCACACCCCGCAGAGGUGCGCCAUUAGAAUGUUUUUUUAUUACAGUUCGAGCACUCAGCAGGUUAUAUUCCACCUAACCCAAUCCACACCAGAACCCGCCCACUAGCCCGACUGGUCAACAUGCAACACACACACCAGGAGGUCCUGGGUUCAAUUCCCAGGCUCCCCAAUAUUUUUUAUGCAUUUUAAAUGUUGUUUGAUAUUUAUUUGUGUUUAAAUAUGUUCAAACUUGUUUAAAUCAUAACAGUAAUAUUUUUUUAUAAAAAUAGAAAUAAUUUUUUUAAAAAUAUGUUCAAAUUUGUUAUUUGAAAAUAUUUAUGAAUAUGAAAAAGGUGGAGUGGAGGGUGCGGUGGCGAUGAUGGNNNNNNNNNNNNNNNNNNNNNNNNNNNNNNNNNNNNNNNNNNNNNNNNNNNNNNNNNNNNNNNNNNNNNNNNNNNNNNNNNNNNNNNNNNNNNNNNNNNNNNNNNNNNNNNNNNNNNNNNNNNNNNNNNNNNNNNNNNNNNNNNNNNNNNNNNNNNNNNNNNNNNNNNNNNNNNNNNNNNNNNNNNNNNNNNNNNNNNNNNNNNNNNNNNNNNNNNNNNNNNNNNNNNNNNNNNNNNNNNNNNNNNNNNNNNNNNNNNNNNNNNNNNNNNNNNNNNNNNNNNNNNNNNNNNNNNNNNNNNNNNNNNNNNNNNNNNNNNNNNNNNNNNNNNNNNNNNNNNNNNNNNNNNNNNNNNNNNNNNNNNNNNNNNNNNNNNNNNNNNNNNNNNNNNNNNNNNNNNNNNNNNNNNNNNNNNNNNNNNNNNNNNNNNNNNNNNNNNNNNNNNNNNNNNNNNNNNNNNNNNNNNNNNNNNNNNNNNNNNNNNNNNNNNNNNNNNNNNNNNNNNNNNNNNNNNNNNNNNNNNNNNNNNNNNNNNNNNNNNNNNNNNUUUGUUAUUCGAAAAUAUUUAUGAAUAUGAAAAAGGUGGAGUGGAGGGUGCGGUGGCGAUGAUGGAGUGGGGGAGGGUGCGGGCCGGGGGUCGGCGGCGGCGGCCGGUGGAGCGGGGGAGGGUGCGGUUGAUCGUCGGCGGCCGUGGAGAGGGGGAGGGUGCGGUUGAUCGUCGGCGGCGAGGGGGACGUCGAUGUCCCAUGAACACGGUUUUCGAAGACCCGGGAUCUCUAUCUAGCUGGCGAUACAUUGUGUCAUCCAUGCACCUUAUGCAUCGAGAAAAUCCGUGGACUACCUGCCCCGCGAGAUAUCCGUAACCGAGAUAGUCGUGUAGUAGUGCAAAAUAUAUAUAUAUAUUAAUGGCGCACCGCAUAGUAGUGCGCCAUUACUAGUUUAAACUAGUAAUGACGCAUUGUGACACGAUGCGCCAUUAGUAGUUUUGCAAAAAAAAGAAUAAAAAAAUACAGUACUGGCGCACUCCUUGUCUGGUGCGCCAUUACUAGUUAGAACUAGUAAUGGUGCACUUCGGUCGGAUGCGCCAUUAGUAUGUAUGUAAAAAUGAAAAAAACAAUUAUCACUAGUGGCGCACCUUUUGUCUGGUGCGCCAUUAGUGUCUUCCACACUAAUGGCGCAUCACCAACUAGUGCGCUAUUAGUAUAUAGUAGUGGCGCACUACAUCCCUGGUGCGCCAUUAGUGUCUAUCCUAUCUAUAGCCCUUUUCCUAGUAGUGGAGGGACCAGAACGGGCCAUUUGACAGUGAUUAGCUGGCCAUGGUUGUAUGCUUGCUCAAUUGUAUGGCGCCUUGGUGGCGGAACAGGAGCAGUGGUAACAAGAGAGGCUUCAUGCUGCACAACAGAAGCUUCAGGAGCAGUUGCAGCAUUGGCUUCUGGCAUAUUGGUUGGUGCAGGCUCCACACUUGCUUCAGCCAUGACUACGUCAUUGGCUUCAUUUGUGUUGGUGGUGGCAGCCUCAAGAUUUUCAACCUCCACUUGAUGAGCUGGAGGGUCUGGCACUGGCACGUUUACUUCAGGAACAACUUCUUCAGUAAUGGGGGGAGUAGGGACACGUUCUUCUUCUUGUUCGUCAUCGGCUGAUGCAGCUGGAUUGUCUUCAGCAGCUUUGGCUGCAGACAUGGAGACAUUCACAGUCGGAGUGGCUUCUGGAAACAAUUGACGUGCAACAGAUUGGUGGUGCACUUCUCCUUCUGGAACGCUCGAAAGAGGGACUUGAGGCCUUGGUCCUUUGCAAAGCCUGUGUAAUAUGGGCGACACCUUUGGAGAUGGAGUUGGCUGGGCCUCAUCCUCUCUUUCUUGCACACAUGGUGUGACUUGUUGUUGUUGGGGAGUACUCGGGGAGUCUUGUUGUUGUGGGUGAUCAGCCCAUGAUGCAUCCUGAGCAAUUGGCGUCAGAGGACGACCAAUGCUGAUGAGUUCGAUGUUCGUGAGAACAGGCAAUGAUACCAAGUUGUGUUCGAUUUGAGGAAGAACUUCACCAUCUUCAACAUUGUCAUGGUGACCAAUGUCUUCAGCAGCGAUGGGACCAACUGCUGGAAUGUCUUCAGCUUCAUAAGCCUUUGUGGAAGCAGGCUCAUGAACAAUCAUCCGUCGUUCUUGGUGUUCAGAUGCAGGGCGAACCAUUGAGAUAGGUUCAACAACUAAGGGCUCUGUGGGAGCAGCCCGAUUCUGCUUGGUUUUGUGUUGCUUCUUGGAGGGAGCAACAUCAGAGGCUUCUGUAUUUUUCCUUUUUCUGGCUUCAGCCUCGUCAGCCCUUGUCUUCUUCAGUACUGAAGCGGUUGACAUGACCUUUGGCUUCGAGCCAGUCAUGCUGCUUGGGAAGACUAUGCGAGGUUCAUCCUGCCUUGAAGGUGCAGAUUGGUCAGUUGAUAGCUUCUUCUUCUUUGUAGCCAUUUUGGGGUCAAUGCAGGACGACCAAGAGCCUUGCGCUUCUCAGCCUCAUUGUAGGCUAGCACACACUUGUCAGCCAGACUCUUCAUGCGCUCAUGAGAGCCUCUAGCUUCUUCGCGCUUCUUGUGAAAAGCUUCUUUGAGCUCGUGCAGCAUGAUCUUGAAGUUUUUGACAUCUUGCACGCUGAGCUUGGCCACAUGCUUCUUGAACUGAGCUUUCUCAUAGUCGAUCUUGUGCUUCAGUUCAAUGAUGCGCUGAGCAAGAGCUAGCUCAAAAGCAAUGGCGCCAUUGAAGGUGACGCUGAGGCCAAUGGGAAGUCGCAGAUCAUCAAAGCUGAGAUUUGAGGUGUCAAACCACCCAUCAAUGAAGUUAUGGAUGAUUGCCACAUCAAAGAGAGGCAAAUCAUUGAAGAUCUCUGCUUCUUCCUUGCUCUUGAUCAGUUGCUCAAGAACAUCAUCUGCAAGAUCUUCAUCGCUGGACAGAUCAAUGUGCUCUUCUCGCAGAAUGGCAGCAGGAGUCAAUGUCUGAUCAGUAUUCUUGACGAUUUUCUUUUUCUUCUCCGUCUUCUUGGAGAUGCGUGAUAGAUCUUUAGACUGCACACUGUCUUCAGGAGGUGCAGUGACCAGUGGCUUCGCACGUGAAGCUUUUGGAGGAGCAGUUGAUCAUGAAGCCUUAGUCUUCUUUAGCUUCUGCGGCUUUGGAGGAGGAGCUGGGGCUUCAUCAGUGUCAGCAUCAUUAUCAGAAUGAUCCACUUUGGCACCUUGGACCAAGAUGUAAGUGAUGAGGCCAUCAAGGUUUGAAAAGGGGCUGAUGACAUUUGGUUCUGCAUCACGUGAGCCGUCAGCACGGGGAGCAGAGGGACCAGGGUUGAAGUCUAAUCCCAAUGACUUCUUGUUUUCCUUGGUCGAUGCCUUUGCAUGCUGGAAGUUACGCUUGAAGAGAUUAUCGUCACGACGCCAGAGGAAUGAUGAUGGGUCGGCAUUUUCAGGCUGAGGUCCACGGACCAUAAAAGGAUAGAAACCCUGUGCAAUAGCUUCAGCUCUGUUCUUGGGUGGAAGGCCUCGAUAGAGAAUAUCACCCCAAGGACUUUUGAUAGCAUUCUUCUUAGCGUAUUUCUGGGUCACGAACUUGUAUUUGAACCAUUGUUCAGCCCAAUAUCAUCGAAUCCAUUGGAUUCGUGUCUUGCGCUGAUUAUAAUCCUCUUCAGGAUCUGUCUUGUAAAGGUCUGCGAGGUCAUCAGGCAAAUCUUUUGAUGUUCCCCCUCGACGCUGUCUGCCACCCUUCCUUACUGAUUUCUAUGCAGCCAUGAACUUCAAACUGAAUGGCUUCAAUACGUUCAAAGGCUUCAAAGGCUUUCGCUUGCUGGGCAAACAGGAACUGGCUUCGGGAGAGUUAAUGUGUUGCUGUAAGAAUUCUGCAAACGAAUGUAGACUAUGAGAACCAAGGGAUUCUCCCACGGACAUGUACCUGUGACAGCAUUGGAGAUGCGAGGGAAGGGGAGGAGGUCAUAUGCAUUCUCAGAAGAUUUUGAAGAUAAAUCAGUUUGAAGACAUUGACCUCAUGUUGCAAAGACAUUCACUUAUAUGUUGAGAGUUGGUUCUAGAUUUGUACGAAUCCGUGAAUAAGUACAAGUGAGGAAUCUAACUAGAUAUGAAGCUUAAGUGAAUAUACUAGGUAGUAUGAGAUGUAGACAUAAUAGAUCUAACAUUGUAUAGGCAGAAACCAAUUUUGGUAAAUAGGAUGAAUCAUUGAGGAUCAAAAAUGUGGUAAAAAUAGAGUUGUAUUUACCACACGAAGAGCUGCUAGAUGGGAUGAAUAGGAGACCGAGCAGUUCAAUCCACCGUGCCCUAACUUGGCGACGGAGGACACCUACGGCGGCGGCGGAGAGGACGAUGUCCGCGGCCGGCGUGAGGACGGCGUUGGAGAAGUCAUGGAAGCUAAGCGCUUCGUCGCCGGUGUCGUCGAGAGCUAGCGGUGGCGCUAGGGUUUUGACGAGGUGGAGAGGUGGAAGAAGGUUUUCUUUACCGCAGGGGACAUGUAUUUAUAAGGAAGUGUGCGGCAUAGCGCAAUUACUCAGGUGCCCCUGGCAGUUCACAUCCGAGGGGCACUUGGCAAGCAUGCAACAUACUUAGAGUUGUCCCAUGUUCCCACGCCCGCCAGGUUUGUCGGAUGGUUGUUCCGGCUUCUCCGGAUUUCAAACAAUAAGGAUGAAUCAUUUAAAACAGACUUAAUGUUUGUCUCUGUGUCUUCUGUUGACAAGGAUGCAGAGAAGACAUUCGACAGUUUCAAUAGAAUGCAUAUGAUUUGGACAGAUAGAGUUUGAGAUAGAAAGCAUAGAGAGAUUAGGGUCCGAUCACAUUCACUUAGUUCAAAAGAUUCAACAAGGAAGACAUAGCUAUAAGUGAAUGCUGUAGAGGACAGAACACUAGUAUACAUAUCAGAAAGCAAUCAAAUCAACAUAGUGAAGUAAAUCAUGAAGAUAAGUUGAAAUUUGAAGACAAACUGAAUGCAAAGACAUUGCAAAAAUAACGCCAUGAGUGAAACACUUCAAACCAAGAAAUUUGGUGGUGGCGUUACCCACCGUAUAGGAAGUAUUAGACCCAGACGCGGCGCACAAUUAUCAUGGCGCUCCGAAGUCAAAUUCCACGUUAAUGUAUUCACACUCAGAAUGUAAGUCUUCACUGAUUGAAGAUAUACUUUACUUCGUGUGUUGCACAUCUAAGUCAUCAACAUGCAUAAGUGUUAGGAUGUGUGCCUGAUCACAGAACAUUUGAGGAUUCCAAGAUAUUUAGCUCACACCGUAACUUGCAAAACCUUUUCUCGUCCAAGGGCUUUGUGAAGAUAUCUGCCAGUUGCUCUUCAGUGUUGACGUGAAUGAUGUCAAUAUCUUUCUUCAUGACAUGAUCUCUGAGAAAGUGAUGAUGAAUUUCAAUGUGCUUUGUCUUCGAGUGCUGGACUGGAUUGUUGGCAAUCUUGAUGGCGCUUUCGUUGUCGCAGAAGAGAGGUGCUUGUUUCAGAUUGAUGCCAUAGUCCUUGAGAGUUUGCUUCAUCCAUAGAAGCUGAGCGCAGCAAGAUCCAGCAGCAAUGUAUUCAUAUUCAGCAGUUGAGAGUGAUACACAGUUUUGCUUCUUUGAAGACCAAGAGACAAGUGAUCGUCCCAGAAAGUGACAUGUGCCUGAUGUAGACUUGCGAUCCACCUUGUCACCAGCAUAAUUAGCAUCCGAGAAUCCAACCAGAUCAAAUUUUGAGCCCUUUGGAUACCAUAAUCCGAGUGUUGGGGUGUAAGCCAAAUAUUGAAGAAUUCGCUUCACAGCUAAGUGAUGCGAUUCCUUUGGUGCCGCUUGGAAUCGAGCACACAUCCAAACACUAAGCAUAAUAUCUGGCCUAGAUGCACAUAGGUAAAGUAAAGAACCAAUCAUGCAGCGGUAUACCUUUUGAUCGAACUCUUUACCAUUGUUGUCGGGACCUAGAUGGUGUUUGGCUGGCAUUGGCGUCGUGUAACCUUUGCAAUCUUGCAUUCCAAACUUCUUCAGACAGUCUUUGAGAUAUUUUUCUUGAGAUAUGAAGAUGCCAUUCCUUUGCUGACGAAUUUGAAGACCAAGGAAGAACUUCAGCUCACCCAUCAUGGACAUCUGAUAUUGCUCUUGCAUCAUGUAUCCAAACUCAUCACUAUACUUCUGGUUGGUGCAGCUGAAGAUAAUGUCAUCCACAUAUAUUUGGCACACAAACAGUUCACCAUCAUAUGUCUUCGUGAAGAGUGUGGGAUCGAGGGAUCCAGGUUUCAAGCCUUUGCUCUUCAGGAAGUCUUUGAUCGUAUCAUACCAGGCGCGAGGAGCUUGUUUGAGGCCGUACAAUGCUUUUUUUAGCUUGUACACCAUAUCAGGAUGUUUUGGAUCUUCAAAGCCAGGUGGUUGAGCAACGUACACUUCUUCUUCAAUCUUGGCGUUGAGGAAUGCACUCUUCACAUCCAUUUGAUAUAGUAAGAUGUUGUGGUGGUUAGAAUAGGCUACCAGUAUGCGAAUAGCUUCAAGCCUAGCCACAGAAGCAAAUGUUUCAUCAAAGUCAAUUCCUUCAACUUGAGUAUAUCCUUGAGCCACAAGACGUGCUUUGUUUCUGACGACUUGACCAUGCUCAUCUUGCUUGUUUCGAUAUAUCCAUUUUGUGCCAAUAAUGUUAUGCUUGCGAGGGUCAGGACGCUUGACUAGUUCCCAAACAUUGUUCAGCUUGAAUUGUUGAAGUUCUUCUUGCAUAGCUUGAAUCCAUUCAGGUUCCAUAAAGGCUUCAACAACUUUCUUGGGUUCUGAUAUUGACACAAACGAAAAGUGCCCACAGAAAUUUGCUAACUGUGUUGCUCUUGAGCGAGUAAGUGGACCAGGUGCAUUGAUGUUAUCAAUUAUCUUCUCAAUUUGUACUUCAUUUGCAACAUGAGGAUGGACUGGACAAAGACCUUGCUCUUGCUGAUCAUUGUCAUCAUUGGGAGGAUUGUCUUCGGUCUGGGCAUUGUCUUCAGGUUGGUUUGGUGCAGAAAUGAUAAGUUCCUCUUCAGGCUGUGCUUCAGAAGGCAUGAUUUCACCAGUUCCCAUCAGCUUGAUAGAUUCGCUGGGCGGAGCUUCAUCUAGUGUACUUGGCAGGAGCUCUCUUUGUGAACCAUUGGUUUCAUCAAAUCGCACGUCCACAGUUUCAACAAUUUUGUAGAGAUAGAGGUUGAAGACUCCGUAAGAGUGCGAGUCCUUUCCGUAACCGAGCAUGAAGCCUUCGUGAGCUUUAGGUGCAAAUUUUGACUUGUGAUGGGUAUCCUUGAUCCAGCACCUAGCACCAAAUACUCUGAAGUAGCUGACAUUUGGCUUCUUGCUAGUAAGGAGCUCAUAGGAUUUUUUGUUCAGAAGCUUAUGGAUGUAAACACGGUUGAUGAUGUGACAUGCUGUAUCAAUAGCUUCAGGCCAGAACUUUCUUGGUGUCUUGUACUCGUCGAGCAUUGUUCGAGCCAUCUCAAUGAGGGUUCUGUUCUUGCGCUCUACAAUGCCAUUUUGUUGAGGUGUGUAUGGAGCAGAAAACUCAUGAGUGAUUCCCAUUGUAUCCAGAUAAAGAUCAAGCCCGGUGUUCUUGAACUCAGUGCCGUUGUCGCUUCUGAUAUGCUUGAUCUUGACGCCAUAAUUGUUCAUGGCUCGAUUGGCGAAGCGUCUGAAGACAUCUUGCACUUCAACCUUGUUGAGAAUUAUGUGCACCCAUGUAUAUCUUGAGUAGUCAUCAACAAUGACGAAGCCAUAGAGACAAGCUGUUGUUGUGAGGGUAGAGUAGUGAGUAGGGCCAAAUAAGUCCAUGUGUAACAGCUCGAAGGGUUGAGAUGUCGUCAUGAUUGUCUUCAAGGGGUGCUUUGCCCUAGUCAUCUUUCCAGCUUCGCAGGCACCACACAAAUGAUCCUUCUUGAACUUGACACCCUCGAUGCCUGUGACAUGCUUCUUCUUGACGAGUGUGUGUAAGUUCCUCAUGCCAGCAUGCCCCAACCUCCGAUGCCAGAGCUAGCAUUCUGAAGCUUUUGCAAGAAGACAUACGGCAAGCUGUGGACCUGCUGAGAAAUCUACCAUGUAUAGAUCAUCUUUCCGAUACCCUUCAAAGACUAGAGACUUGUCAGAUUCCAUUAGUACAAGGCAACGAUAUUUUCCGAAUAGCACAAUCAUGUUUAAGUCACAAAGCAUUGAUACAGACAUUAAGUUGAACCCAAGGGAUCCAACAAGCAUCACUUUAUCCAUGUGUUGAUCCUUUGAGAUUGCAACUCUACCUAGACCCAAUACCUUUCUUUUACCAGUGUCAGCAAAUGUGAUGUGACUCUUGUCUGAUGGACAUAAGGUUGAGUCCAUGAGAAGACUGCGGUCACCAGUCAUAUGAUUAGUGCAUCCGCUGUCCAUAAUCCAUUCUGAAGCAUGAGGUGUCAUACCCUACAGUGCAGUUAGGACGAUAGGCUUCACAAAGAGUGUUGUGAAGCAUAAGCAUUUGACGCACACAAGGAUUAUCACAUCUUAGAUCAAGGUUAGAACUCAUAGUAUGACUGGUAAGUGAUUCACAUGUGAAAUACAUAGUAAGACCAUUUUAUCAUCCGUCCCUUAAUGUGUUUUAGGUCCCCAGCAAUAGUAUCGGACGCCUUUGAUUGCAGGCUGGAGACCUUAUUCUGCAAAAGAAAGUUAAUUCUUCUUCACCACCCACAUCUUCAGGGGUGGCUUAGAAGCAAUGAGUCUAAGUGCAGCAUCUGAGAAUUUUGGCCUUGAAGCCCUAGCAAAUAGCCUUGCAGGAGAUGGAUGAUACUCAUAUGAAUAAGCAGAAAAGUUCUUAGGUUUAUGAACAUAGCGGUUUGAGGACACACGCUCAUAUUCAUAAGUUUGAGUACGAUUUCCCUGCAAAACAUUGGCGUUAGGGUGACUUAGGUGAGUCAUGUAUCUGUAUGAAGCCUUUGGGUCAUAUGAAGCCAUAGGUCUGGGUUUGUCUUCUUCCUUGGUGGUGUCAUGAUGACAUUCACAUGAAGAUUCUCAAUACACUGCUUAGGUACCCAGAUCUUCUUCAUAGGUGGUCAAUUCCUGCAGUUAGUACCAAUAUACCUGGCAAACACUUCACCAUUCUGAUUCUUGAACAACUUAUAGUUUGCAUCAAGGGAUUCAUCAAUGAUAAUAGGAUUAGCACAGGUAAAGCCAGAUAAGGUGGAUGGAUCCACUGAAGGUCCCUUUGCAGCAACCCAUGUGGUUUUGGGAUACUGCUCAGGCUUCCAGUAGGAACCAUCAACAUUCAUUUUCCUCUCGAACCCAACACCCUCUUUCCUAGGGUUUCGGUUCAGAAUCUGCUUUUUGAGGACAUCGCAAAGUGCCUGAUGUCCUUUCAGACUUUUAUACAUCCCUGUUUCAAACAAUGUCUUCAACCUAGCAUUUUCAUCAGCAAUAGUAGUGAUAUCCUCCGUAGAGGGGUUAGUUUCCACAUCAGUAGUUGAAGACAAUGCAACAGUAGCAGCAGUGGAACAUUCAGCAACAGAGGUAGCGUUAUCACGCUCAAUGCAUUUUAGACAAGGUGGUUCAAAUCCAUCCUGAGCGGAACUGAUCUGUUGAGCGCGAAGUGACUCAUUCUCCUUUUGAAGAUCUUCAUGAGCCGCUUUCAAUUUCUCAAGCUCUUGCUUCCUUUGAAGAUAAUCAUAGGAGAGCUUUUCAUAAGUGGUUGAGAGCGUCUCUUUAAGACUUUCAAGUUCUUGGUACUUAGCAUGAAGAUUUUUUAUGUCUUCAACUAAGGACUGUGAACGUGUCAUUUCCGCGUCCAACAGGUCAUCGCUUUUGUCUAACAGUUUUUGAGUAUGUUCCAUAGCUUUUUGUUGUUCAGUUGCAAUUUUAGCAAGUGUUUUGUAGCUGGGUUUGGAUUCACAAUCAGAGUUAUCUUCACUUGAUGUUUGAAAGUAAGCAUCACGUGAUUUUACCUUGGCACCACGUGCCAUGAAGCAGUAGGUGGGAGCAGGAUUGUCCUUGUCAUCAGCUUCAGCGUUGGUGUGGAAGUCAUUGUCUUCAGUGUUGAAGAUGGACUUGGCAACAUAAGCUGUGGCUAGAGCCAAACUUGCAACGCCAGGGUCAGACUCCUCUUCAGAUUCCACCUCCGCCUCCUCAGAAGCAGACUCCUCCUCUGAAUCCAUUUCCUUGCCAACAAAAGCACGAGCCUUGCCAGAUGAGCUCUUCUUAUGAGAUGAAGACCUUGAUGAGGACUUGGAAGAAGACUUUGAAGAUUUCUUCUUCUUGUUGUCAUCAGAAUCAUAUUCCUUGCUCUUCUUCUUCUUCUUCUCAUUGUCCCACUGUGGACACUCAGAGAUAUAGUGUCCAGGUUUCUUGCACUUGUGACAUGUUCUCUUCUUGUUGCCAUGAGUGGAAGCUUCAUCAUUUCUUGAGCUAGAUCGUGAAGACUUUCUGAAGCCCUUCUUCUUGGUGAACUUCUGGAACUUCUUCACAAGCAUAGCAAGUUCCUUUCCAAUGUCUUCAGGAUCAUCAGAACCGCUGUCCGAUUCUUCUUCAGAUGAGGAAACAACUUUUGCCUUCAAAGCACGAGUUCGGCCAUAGUUGGGACCAUAGAUAUCUCUUUUCUCAGAAAGAUGGAACGCAUGUGUGUUGAGCCUCUCAAGUAUAUCAGACGGAUCGAGUGUCUUGAAGUCAGGGCGUUCUUGUAUCAUGAGGGCAAGGGUGUCAAAGGAGCUGUCAAGUGAUCUCAGUAGUGUCUUGACGAUUUCAUGCUUGGUAAUCUCAGUGGCGCCGAGAGCCUGAAGCUCAUUUGUGAUGUCGGUGAGGCGAUCAAAUGUGAUAUGGACAUUUUCAUUGUCGUUUCUCUUGAAGCGGUUGAAGAGGUUGCGAAGAACACUGAUCCUUUGAUCUCUCUGAGUUGAGACGCCUUCGUUGACCUUGGAUAGCCAGUUCCAGACUAGCUUUGACAUUUCCAGAGCACUCACACGGCCAUACUGUCCUUUGGUUAGAUGACCACAGAUGAUGUUCUUUGCAGUAGAGUCCAGUUGAAUGAACUUCUUGACAUCAGUAGGGGUGACACCUUCACCAGUUUUGGGAACGCCGUUCUUGACGACAUACCAGAGGUCGACAUCAAUGGCUUCAAGAUGCAUGCACAUCUUAUUCUUCCAGUAGGGAUAUUCAGUUCCAUCGAACACGGGGCAAGCAGCGGAGACUUUGAUUAUCCCUGCAGUCGACAUAGCUAAACUCCAGGUGGUUAAACCGAAUCACACAUAACAAGAGAGUACCUUGCUCUGAUACCAAUUGAAAGUGCUAGUUAUCGACUAGAGGGGGGGGGGUGAAUAGGCGAUUUUUAUCAAAGUCUUCAAAACGUGGAAGUUUUGAAGACAAACAAUAGAAAUGACCUAAUUGAUAUGCAGCAGAAGAUAAACUACAACAAGCAAACCAUAGUCAAGUAUGCAAUAAUGUGAAAGUACAAAGACUAAUAGCAGCUUGGUAGUAAGGAUCAGGAUGGAAGAUAGUAUGAAGCCAACCAACGAUAGUAGUCAAGCAAUGAAUUCAAACAGGUACGACAAAUAGGCAAUGACUUCACGAAGACAAACUCAAAGUAAAGGGAGGGAGAGGAUAGCACCAGUCACUUGUUGAAGACACAUGAUUUGUUGGACCAGUUCCAGUUGCUGUGACAACUGUACGUCUGGUUAGGGAGGCUGAGAUUCAACUCAGAAGACCGUGUCUUCACCUUAUUCCCCUUGAGCUAAGGACACACAGUCCUCGCCCAAUCACUCUGGUAAGUCUUCAAGGUAGACUUCCGAACCUUCACAGACUUCGUUCACCGGCGAUCCACAAUGACUCUUGGAUGCUCAGAACGCAACACCUAACUGGCUGGAGGAUACACAGUCCUCAAGUGUAAUAAGUCUUCAUGUCACUCAGACAGAAAGACUUUAGUGAUGCCUAACACUCUUUGGCUCUGGGUGUUUGGGCUUUGUCCUCGCAAGGAUUUCUCUCUCUCAAAGGCUUCGAGGUGGGUUGCUCUCAAACGACAAAAGCCGUGAACUAACUCUGAGCAGCCACCAAUUUAUGGCGUUGGGGGUGGGCUAUUUAUAGCCACAAGGCAACCCAACCUGAUAUGUCCGAAAUGACCCUGGGUCACUAAGGAACUGACACGUGUUCCAACGGUCAGAUUUCAAACACACACGGCAACUUUACUUGGGCUACAAGCAAAGCUGACUCAUCCAACUCUGGAUAAGAUUUGCUCUCAUUGUCUUCGCUCGAAGACAUAGGAUUUGGGUUGAGCAUCACUUCAGUCAUUCUGACUUUGUUCACUUGGACCCCACUUAACAGUACAGUGGUUCCUAUGACUCAACAAAGAAGAAAAGGAAACAACGAAACAACACAGUCUGCGGAUGAUAUUAGGGUCCCACUUCAGAUUAACAUUGUCUGUCUUGUCCUGCUUCAACCUCAUCGCCGUACACCUUAGCGGAGCUGCUCCAACGACGGAACCGUCCAUCACAGCGGAGCAGUACCCUCGGCGUUGUUUCCAGAGGCCUCGGAUCUUCUUCCUUGCCUCUGAUAGUCACACCAGCAUCAUCACCAUCCUCCAUGUCCAACCCAAUGAUGCUGAGGUCCACAAGGCUAUGCCAAAGAGGUUGUACACUCGUAGCAUCACUGUGUUACUCUGCAUUCAUGUCGAUCCCUCAGGUAUCCUUUUCUAUGGAACUACUAUUCAUGCAAAUUUGUUAGAAGGAGUGGAGCAAAGCAAAACUGGAGGAUUUUUUCCUUUGGUGUCUCUUUCGAAGAAAAAACGUAGGAAUUUUAUUCACUUGGACAUCCUUUUCAAAUUAAUUUGCACGAAGAACAGAACUAAUUGCAUUACUAGCAUAAUAAGAUUCUUAGUUUUUUCAUUUUCAUGUGGUUUGAUUUUAAUUUGACCACGUUUCUACAUUUCUAUGUUCUUCCAAUUCAUGUGAGCCAAACACCCAGGUUAGCUGAAAUCCUAUGUUUCCAAAUGCUCUGUUUUGCAUGUGCAUUCCUAUCCUAUUCCUGUGUUUUUCCUGUCACUGCGUUUAUAGAAUCCUCCAAUUCUAAGGAGCCCUUAUAGAUUUACUUCAUUUUCAGAUAAUUGUCAAAGAAAACUUUGUGUGCUAUGUCGUGCUCCUGCCGUGCCGUCAUCCACCCCACCUGAGGUGCACCAUCGACAGAAGCGUUCACUGUAGCAGAGAUCCCACCUGCAGACUUUCUUUCGCCACCUCAGAUCAUCUUCCCCAUUGCCGGCAGCCAUGCCAACUACAUUACCAUCAUCGACUGAGCAGAUGAACCUGAGGACUACACAGUUCCGGAAGAGAGGUCGCAGUAUUUCGUGUUUGCUUACGUUAUACAUCGGUUAUUUUUACCUGCUACUUUAUCGUUCAAAUUUGAGUUUUGAAUUUCCCAUGGAUCUCAUAUCGAGCCAGCAACGAAUAGUAUCUGUCUACUAUCUGGUUCAUUUGGGGUCUUCUAUGUGGUUCAUGUUGGAUGGGCAACAAACAAUAGAUGAUCCAUUGUCUAUCUUUUUAAACUGAAGCUAUAAUCUACCUGCUAUCAUUAGUUUUGGAUCCAUCCACUCGUUUGCUACCAUCAGUCUUGAUUUUUGCAUGCACCCCUUAGGCCUUACAAAAUCUAACUAUUUUUAUUAUGCAUGUCAGAUAUUGUACACAAUCGUACUGAACAUGUAGAGAAAAAGAGAAGAACGUUGCGUGGGAAUAUAAUGUCGUGCAGACGCCGCUCCAUGGUGGGCGAAGUGCCCCCCCCCCCUCCUGCAUUUCCAGAUUGUAUUCCAUAGGAAGAUAACUAUUCAGAUGGAGAUUCAGAAGAAGCCGACCACGCCUGUUUACCACCUGAGGUGUUUGCUCUAACCUGGCAUGCUGAUGUUGGUCAUAUCAUGCAUAUGGUGCCUUGCAUUUCUUACAUUAUACAUCUUAUAUGUCAUCAGCUUAGUUUAGAUUUGCUUUGUGUGAAUGCCACCUAUUUGGUUUCUAUAUCAUACUCCCACCAUUCCUAAAUAUUCCAACAAGUGACUACAUACGGAACAAAAUGAGUGAAUCUACACUCUAAAAUAUGUCUAUAUACAUCCGUAUGUGGUAGUCCAUUUGAAAUCUCUAAAAAGACAAAUAUUUAGGAACGAAUGGAGUAUAUGGGAAUUAUGCAAUGCCAUCUUCUUUAGCCAGGCAUCAUAUACGUGAAUCAUGCAAUGCCAUCCUGUUUAGCCAGUCAUCAUAUAUGUGAAUUGUAUCGUGCCAUAUUUUUUUCCAUCAUGUAUUCCAUUUGUCAACAAUGUUUAUACAUUCAUCUACUCUUCCUGUGCAUCAGCCAUUUGAGUCGGUCAUGGGAAAAUCUGGAGUGAAAACAAGGUCUUCUGAGCAGUCAGUGCUACCUGUCGAUGCAGAUUUCUUGCUCGUUACAGAUAGCUCCUCAGAGGAGGAUCCAGAGACAAAUGACCAGUCGUAUCCCCCCCCCCCCCGAGGUGCAUGCUCUAACUUGGCUGGGUUAUAUUGCUCAUAUCAUGCAUAUGGUGUUUUGCAUUGCCAUGCCAUCUGCUUAGAUUAGACAUGAUUUGUGUGAAUGCCUCCUGUUUGCUUUCUAUAUCAGAUAUGUGAAUUAUGCAAUGCCAUGUUUUUCAGCCAGUUAUCAUAUAUGUGAAUUAUGCACCGCCAUGGAGCCAGGCAUCAUAUAUGUGAAUUAUCUCAUGCCAUCUUUUUUUCAUUAGUAUUCCAUUUGUCGACAAUCUGUGUAUAUUGAACUACUCUUCAUGUGUAUCAGCCAUUUGAGCCGGUUAUGGAAAAAUCUGGAGUGAAAACAAGGUCUUCAGAGUAGGCAAUGGUACCUGUUGAAGCAUAUAUAUCGAUGGUUACAGGGAGCUCCUAGAGGAGGAUUCAGAGACAGAUAACCAGUCCUAUAUCCCACCUGAGGUGUAUGCUCUAAGUUGCAAUGUUUAUAUUUCUCAUAUGAUGCAUAUGGUGUCUUGCAUUGCUUAGUUUAGACAUCAUAUGCACAAUAUUGAAUUCUACCUGCUUAGUUUAGAGAUCAUACAUGCGAGUGCCAGCUGCUUAGUAUAUGAAUCAAUUAUGUCAAUUAUAUCAUGCCAUCAUGUAUACUUAGACAACAUGUAUGUGAAUUAUUUCAUCCCAACCUAUUUUAGAAAGACAUCAUAUAGUUUUUUCAUGUCAUCCUGUUUAGGUACUCAUCAUAUGUUGAAUUAUGCCAUUAUAUCCUAUUAAGUUAUCCAUCAUAUAUCUAAAACUGUGUCAUGCUAUCCUGUUUAGUUAGGCAUCAUAUAUGUGAAAUUGUGUCAUGCUGUCCUGUUUGGUUAGACAACAUAUAUGUGAAUUACCACAUCUGUCUAUCAUACAAUGUCUAUACGUUCAAUUUCUUUUCUUGUUUAUCAGCCAUUUGAAUUGGAGGAGUGAUGGCAGUAUCUAAGGGAGCAAAAACCCGUUCUUCACAAAAGACAGUGCUACCCGUCGAUGCAGAUAGAACCGUGGUUGUACUGGCCCACAAACUAGCCCCACCAACAUAAUCGAGACUCUUCCAGAUUGCACACUUACACUGUUGGGCAGAGAACCAGCGACAACCCAUCUAACCGCAACCCCAGCGGAUAGUAACCCACUUCUAGUUGACAAAGCACCAUGUCCACCACAGAGUACCCCCAUACGAGCAGUUUGUAAAGCUACUGCAGUGCCCAAAGCACGAAGACCACCACAGCUAACCCAAAAUCCACGUUUAAAGCAGAAGAGCAACUGUUCUCAAGUCAGAUUUUGUAGCUAUGGUCCAUACUCCUUUGCUGUUGCAUCACUGUAUUUACUCAUACCAACUACUUUCGAAUUUGAAGGAUCCAAUUGAAACUCCAAUGGUGCAACAGGUAUGUUUUAAACCUAUUUCUUUAACUGGAUUGUUGUUCUAACUUCUUGCUCUAUGUUGAUUUCAGUUUAAGUUGUAUAAACAGUUAUGUUCUCAUGUGAUGCACAUUACAAGUGCUUCCAAUGUUGUGUAGUUUCUCACACUUAUAUUCUGUCUAUGCUGCUGUGUCUUAAAAAUAUAUGAGUUGAACUGUGUCUCUAUCUUGAUUAGGGAACACAAACUAGAAUGAUAUGGACAAUACAAUGACCAUACUACAUAGAUAUAUGUUUGUUUCAUGUUGUUAUCCUGUCCACCUUACUACUGAACCAUUUUACCAAAAUGAGUUUCGUAUACUACAAGCUAAACCUGUGAUGUGUCUGCUUGUUUCUCUUGUAGUAUGCAAACAGAAUAUUGGAGAAGAGCACCCCACUAUGCAAUGGUAGAGAAAGUAAUGCAGAUAAGGUUCAAGAUAGUGAGACAACCCUGUUAGUCUCCAAGAAAGGUGAUAAAAAUGAUCUUGUAGAUAGUGAGAAAACCCCAGAGUCCUGCGUUGAUGUAGUGUUCGAGUUACUGGCCAGUACCGCUGGCACAAGCUCUUCAAACUCGCUGCCUGAAUCACUUCGGCUUCUUCAGUCUCAGCUACAAGCUGAAAGGCAUCAGUCAGCUGUGCUGCGGCAAGAAGCCGAAGGACUGAGGAAGUCUCUGCAAAAUUCAGAUGCGUACUUUCUUGUGCAAUAGCAAGCGCUGGAGGAUUUAAGCGCCAAACAAGAGAAAUUUAAUAAGCUGGCUAAGCAUCUUGCCAGCAUUAUGGGUACCCAGGAUAUUGUUUCUUGAACUCUUCUAAAGUGAUUUCAGUUCUGGACUUAUUUUGCUGCGGCGUUUAUAUGCUACUUUGUUCCCUAUAUUUGCACUGGUGGCGAACUUUGAUGCCCAGUGGAUGUAAUAUGUGUAAUAGCCGUGAUAGCCUAGCAUAACUUGCUUGCUUAUUUAUUUCCUUGUUGUCUUGUUUAUUUGUUUGCUUGUAGUCAGUGCAGUUCUUUUUCCGCGGUUUGCUAGUGGCUGCAAUAACCUAUUUUUAAAACUAGGCCACAAUAACCAUGGGCUAAUAUUUACUGUAGUGACACUGGGCCUCCUACGGGCCGUAGAAACAGUGGGCCUUCUACGGGCCAUAGAAACAGUGGGCCUUCUAUGGGCCAUAGAAACAAUGGGCCUUCUAUGGUCCGUAGAAACAAUGGGCCUUCUAUGGGCCGUAUCAUCAAUGGGCCUUAUACGGGCCGUAUGAUCGAUUGGCCAAACAUGGGCCAAUAACAGGCCACAUUAUGGUCGUAAACGGGCUAGAGUUGGAAUCGUACGUUCAUGGGCCGACCAUAACAUGCCAUUGUUAAUAGGCCAUAUUUGAUGACGCUAUGAACAUGGCCCAACGUAUUAAUGGACCACAAACGGGCCGACUGUAACCACGGGCUGAAUUUGGCCCACAAGCAGAAAAUGACAGUAACGGGCCGUAAGUAAACGAAUGCUGGAAAUGAGCGCAAGAAUAAAUGGGCUCUGAGAAGGCUGAAAGAUAACAUGGGCUGGAAAUGGCCCAACGGAAUAACGGGCCGUUAAUGGGUAUAAAGUGAUGCACUGUUCAUUACGGGCCUUUUUCACCACGGGCCGUUAAUGGGUGUAAAGUGAUACACUGUUCAUUACGGGCUAGUUUCACCACAGGCCGUUAAUAGGCCAAGAGUUACAUUGUGCCUCAUAUGGGCCGAGAGAUAUCAUGGGCCAUACAUGGGCCAGAAGUGAAAACAGGCAGGAAUCAUAUUAGAUGGCCGAGAUGACGCUACUGGGCCUAAUUCAGAUAGGGCAUAACGGGCCUUGGGUUAGCGGGCUGUAGAUGGGCUAUAUGCGAACAGGCCGUUAACAGGCUUUCCAUGGGCCGGCCCGCCACCUUUUGACCAAGUCAAACAGGCCGGGCUUUUCAUAGGAAUGGGCUUCUGUUGGGUCGUGCCAUGUGUCGAUAUAUCAUAGGCGCCUUCUGUCCAAUGAGUGGAUGACAUCUGUCCCAACAAUGAGCCGACACGUGUUUCCUCCAGCCAAUGAUGAUUUUGCACGUGGAAAAUACCCAUUGGUCGGGGCUGUUAACGGGUUAUCGGAUCCAAAACCCGACCUGAUAGCUUAACGGCGUUCCAUUACGAUGGAUGCCACGUGUUGGUCACCCUUGACGAAAGCACUUCUGUAACGCGCGAUUUAUCGUCAUGGAAGUGGACACUUCCGUGAUGAUAAUUUUGGUAAUGUCAUGGAACACUUCUACGACAACACAGGUAUGACUAUCUUGAUUCUGUCAUAAAAUUGUCAUGGAUAUACAUGCAUGACAAAAAAUGCAACCUACUGUGACAAACAUGUAUCAUCACGGAAGUGUAUUUUUUUUUGUAGUGAGAAGGAAAUGACAAGCAGUUUUCUGUAAGGUAUUCUCUGCAAGAACUGAAAUUAUCGGUAACAAAUAGUUUUGUGAUAUGGUAAUUUGUAACGGGUAACAAGUAAUGAAAGUAAAUAAGGUGCAGCAAGCUGGCCCAAUCCUUUUUGUAGCAAAUGACAAGUCUGGACAAACUCUUAUAUGAAGGAAAAUGCUCCCGAGAACACAUGGGAAUUAUCAUCACGCUCAUAUGAUUCGCGUUCGUUACUUUGAUAAUUUGAUAUGUGGGUGGACCGGUGCUUGGGUGCUGCCUUUCCUUGGACAAGCAUCCCACUUAUGAUUAACCCCUAUUGCAAGCAUCCGCAACUACAAAACAAGUAUUAAGGUAAACCUAACCAUAGCAUGAAACAGAUGGAUCCAAAUCAGCCCCUUACGAAGCAACGCAUAAACUAGGGUUUAAGCUUCUGUCACUCUAGGAACCCAUCAUCUACCUAUUACUUCCCAAUGCCUUCCUCUAGGCCCAAAUAAUGGUGAAGUGUCAUGUAGUCGACGUUCACAUAACACCACUAGAGGAGAGACAACAUACAUCUCAUCAAAAUAUCGAACGAGUACCAAAUUCACAUCACUACUUAUAGCAAGACUUCUCCCAUGUCCUCAGGAACAAACAUAACUACUCACAAAUCAUAUUCAUGUUCAUAAUCAGAGGGGUAUUAAUAUGCAUAAAGGAUAUGAACAUAUGAUCUUCCACCGAAUAAACCAACCAGCAUCAACUACAAGGAGUAAUCAACACUACUAGCAACCCACAGGUACCAAUCUGAGGUUUUGAGACAAAGAUCGGAUACAAGAGAUGAACUAGGGUUUGAGAUGAGAUGGUCCUAGUGAAGAUGUUGAUGAAGAUUGACCCCCUCCCAAUGAGAGGAUCAAUGGUGAUGAUGAUGGUGAUGAUUUCCCCCUCCCGGAGGGAUGUUUCCACGUCAGAAUAGCUCCGUCGGAGCCCUAGAUUGGUUCCACCAAGGUUCUGCCUCGUGGCAGCGGUGUUUCGUCCCGAAAGCUUCCUUCUGAUUUUUUCCAGGGUGAAAGACUUCAUAUAGCAGAAGAUGGGCACUGGAGGCCUGCCAGGGGGGGCACGAGAUAGGGGGCGCGCCCAGGGGGUAGGGCGCGCCCCCCACCCUCGUCGCCAGGGUGUGGGCCCCCUCUGGUUGAUUCUUUCGCCAGUAUUUUUUAUUAAUUCCAAAAGGUGCCUCUGUGAAGUUUCAGGACUUUUGGAGUUGUGCGGAAUAGGUUUCUAAUAUUUGCUCCUUUUCCAGCCCAGAAUUCCAGUUGCAGGCAUUCUCCCUCUUCAUGUAAACCUUGUAAAAUAAGAGACAAUAGGCAUAAGUAUUGUGACAUAAUGUGUAAUAAGAGCCCAUAAUGCAAUAAAUGUCGAUAUAAAAGCAUGAUGCAAAAUGGACGUAUCAACUCCCCCAAGCUUAGACCUCGCUUGUCCUCAAGCGAAAGCCGGAAACGAAAAAUAUGUCCACAUGUUUAGAGAUAGAGGUGUCGAUAAAAUAAAAUACGGACAUGCGGGCAUCAUGAUCAUUCUUAUAACAGCAACACACACACACACAUAUAUAUAUAUAUAUUGUCAUAUGGUUUCUUAUGCUAAAGUAACAAUCUAUUCACAAUGUCAAGCAUGAAUCAGAAACUUCAUUGAAAACUAACAAACUAUGAUCCCGGUCAUUGAAGCAAUUGCAAUUUAUCAUAACAUCGGAAAGAGUCAAUAUAAGAGCUUUUCAGCAAGUCCACAUACUCAAUUAUCAUUUAGUUUUUCACAAUUGCUAACACUCACACAAUACUUAUGGUUAUGGAGUUUUAAUUAGACACAGAGAAAGAUAGGGGCUUAUAGUGUUGCCUCCCAACCUUUUACCUCAAGGGUAAUGUCAACAAUAAUAGUUCAUGCUAACUUACAUCCAAUUGGAUAUAUAUAUAUAUAUAUAUAUAUAUAUAUAUAUAUAUAUAUAUAUAUAUCAGGAUCUUUCCAACACAAUGUGCUUGCCAAAGGAUAAAAUAUAAAAAGGAAAGGUGAAGAUCACCAUGACCUGUACAGGGUAUAAGACAAGAAUAAAAGAUAGGCCCUUCACAGAGGGAAGUAGAGGUUGUCAUGUGCUUUUAUGGUUGGAUGCACGAAAUUUAAUGCAAAAGAACGUCACUUUAUAUUGCCACUUGUGAUAUGGACCUUUAUUAUGCAGUCCAUCGCUUUUAUUGCUUCCAUAUCACAAGAUCGUAUAAAGCUUAUUUUCUCCACACUAAUAAAUCAUACAUAUUUAGAGAGCAAUUUUUAUUGCAUACAACAAUGACAACUUACUUGAAGGAUCUUACUCAAUCCAUAGGUAGGUAUGGUGGACUCUCAUGGCAAAACCGGGUUUAAGGAUAUUUGGAAGCACAAGUAGUAUCUCUACUUGGUGCAAAGAAUUUGGCUAGCAUGAGGGGGAAAGGCAAGCUCAACAUGUUGGAUGAUCCAUGACAAUAUACUUUAUUUUAAAUAUAAGAAAACAUAACCCAUUACGUUGUCUUCCUUGUCCAACAUCAACUCUUUAGCAUGUCAUAUUUUAAUGAGUGCUCACAAUCAUAAAAGAUGUCCAAGAUAGUAUAUUUGUAUGUGAAAACCUAUCUUUCUUUGUUACUUCCUAUUAAUUGCAACCAUGACCAAAACUAUGUUUGUCAACUCUCAACAACUUUUAUUCAUCAUACUCUUUAUAUGUGAAGUCAUUAUUCUCCAUAAGAUCAAUAUGACCUCUUUAUUUAUUUUUAUUCUUUCUUUUCCUUUUAUUCCCUCACGAUCAUAGCAAGAUAAUCAACCCCUUGACUCAAAACUAAUCUUUAUUAUAUAUAGCUCACGGACUCGAUUACAUAGAAGGAUCAUAAAGCAAAACUCAAAAACUAAAUCAUACUAAAACUUUAUUCUACUAGAUCAAGAUAUUACCAAAAGGAUCAAACUAAGAAAAACGGUAAAGACAUGAGUGUGGUGGUGAUACGAUACCGGGGCACCUCCCCAAGCUUGGCAGUUGCCAAGGGGAGUGCCCAUACCCAUGUAUUUAUGUCUCUUUCUUCGGAGGUGAAGAGGAUGGUGAUGAUGAAGAUAAUUGUGCCUUCAACUUUUUCAUAUUGUACUUGAGAAGAGCAAUUUCCUCCUUUAAAUCAUUGACCUCCGAUUCUAGCUUCAAGAUCUUGUCACAUAAAUCUCCUUUGCUUUUCUGUGGAAAAUGAGAAGGAAUAGAUCGGUUGUUAGACACUUUAGCCCUCUUAGGAAGACUAGAAUUCUUGAACUUUCAUGUGCAUAUCCCCAUGUUGAGGUAGAGGGACAUCCUCCUCCUCCGAACUUGAAUCAUUGAUCCUCAUCAAAUGAGCAUCCUCCUCAUCAUCUGUAGUUUGACCACAAGGAGAUAGAUCCCCAUAGGUCUUUGGGUCAGUGUCGGCCUUCUGGGAACGGGUGUCCCCAGACUUGCCUGGCUGCGGCCCACGGCAUGGCUCCACCAGCGGCCCAGUACGGCCGGACUUCACCAGCCAACACUAAAGACCCUCGGGAGGGGCCAAGCCUCGCGAGGCGGAAGACACAAGGCCUCAUUAGGAGCAGCUUCACUAGGCAGGCUCGCGAGGGGGCGGGGAGAUCAAGGCAAGGGGUACCUCGUGAGGUUCCCGUGACGCAAGCCAUGACGACCAAGGCCAGUCGGGCGCCCGCGCGCGCAGUGUCCUCGUGUCCCCUUUGGUUCUAAGGGGGCAAGCGCAGGCGCGGAGUACCCAGGCAUCAGGCAAAGGUUUCCAUAUCGGUGCAACAAGACCAAGACCAGCAGGACGGAGGUCAUCGUGGAGCCCAAGAUGGCGUCACCACCAGCGCCUUUGGCAGGCGAAGACCACCUUUAGCAGGAUAGCUUGUACUAGCUGUCCCCUUUCAAAUUGGCCGUUGUUGAAUCCCUUCCCGCUCAAUAUUUGGGGAGAGGACCAGGGCCUCUAUAAAUAGGACUAGCCACCAUUGUAGGAGGCAUCUCAACCGAAACUGAUCCAGAUCAUCCUCAACCACACACAAGUUCACCAAGCACAAGAACACCUCUCCUCAGGAGGCUGUUCUUCCCUUGUACUGUUCAUCAUAAGCCCAAGAGGCAAUCCACCACCACCACAUUGGAGUAGAGUAUUACACCACAAUGGUGGCCCGAACCAGUAUAAACCUCAUGUAUCUUGUGUUGUGAGUUCAUCGAGCUAAUCUUAGAGAUCGCGGCGAGGCUGAGGGCAUGAUUCGGUAGGGGGAAAUCAUCAUGCGCAUCCCAGAGUUCGAACCUCAAGGGCUUUCCUUCUGUCGGUUCGCACUCCGCGAACACCUCGCUUCGCCCUCAUGGCGGACAUCGCACCCCCGGCCCUGGCGGCCGAUGCUAGUGCUGGGGCUAGGGGCUCUGGGCCUUGGCCCCUGCCUUAUAGUGGGUGGAGUGGCCGCCCAAGUUCAAGCCAGAGAUGCCGCCGCGCUACGACAGCACGGCAGACCCGGUGGUUUUCCUGGUGGCGUACGAGGAGGCCGUCCUUAAGGCCGGGGGCGAUGACAAGGUCAUGGCCACCUGGCUUCCCGUGGCCCUUACUGGCGUCCCACGCGCCUGGCUGCUCGACCUUCCCGGGUCCAUGGUGGCAUCUUGGGAGGAGCUGCACAGUCUCUUCGCUGCGCGCUUCGCGGAUCCGGCGCCCCGCGUGGUCGCGGCCCUCCUCGGUGGCUCGCAAGCGCCACCCUCAGACCGCCACGCCAAGUCGUUCUUUCGCCGGAUCAGCGCCGUCCUCGCGUGGCAAGGAGCUCCCCCGGCUUGGGUGGCACCCAAGGCCGACCUGACCUUCGAGUCGGAAGAUCACCCCGCCACCAUUUCCUGCUCGGGCGCGCUCCCGAUGCUCUGCACGCCCACCAUCUGCCACAUGGCCAUCACCAAAACCCUCAUCGACAGUGGUGCCAGCCUCAAUGUGCUCUCGGUGGAGGCCUUCAGCCUCCUCCACGUACCGCUGGAGCGGCUCCGUCCUAGAGAACCCUUCUCAGGCGUCGGAGGCGGUUCCUCCAGUCCCCUGGGGUAGAUCCGCCUUCCCGUGACCUUCGACACCCGUGACAACUACCACAUGGAGCUAGUCGACUUUGACAUUGCUCACAUCAGCCUCUCGUACAAUGCCAUCCUCGAAUACCCUGCCCUGGCUUAGUUCAUGGCAGCAACCCAUCCGGCCUACAACCUCAUGAAGGUGCCCGGAAGCAAGGGCAUCCUCACCAUAGCUGGAGAUAGCAAGGAGGCUCUUAUGGCGCUCAAGCUUGCCCUCAAGGCCUCCGCAGUGGCGCAGCCCGCCGAUGCGGACGCCUCCAAGGCCAAGAAAGCUGCGCCGACCAAGAAGAAGCAGUUGUUCACUCAGGAUAAGGCGGAGACCAAGCAGGUGCCAGUUGAGGAAGAUGGGUUCUCAGGAGCCACCUUCACCAUAGGUGCCAACCUCGACCCCGACCAAGAGAAGGCGUUGGUGAAGUUCUUGCGCUGAAACAAGGAGGUGUUCGCAUGGGAACCCAAGCAGCUAGUGGGGGUCCCAAGGGAGGUGAUUGAGCAUCACUUGAAGGUGUGCCCCAAUGUACGCCCUGUGAAGCAGAAGGCGAGGUGGCAGUCCACGGAGAAACAGGCCUUCAUCAUCCAAGAAACCCGCAAGCUAGAGGCAGCAGGUGUCAUUCGUGAGGUUCGCUACCCCGAAUGACUGGCGAACCCCAUUGUCAUGCCAAAAAAGGGGGGAAAGGAGCGCAUGUGCGUCGACUUCACCAACCUUAACAAGGCCUGCCCCCAAGAUCCGUUCCCGCCCCCCCGCAUCGACCAGAUCGUCGACUCCACCGCCGAGUGCGACCUGCUGUGUUUCCUAGAUGUGUUUUCGGGUUAUCACCAGAUCAAGAUGGCAGUAGAAGAUGUGGAGAAGACAGCCUUCCUAACCCCAUGUGGGGUAUACUGCUACACUUGCAUGUCGUUCGGGUUGCGCAACGCGGGCGUGACCUUCCAACGGCUGAUGCACAUUGCAUUGGGCCGGCAGCUCGGAAGAAACAUCGAGGCUUACAUCGAUGACAUUGUGGUGAAAUCUCGGGAGGCAAGGACCUUGAUCCAGGACUUGGAGGAGACCUUCGUGAGCCUCCGCCAGGUAGUCCUGCGACUCAACCCAGAGAAGUGUGUGUUCGGCGUCCCUUCCGGCAAGCUACUGGGCUUCCUUAUGUCCCACAGGGGGAUCAAAGCCAACCCGGAGAAGGUCAAGGCGAUCGAAGACAUGAGUCCACCGCAAACCCUCAGAGAGAUGUAGAAGCUCGCCGGUCGCGUGACCGCGCUAGGAUGCUUCAUCUCCAAGCUGGGGGAGCGCGCCCUACCAUUCUUCAAGCUGAUGAAGAAAAAGGGCCCAUUUGAGUGGACACAGGAGGCCUACCAAGCGUUUCAAGACCUCAAGAAAUACCUGACCAGCCCUCCCGUGAUGGUGGCGCCGCGCCCUCUCGAGCCCCUGGUGCUCUGCCUUGCCGCCACUCCCUACUCCGCCAGCGUAGCCCUGGUGGCGGUUUGGGAGGAGCGCGAGGCUAAGGCCGCGUCCCGCCCAGCCACGACCUCAGCCAGGUCAGUACAGGACCAGGAAAGCCUCGCGAGGACCACGACAACGGUAGCAAGGGACCAAGUGCAGUAGGACGAUGCCCCCGGGGCUGAAGGGGUUCCACCAAGUGACCGGGCGAUGGGGGCUCCAUUAUCUUAGGAGGCGCCUCAACCUCCGGAAGAUGCAGGCCACGUUAGCGCACCCACCCUUGUCGAGCAUCCGGUGUACUUCGUUAGCACGGUUUACGGGAUGCAAGAGCACGGUACCCUAUGCCUCAGAAGCUCUUACUCGCGCUCUUGGUGGCCUCACGUAAGCUGCAACACUACUUUCAAGGUCAACCCAUCAAGGUCGUCUUGGCCUACCCCUUGGAAAGGGUACUUAGGAGCCCCAACUCUGUUGGGAGGGUCGCCGAAUGGAACAUUGAGCUGCAAGCGUUCCAGUUGGAGUUCAGCACAACCAGGGUCAUCAAGGGAGCCGCACUUGCCGAUUUCGUGGCUGAAUGGAUGGACCCACCAGAGCUCAAGGUGGGCGAGGAUCGGUCUCUCUCCCCAGGAAGUGAGGCACCAGAUGGCUGGGUCAUGUAUUUCGAUGGUGCCUUCUCGCGGCAGGGCGCGGGGGCUAGUGCAGUGUGUAUAUCACCCACUCAGAACAAGCUCUACUACGCCGUACAGCUUUGUUUCCAGCAGGGCGAGAAGGUCUCCAACAACAUAGCAGAAUACAAGGGCCUCAUAGCAGGCUUGAAAGCUGCAGUAGCGCUAGGAGUGAAGCGCCUCGUCAUCAAGGGCGACUCACAACUCCUCGUCAACUUCUCCAACAAGGUGUACGAGCUGAAGGAUGAGCACAUGGAAGCAUACCUCGCGGAAGUACGCAAGAUGGAGAAGCAUUUCUGGGGGCUGGAGUUGCAGCAUGUGCCCCUCGGCACCAACAAAGAGGCUGACAACAUCGCCAGGAGGGCGUCCAAAUGGCUGCCCCAGGAGCCUGGCAUUUUCGAGGAAUGACUGUUCAAGCUGUCAGCGGCACGACCACUUUCAAGAACGGCACAGCCUCGGGAAGAACUCCCUCAGCCACCUACCACAGGAGCCCCGGCCUAUGGCCCGACCUCGGGAGCGCGCCUACUCUUGGAGCUGGAGCCUCGGGAGGGAUGCUGUACCAAGAAAUUCAAGGAAUACCUGACGCAAGGGACGCUGCCGGAGAAAGAAGAGGACGCGGAGCGCGUGGCCCGACAAGCCAUGACCUACCGCAUCCAAGACGGUGGGCUAUACCGGAAGCGGCCGAAUGAAGUUUCCCUAUGCUGCAUCUCUAGGGAACAGGGGAUAGAGCCGUUGACCGACAUACACGGCGGAGAUUGCGGACACCACUCAUCGUCACGGACCCUCGCCGGCAAGGCAUUUCGCAGCAGAUUCUAUUGGCCUACAACACUCAACGAUGCGACCGAGCUGGUGAAGUCCUGCGAGGCCUGCCAAUUCCACGCCAAGAAGAUCCAUCAGCCAGCUCAGGGCCUACAGACCAUCCCGCUCUCAUGGCCGUUAGUGGUCUGGGGGCUAGAUAUCUUGGGCCCAUUCCCUUGAGCACUUGGGGGCUACCGCUACCUCUGCGUCGCCAUCGACAAGUUCACCAAGUGGGCGGAGGUGGAAGCCGUCCACACCAUCCCAGCCAGCUCCGCUAUCAAGUUCAUCAAAGGCCUCGUGAGCCGGUUUGGGGUCCCUAACCGCAUCAUCACCGACAACGGUUCGCAGUUCACUAGCAAUCUCUUCAAGACGUAUUGUACUAACCUUGGAACGCAGAUCUGCUACGCUUCGGUGGCGCACCCCCGGAGCAAUGACCAGGCCGAACGCGCCAACGCGGAGGUCCCGAGGGGCCUCAAGACUAGGACCUUCAAGAAGAAGCUGGAGGCCUGCGACAGGGGCUGGCACGACGAGCUCCAGUCCGUGUUGUGGUCCAUCCGCACCACCGCCACCAAGCCAACAGGUGAGACCCCAUUCUUCCUUGUCUAUGGAGCGGAAGCGGUUCUCCCUCACGAGGUCAGGCGCCACUCCGCACGGGUCCUGGCGUUUGAUGAAGCGCAGCAGGACGCCAUGCGGGGGAUGGACCUCGUGCUGGGGAGGAACACCGCCGUGAAGCCAUGCUAUGGGCGGCAAGAUACCAGCAGGCGCUACGGUGGUACCACUAUCGCAGCGUCCGCCCUAGGACGCUCGAGGUGGGUGACCUCGUCCUGAGGCGGGUGCUCUCUAGGGAAGGGCUGCAUAAGCUCUCACCCAUGUGGGAGGGCCCGUUCAUGGUCGUCCACGUCUCCAGGCCUAGCGCCACGCGCUUGGAGACCCAGGACGGGGUACCCAUCCCGAAUGCCUGGAGCAUCCAGCACCUCCGGAAGUUCUACCCCUGAAGGAAGGCCCGGUGCCUGUGAAGAAGGGCCAGUGCCUGUGAAGCUCGCCGCCCGUGACACUCUCACGUAAUAAUGAGUGGGGCUGUACACGCCCCGGAGUCUCAUGAAUGCCGCCCUUGGGCCUCGGGGGCUCCCUCCCACGCCUAGUGGCAACACUUAGCUCCGCGCUGGUGAGAAGACUUGAAGACUAGACUAGGUGCCGGACCCGGCUUUUCGUUUGCUUUCUGCAGUUGGCUCGCUCUUCCUUGGUUGAACCUUGAUUAAAGUUGCUUCUGCUGUUCUUUGCCGGUUCUGUUCCAUCGCCUUCUGCCUCCGUUUUCUGUCUUCAGCUCUUUGUCUGACGUGCUCUCUCUCGCAUACCUCGCGAGGGGGCUGUACAGGCGCCCUCGUGGGCAUUUUUCUUCUGAUUUUCGUGAGGCACUCUCGUUUGAAUUCACAGAAGGAGCACCCCUCUCAGUCAGUGCCCCUUGGGUACCGCGACACGGAGCGCCUGGCCACGGUCGGCAGCCCUUGCAACUAGGGUUCAGAAAAUGAAAGUCUCUUAACGAGUUUCUUGCAGCUCCUAAGGCGCCUGGCAAGGCCUGAAGCGGGCACCUCGCGAGGCAGAAACUACUUCAAACGUGCCAAGCUAAGUUGUUCCUACACGCCGACGUACAACAAUGACGCCAUGACACAGCACAGGAACAAUAAAUGCAGCAUGUUAACAAGAAAUCAUAGUUUGUUGCAUGCCCCCGUGGGACCCCAUACUUGUCUCUCUCAAUGCAGGAAUAAAGGAAAACAAAACAAAAGAAGCACGCGCCUCACAGCAGUUCGUGAAGAGGGAUCUACGGCGACCUCCUGAACUCAACCAGACCCCACCUCGCGCUUCACUGAAGCAUGGCAAUGGGACGACCCACCGCCGCCCUCGAGGCGGGCACGGCGGCGUGGCGGUUGAUCGUAGCCGCUGCUGGAGGAGCUGUCGCCGGAAUAAGAGCCGCCGUAGCAUGACGAGCCGCGGUCGCUGCCGGGAGCGAGUUCGUCUUCACCCUCAUCACGACCGUCACCAAGACCGAGCACCUCGUCGCCGUCGUUGUCUUCAGAGCAGCACCCAACACGGCGGCCAUCCUCUUUGAACACCCUCACAUAGAGGGUCACGUCACCAUCAUACUUGAAGUGGAGGGUGCACCGCCUACCUAGACCGCGUGCGCGGGCAAACAUCUGCCAGCCUCGGGCCAAGGCUGCGUUGCCAGUGACGGAGACCUCCACCGCGACCCAGGAGGCCUUGCUGCAGCAGCCGUCUGCCUACAACCAGAGCCCGCCUAGGCCAGCGGCCAGCAGCUUGUCGACGAAGAAGCGCGGGAGCUGAAGCCAGUUGCCAGCCGGGUUUUCCGACCACACGACGAAUUCCAGCAGCACCUCCGCCGAGUGGAACCGUGGUCGGGGAGGCCGCGCGGCCACAUCACGCCUCGCUCCACCAACUGGGCUGCCUCGACACGGGCGGACCCCACCAUGUGAAGGGCCAGCGCCGCGGCUGUGGGGAGCCACGGCGGGGGUCGCGGAGUGCUUGCGAGGGCGACCGCGUCCGUGCUUGGGCGGAGGAGAGCCAGGCCCUUCCUGGUGAGCCUUCCCCUUCUCCGCGACCAAAAACCUCUUCGCAGGCACCAUGGGGGACGCUGCAAGCAACGGGGCAGGGAAGGAGAAGCGAGCGAGAUGGGAAGAGAUGGGAGACGGGGGCUCUCACUCCUUCUCAUUUAUAGCUCAAGGGAGGCCAACCGUCGACCUCCACGAUCGCAGGUAAUGAUGACCCAUUUUGCAUGCAGCAGGGACUCGUCAAGUCGGGCAAUUGCCGAGGCAACGUGGGGAAGCAGGGACUCCCAUGUCCUAUCAGUCGCCUCGCGUCAACCAAUGUCGCAGGCUGUUGGGGCCCGCGACGCUCCACACUUGCCCUUUGGCUUCACCGCCAAGCCAAGCCCGAGCGUGCCUUGGGCCCGCGGGCUACUGUCGGUGUUCUGGGAACGGGGGUCCCCAGAUUUGCCUGUCUGCGGCCCAUGGCAUUGCUCCACCAAUGGCCCAGUACGGCCGGACUUCACCAGCCAACACUCAAGACCCUCACGAGGGGCCAAGCCUCGCGAGGCGGACGACACAAGGCCUCCUUAGGAGCGGCUUCACCAGGCAGGCUUGCGAGGGGGCGGAGAGAUCAAGGCAAGGGGUACCUCAUGAGGUUCCUGUGACGCAAGCCAUGACGACCAAGGCUAGGCAGGCACCAGCGCAUGCAUUGUCCUUGUUUCCCCUUUGGUGCUAAGGGGGCAAGCGCAGGCGCGGAGUACUAAGGCAUCAGCAAAGGUUUCCAUAUCGGUGCAACAAGACCAAGACCAGCAGGACGGCAGGACGGAGGUCAUCGUCGAGCCCAAGACGGCGUCACUACCAGCACCUUUGGCUGGCGAAGACCACCUUUAGUCAGGAUAGCUUGUACUAGCUGUCCCCUUUCAAAUUCGCGGUUGGUGGAUCCCUUCCCGCUCAAAAUUUUGGGAGAGGAACAUGGCCUCUAUAAAUAGGACUAGCCACCACCAUAGGAGGCAUCUCAACUAGAACUGAUCCAGAUCAUCCUUAAUCACACAAAAGUUCACCAAGCACAAGAACACCUCUCCUCAGGAGGUUGUUCUUCCCUUGUACUGUUCAUCAUCAGCCCAAGAGGCAAUACACCACCACCACACUGGAUAGGGUAUUACACCACAACGGUGGCCCGUACCAGUAUAAACCUCGUGUCUCUUGUGUUGUGAGUUCAUCGAGCUAAGCUUAGAGAUCAUGGCGAGGCUGAGGGCAUGAUUCGGUAGGGAGAAAUCUUCAUGUGCACCCCAGAGUUCGAACCUCAAGGGUUUUGCCGGAACCCAAAAUCCGACAGUCAGGAACGAGAUGUGAGACAUAGCUCUCUCCGUCGAAAUCCUAAGAUGACAUCUUGCUCCAAACCUGCUACAAAAAUAGCUCGAAAUAAAAACAAAGGAUAUUUGCGUGGUACGAUGGUCAAAACCCUCGAGAGAUUAUAUAAUGAAUUUUUACUGACUAAAAGAAGAAUCGUGCAAGAGAACAGAGUCCGGAGAGCACACGAGGGGCACACGAGGCAGUGGGGCAUGCCCAGGGGGUAGGACGCGCCCUCCACCCUCGUGGAUGCCUUGUGUCCCUUUCAGACUACUUCUUAUUUUCCUAUUUUCUUAAAUAUUCCAAAACGGAGAAAAAUUCCCAUUAGAACUGUUUUGGAGUCGGUUUACUUACCGUACCACAUACCUAUUCCUUUUCGGACUCUGAAACAUUCUAGAAAGUGUCCCUUAUGUAUUCCUCCGGGGUCACGGUUUCAAUAACAUUAGUUUCAACAUUUAUUGGAUUACCUAAGAUAUAAUUUUUGAUUCUGUGACCGUUCACCACCUUCGGAUUUGUGCCUUCGAAGUUGUUGAUUUUUAUGGCAUCGAAACGAUAGACCUCCUCGAUAACGUAAGGACCUUCCCAUUUAGAGGGAAGUUUUCCUACAAAAAAUCUUAAAUGAGAGUUGAAUAGCAAAACAUAGUCACCUAUAUUAAACUGGCGCUUUUGUAUCCUUUUGUCAUGCCAUCUUUUAACUUUUUCUUUAAACAGUUUGGCAUGCUCAUAGGCCUGGGUUCUCCACUGAUUAAGUGAGCUAAUGUCAAGUAACCUCUUCUCACCGGCAAGUUUGUAAUCAUAAUUGAGCUCUUUAAUGGCCCAAUAUGCCUUAUGUUCUAGUUCAAGAGGUAAGUGACAUGCUUUUCCAUAAACCAUUUUAUACGGAGACAUACCCAUAGGAUUCUUAUAUGCAGUUCUAUAGGCCCAUAAUGCAUCAUCAAGUUUCUUGGACCAAUUCUUUCUAGAUCUAUUAACAGUCUUUUGCAAAAUUAAUUUAAGCUCUCUAUUACUCCUACCUGGCCACUAGAUUGUGGGUGGUAAGGAGAUGCAAUUCUAUGAUUAACGUCAUACUUAGCAAGCAUUUUACGAAAAGCACCAUGAAUAAAAUGUGAACCACCACCAGUCAUUAAAUAUCUAGGGACUAUAAACCUCGAAAAAUAACUUCUUUAAGCAUCUUAAUAGAGGUGUUAUGAUCAGCACUACUAGUUGGAAUAGCUUCUACCCACUUAGUAACGUAAUCAACAACAACUAAAAUAUGUGUAUAACCAUUUGAGGAAGGAAACGGUCCCAUAUAAUCAAAGCCCCAAACAUCAAAUGGUUUAAUAACAAGUGAGUAGUUCAUAGGCAUUUCUUGGCGUCUACUAAUAUUACCAGUUCUUUGACAUUCAUCACAAGACAAGACAAACUUACGUGCAUUCUUGAAGAGAGUAGGCCAAUAAAAACCGGAUUGCAAUACCUUAUGUGCACUUCUAUCUCCAGCAUGGUGUCCUCCAUAAGCCUCGGAGUGACACUUGCGUAGGAUCUAUUCCUGUUCAUGCUCAGGUACACAACGUCUAAUAACACCAUCUACUCCUUUAUAAAGGUGUUGGUCAUCCCAGAAGUAAUGUCUUAAAUCAUGGAAAAACUUUUUCUUUUGUUGGUAUGUGAAACUAGGUGGUAUAAAUUUAGCAACAAUGUAAUUAGCAUAAUCAGCAUACCAUGGGCAGUACGAGAAGCAUUUAUGACAGCUAAUUGUUCAUUAGGAAAAUUAUCAGCAAUAGGUAGUGGGUCAUCAAGAACAUUCUCUAACCUAGACAAGUUGUCUGCAAUGGGGUUCUCAGCUCCCUUUCUAUCAAUAAUAUGUAAAUCAAAUUCUUGUAGCAAGAGAACCCAUCUAAUAAGUCUAGGUUUAGCAUCUUUCUUUUCCAUAAGAUAUUUAAUAGCAGCAUGAUCAGUGUGAACUGUUACUUUAGAAUCAACUAUAUAAGGUCUGAACUUAUCACAAGCAAAUACAACUGCUAAAAAUUCUUUUUCAGUAGUAGCAUAAUUUCUUUGGGCACUGUCUAGAGUUUUACUAGCAUAUUGGAUAACAUUUAAUUUCUUAUCAACUCUUUGUCCUAGAACAGCACCUACAACAUAAUCACUAGCAUCACACAUAAUUUCAAAGGGUAAAUUCCAAUCAGGUGGCUGAACAAUAGGUGCAGAAAUCAAGGAUUUCUUAAGUAUUUCAAAUGCUUCUACACAAUCAUCAUCAAAGACAAAAGGAACAUCUUUUUGUAAGAUAUUAGUCAGAGGCCUACAAAUUUUUGAGAAGUCUUUAAUGAACCUCCUAUAAAAACUGGCAUGACCAAGGAAAUUUAUUAUUCCUUUAAUGUCCUUAGGACACAACAUCUUUUCAAUAGCAUCAACUUUAGCUUUAUCGACUUCAAUACCUCUUUCAGAAAUUUUGUGCCCCAGGACAAUACCUUCCUUAACCAUAAAGUGGCACUUCUCUCAAUUCAAUACAAGAUUAGUUUCUUCACAUCUCUACGAAACUCGAUCAAGGUUGCUCAAGCAAUCAUCAAAAGAAGUUCCAUAUACGGAGAAAUCAUCCAUGAAAACCUCAACAAUCUUUUCACAAAAGUCAGAUAAUAUAGCCAUCAUGCAUCUUUGAAAGGUACCAGGUGCAUUGCAUAAACCAAAAGGCAUACGUCUAUAAGCAAAGGUACCGAAAGGACAAGUAAAAGUGGUCUUUUCUUUGUCCUCUUUUGACACAGGUAUUUGAGAGAAACCAGAAUAACCAUCUAGAAAGCAAAAAUGUGUCUGUUUGGAUAAUCUUUCUAGCAUUUGAUCAAUAAAAGGUAAAGGGUAAUGAUCCUUUUUAGUAGCUUUAUUCAAUUUGCGGAAAUCGAUUACCAUUCUAUAACCUGUAACAAUUCUUUGUGGGAUCAAUUCAUCUUUAUCAUUAGGAACAACAGUAAUACCUCCCUUCUUAGGGACACAAUGGACAGGACUUACCCACUAACUAUCAGCAACGGGAUAAAUUAUACCUGCCUCUAGAAGCUUUAAUAUUUCUUUUCUUACCACUUCUUUCAUCUUAGGAUUUAACCGUCGUUGGUGAUCAACAACUGGUUUAGCGUCUUUCUCCAAUUUUAUUUUGUGCUGGCAUAGAGGCGGACUAAUGCCCUUAAGAUCAUCAAGAGUAUAUCCAAUAGCAGCUCAGUGCUUCUUCAGAGUUUUCAAUAAUUUAUCUUCUUCUUGCUCUAAAAGGUUAGCACUAAUAAUAACAGGAUAUAUCUUAUUUUCAUCAAGAUAAGCAUAUUUAAGAGUAUCAGGUAAUGGUUUAAGCUCAAAUACGGGAUCACCCUUGGGUGGAGGAGGAUCCCCUAGAAUUUCAAUAGGCAAGUUGUGUUUCAAAAUAGGUCCCUAUUUAAAGAAUACUUCAUCUAAUUCCCUUCUUUCAUUCAUAAACAUAUCAUUUUCAUGGUCGAGCAAAUAUUGUUCUAAAGGAUCAUUAGGAGGCACGGCAAUAGAAGCAAGACCAAUAAUUUCAUAUUUACUUGGAAAUUCUUUAUCAUGGGGUUGUCUACAAAAUUUAGCAAAAUUGAACUCAUGAGACAUAUCCCCCAAGCCAAUAGUAACAACAUCCUUUUUGCAGUCUAUCCUAGCAUUAACAGUAUUCAAGAAGGGUCUACCAAAUAUAAUGGGACAAAAGUUAUCUUGUGGGGAACCAAGAACAAGAAAAUCAACAGGAUAUUUAAGUUCCCCACACAAGACUUCAACAUCUCUAACAAUCCCAACUGGUGAAAUAGUGUCUCUAUUGGCAAGCUUAAUUGUAACGUCAAUCUCCUCUAUCUCAGUAGGUGCAAUAUCAUGCAUAAUUUCUUUGUAUAAGGAAUGAGGUAUUGCACUUGCACUAGCACCCAUAUCACACAAGCCAUGAUAACAAUGAUCUCCUAUUUUAACACAAAUAACAUGCAUGCCUACAACAGGUCUAUGUUUAUUUUUAGUAUCAGGUCUAGCAAUUCUAGUAGCUUCAUUAGAGAAGUAAAUAACAUGCCCAUCAAUAUUAUCGACCAAGAGAUCUUUAACCAUAGCAAUACUAGGUUCAACUUUAAUUUGCUCAAGGGGUGUGGAUGUUCUAGUAUUACUCUUACGAACCACACUUGAAGCUUUAGCAUGAUCCUUUAUUAUAACAGGGAAAGGUGGUUUCUCAAUAUAAGCAGUAGGAACAACAGGAUCAACAUUAUAAGUGAUAGUCUUUUCUUCAACUUUAAUGGGUGCAACAAAUUUUACUUCAAUGGGAGUAUUAUAUUUAAACCACUUCUCCUUAGGGAGAUCAACAUGAGUAGCAAAGUAUUCACAGAAAGAAGCUACUAUCUCAGAGUCAAGCCCAUAUUUAGUGCUAAAUUCACGGAAAACAUCGGUAUCCAUAAAAGAUUUAACACAAUCAAACUUAGGUGUCAUACCUGACUCCUUACCUUCGUCGAGAUCCCAAUCUUCAGAGUUAUGUUUAAUUCUUUCCAAUAAAUCCCAUUUGAAUUCAAUAGUCUUCAUCAUAAAAGAACCAGUACAAGAAGUAUCGAGCAUGGAGCGAUUAUUGAGAGAAAGCCGAGCAUAAAAAAUUUGAAUAAUAAUUUCUCUUGAGAGCUCAUGAUUGGGGCAUGAAUAUAGCAGUGACUUAAGCCUCCCCAAGCUUGAGUAAUGUUUUCUCCUUCGUGAGGCCAAAAAUUAUAUAUAUAAUUACGAUCACGAUGAACAAGAUGCAUAGGAUAAAACUUCUAAUGAAAUUCCAAUUUCAAUCGGUUGUAGUUCCAUGAUCCCAUAUCAUCACAUAGCCUAAACCAUGUCAAUGCCUUUCCCUUCAAAGAUAAAGGGAAGACCUUCUUCUUGAUAACAUCCUCGGGCAUACCUGCAAGCUUAAAUAAUCCACAAACUUCAUCCACAUAGAUUAGGUGCAAAUCGGGAUGUAAUGUUCCAUCUUGUGUAAAAGGAUUAGCUAGCAGUUUCUCUAUCAUACCCGAAAGAAUUUCAAAGUAAACAUUUUCAGUAGGUUCAGUAGGUUGAGGAGAAAAUCUUUGCUCUACUGGUCGGGGUGAAUAUACCCCGAACAAGCCCCUCAAAGGAUUAUGUUCCAUAGUAACAAGUGACAGUAAAUUUCAGCACACUAUAUAAAUUUUUCCUUACCAAAUUCCACCUACCAAAGGCGCUUCACUCCCCGGCAACAGCGCCAGAAAAGAGUCUUGAUGACCCACAAGUGUAGGGGAUCUAUCAUGUCAUUUCGAUAAGUAAGAGUGUCGAACCCAACGAGGAGCGGAAGGAAAUGACAAGCAGUUUUCAGUAAGGUAUUCUCUGCAAGCACUGAAAUUAUCGGUAACAAAUAGUUUUGUGAUAAGGUAAUUUGUAACGGGUAACAAGUAAUGAAAGUAAAUAAGGUGCAGGAAGAUGGCCCAAUCCUUUUUGUAGCAAAGGAUAAGCCUGGACAAACUCUUAUAUGGAGGAAAAUGCUCCUGAAGACACAUGGGAAUUAUCGUCAAGCUAGUUUUCAUCACGCUCAUAUGAUUCGCGUUCGUUACUUUGAUAAUUUGAUAUGUGGGUGGACCGGUGAUUGGGUGCUUCCCUUCCUUGGACAAGCAUCCCACUUAUGAUUAACCCCUAUUGAAAGCAUGCGCAACUACAAAACAAGUAUUAAGAUAAACCUAACCAUAGCAUGAAACAAAUGGAUCCAAAUCAGCCCCUUACGAAGCAACACAUAAACUAGGUUUAAGCUUAUGUCACUCUAGCAACCCAUCGUCUACUUAUUACUUCCCAAUGCCUUUCUCUAGGCCCAAAUAAUGGUGAAGUGUCAUGUAGUCGACAUUCACAUAACACCACUAGAGGAGAGACAACAUAUAUCUCAUCAAAAUAUCAAACGAAUACCAAAUUCACAUGACUACUUAUAGCAAGACUUCUCCCAUGUCCUCAGGAAAAAAUGUAACUACUCACAAAUCAUAUUCAUGUUCAUAAUCAGAGGGGUAUUAAUAUGCAUAAAGGAUCUGAACAUAUGAUCUUCCACCGAAUAAACCAACUAGCAUCAACUACAAGGAGUAAUCAACACUACUAGCAACCCACAGGUACCAAUCUGAGGUUUUGAGACAAAGAUCGGAUACAAGAGAUGAACUAGGGUUUGAGAUGAGAUGGUUCUGGUGAAGAUGUUGAUGAAGAUUGACCCCCUCCCAAUGAGAGGAUCGAUGGUGAUGAUGAUGGUGAUGAUUUUCCCCUCCCGGAGGGAUGUUUCCCCAGCAUAACAGCUCCGCCGGAGACCUAGAUUGGUUCUACUAAGGUUCCGCCUCAUGGCGGCGGUGUUUCCUCCCGAAAGCUUCCUUCUGAUUUUGUCCAGGGUGAAAGACUUCAUAUAGCAAAAGAUGGGCACCGGAGGCCUUCCAGGGGGGCCACGAGAUAGGGGGCGCGCCCAGGGGGUAGGGCGCGCCCCCCACCCUCGUGGCCAAGGUGUGGGCCCCUCUGGUUGAUUCUUUCGCCAAUAUUUUUUAUUAAUUCCAAAACGUGCCUCCGUGAAGUUUCAGGACUUUUGGAGUUGUGCAGAAUAGGUUUCUAAUAUUUGCUCCUUUUCCAGCCCAGAAUUCCAGCUGCCAGCAUUCUCCCUCUUCAUGUAAACCUUGUAAAAUAAGAGAGAAUAGGCAUAAGUAUUGUGACAUAAUGUGUAAUAACAGCCCAUAAUGCAAUAAAUAUCGAUAUAAAGGCAUGAUGCAAAAUGGAUGUAUCUGGAGACUGCUAAUGUGACACUGACCCUUUGCAGAAACUGUGUGCGAUGCAAUAAUCGCAAACGAUGGUGUAAAAAACCGUCAAAAAGGUGCAAAAUGUUUGCGAUGAUGUAUGCAUCAAACACGGUUCAGGUUUAAGUUGUGUGUGCGACGAAGGGCGUAUGGUUAAUCCUUUCAAACUGUCUGUGAUGAGGCAGAACAACAGAAACGUGCAGCCAUAACAAUGUGUGUGCGAUGCAGGACACACGGUUAAUCCAUUCGAAUUGUUUGCGAUGAGGUAGAACAACAGAAACGGGCAGCCAUAUCAAUGUGUGUGCGAUAUACGGCAUACGAUUAACUCGGAUGAACUGUUUUCGAUUAGGGAACACAAUAGAAAUGGUUCAACUUAAUAAGAUGCGUGUGAUAUGCAGCAUACAGUUCACAUGGAUGAACUGUUUGCAAUGAGCCAAAAAAACACAAACGAGUCAUGUAAACAAGAUGUGUGUGUGAUACGUAGCAAACAGUCGACUCGGAUGAACUGUUUGCGAUGAGAAAUUACAACACAGACGGUCAAUACAGUUACUUCGUGUGUGAUUCUGUGUGUACAAAAAAUUUGGAAAAUGCAAACUAGUUGCUUGCGGUGGCUAGGAAUAUCGCACAUGAUGCGUCUGCGAGUACUCGUGUGCGAUGAUUAGUAUGUUACACAUACAUUUCCUUAUGUGAACAUGUGUGCGAAUUUGCAAUAUGGACAGUUAAUAUGCAAAUGCCUUCUAGACAUCGGGCACAUGUUUAAACUCAAUGAACUGUGUAUGAUACUAAUACUUUCCAUGAAAUUUUAUGAACUUGGGUAACAACAUUUGAGUAACAUAUAUAUAGUGGUUACACUAUUCGACAAAAGGAGGAUCUUCGUAACACGGUUUUGACAACCAUAUGGUCCAUAUCUACAUACUUAAUAUAGUAACAACUAUCACAUUUUAAGAGGCUAAGGGCCAACAACCAUAUGGUCCAUAUCUACAUACUUAACAUAUAUAGUAACAACUAGCACAUUUUAAGAGGCUGAGGGCCAACAACCACAACUAUCCACUGGAAGCAGCUUGAUCACGGCGACUCGGCAUCUUGUCAAUGAAAAGGAAGAGCCCUCCUGUGCCUUGGUAGAGCAGGAGUAGAACAGUGUCUCCAAUUUUCCAAUAUGGAUGCAUUGCCACGAGAAGCGAGAACUUGUUAAUUUGAAAGGUUCCAUUUUGCGGGAAAUGCAGUACCUUGCAAUCACUUUGGCGUUAUUAGCAGGCACAAGUGUAAUUCUACCACACCGAGAAAUCGAUCCAGGAACGGCUACAGGGGCAAUUUCUAUUGACAUGUAGAAUAAAAAACAAUUGUAACAAUACCGUUGAAGAUAUAUAUAGUUUAUGAGCAUCAACAUUAAAAUAAGACUUUUUACCAGCGCUUUAUGCACACAAUUGGUCUUGUUGAGUGUGUGCACCAUAGGUCUAAUUAAUCCCAUCCAAAUCCAGCAUUCAUAUGUUGUGCCAUCUCUGUCAGAUUAUCAACAAAGUUUAUGACAUGCUUCAAGUCCUUCCAGUGAAAUUUAGUACGCUUAGUAACAUACAGAUCGUUCACUAUGCAUCCAACAUAUCCUGCUUAAAAGGUGGAAAGGUAUUAUUUAUUUAGAACAUGGCAGAAGAAUAUAUAGUGCACAUAAAUUGGUAAAUAGAAUUUGUUACUACCUAGGAACAGAGUCAGAAUAUGAUAUCACAAUUGGUUGCUUAAAUAGUGAUCAAUUGGUUGCUUAAAUAGUAAUAUGACAGCAUGGAGAAAUUUGAAAGGACACUAACCUCGAUCAGACUUUGAUCGGCUGAUGACGUUGGGGAAGUAAACAUCCAUGUUAAUUAGACCAGGUUGUGGUGCACACACUAGAAUUUUAUUGUCAGCUUUCAGUUCAUAACACUUAGACAUUUUUCUCCAGAGGUCCGCAUUAAAAUAGGAGUGAGCAUCUUUAUCAAGUUUUACGCUAACCGUCAUUGUAAACCCAUGUUGCGUUGUCAAUAUGACAUCCUGGGAAUCAUCAGGAAAGUAAAGCCCAAGACUUCCUUCUACUCCUGUUCUUGCAAAGCAAGGGAUGUACUGCUUGAAAUGAAAAUUAAGAUCAUAAAUUAGAUAUAUUGAAAUAACCGAGCAAGAUGCAAAUAUGGGAGUAACUGAUAGAACAUAUCCAUAUAUAGAUGCAAGCAAAGUACAAAAAUAUAGAAUUAAAAAUAGAUAAUGUAACAAAGAUUUGAUGCAAAUAUAUAGAUAAUGUAGCAACAGACGGUAUAUGUUCACAAAUUUAGGCCAUGCCGACCGUGGUAGGUUGAGAUUGAACAUACCGAGUGCUCCUUGAAGUCAUCCGGAAUGGUGAGAUAAAACUUCAUUUCCAACUGGCCACGACCACAGUUGCCCGAUUUGUGCUCGCACUGUGCACACAUGAAUGAACACCCAUGAAUCAGCUAGAACAAAAAUGAUUCCAUGGUGAUUUCCACCGGAUGAUUAAUAGCGACAGACGGACUACGAUAAGAGAUGAGUGAAUAUUUUGCUAAUUAAGUUGAUUACCUUCUCCAUGAGAAAAAUUCACGGCCCAAUCCCGCAGAAAACCCUAGUCGACCAGAGUCUAGAAUGUCGGUGCAGAUAGGCGGUGGAUAGCGAUGGAGGCAAAAUCCGGUGUCGUUUGGAGCGCGACCUACGGCCGCCGCCAAUAGCCGUCGAGCUUAGGGUGCAGAGUUGCGAAGGAGUCCGCGGCGAGUGAGCGGGGACGAAGUGGGCGAGGGUUUUCUUUUCCUUUUGCAUGUGUGAGUGAACACACACGGUUCGUAGAGGCGACGGAGAUGAACCAUGUGCAAUAGUAAAUCACCGAGAUUGAAUGGGAAUCCAAAUUUCCUUUGUCUUUCAUCCAUGAGUUUUUUUCUAGGAUGAACAUAAACCCUGCUAGUCACCAUGUUCAAAUUUGACACUUUUCCGGGUUCAUUUACAGUAUUUAGGGGAUUAUGUGCAUUUUGUAGGCAUUAAUGCACAUAAUUCAAAUUCAAACAAUUGGUGCAUGAAAGGGUGCACAAGAACGGUCUGGAAAAACCAUACUUGUGGUAUUUAGUAAUUUCUCAAGCCUUUUACAAGGAAUGGGCAGAGAUUUCAAUGGAGUCAACCACAAACGCGUCAUUUACUGGGUUAUCAACUAUAGAACAAUGAAAUAUGUGCUUGAAAAACAUGACGGCUGGCAUGGUGCCAUGGUAUGGCCUCACUGUGCCCUGGUUAAAAGCUGAGAAGGUUUGAUUUAUGUCGUCAUGCACGCCCUUCAUAAAUCGAACCAUCACUGAGGAAGUUCAAUGCUUUCGAGAGGGAAAUCACCAAGAUUGAAGGAGAAUCCAAAUUUCUGUCAUAGUUUGUCUUUCAGUUUUUUCCAACAAUCAACAUACCGCCUCAAAUGAAACGUGUUCAAAUUUGACAUUUUACUGAACUCAUUUACCAUAUUUAGGGGAUUGUGUGCAUUUUCUAGGCAUUAAUUAUGCACAUAAUUCAAAUUCGAACAAUUGGUGCAUGAAAAGGUGCACAAGAACGGUCUAGAAAACCAUGCUCGUGCUAUACAAAAAAGGAAACACAUGGUUGGAAAACAUGACACCUGGUGUGGUGCCAUGGUAUGGCCUCACCAUGCCCUGGUAAAAAUUGGAGAAUGUUUUCCUCAUGUCGUGAUGCGCGCCUUUCAUAAAAUGAACCAUCAUCCGAGUAAGUUUCAUGGUUUCGAGGGGGAAAUCACCAAGAUUGAAGGGGGAUCCAAAUUUCCUUUGUCCUUUGUCCAUGAGUUUUUUCUAUGAUGAGCAUACAACCUACAAAUCACCGUGUUCAAAUUUGGCACUUUUUCGGGUUCAUUUGCCAUAUUUAGUUGAUUAUGUGCAUUUCCUAGGCAUUAAUGCGCAUAAUUCAAGUUCAAACAAUCGAUGCAUGACAGGGUCCACAAGAAUGGCCUAGAAAACCAUGCUCGUGCCAUUUAGUAAAUUAUCAUGCCUUUUACAAGGAAUAGACAUAUAUUUCGAUGAAAUGUGUGGCAAUAGUCAACCACAAAUGUUUCUUUGUUGGGUUUUCAACUAUAUAAAAAAUGAAAUAAAUGCUUAAAAACAUGACACCUAGCAUGGUGCCAUGGUAUGACCUCAUCAUGCCCUGGUAAAAAUUUGAGAAGGUUUGGCUUAUGUCGUCAUGCACGCCCUUCAUAAAUCGAACCAUCACCGAGGAAGUUCCAUGCUUUCGAGAGGGAAAAUCCCCAAGAUUGAAGGGGAAUCCUAAUUUCCAUCCUAGUUUGUCAUUUAGUUUUUUUCCAACGAUCAACAUACCGCCUCAAAUGCAACGUGUUCAAAUUUGGCAUUUUUUCGGGCACAUAUACCAUAUUUAGGGGAUUAUGUGCAUUUUCUAGGCAUUAAUGGACAUAAUUCAAAUUCGAACAAUCGGUGCAUGAAAAGUUGCACAAGAAUGGUCUGGAAAACCGUGCUCGUGUUAUUUAGCACAUUCUCAUGCCUUUUACAAGGAAUGGGCAGAUAUUUCAAGGAAAUGUGUGGCAAUAGUCAAACAUAAACGCGUUGUUUACUCGGUUAACAACUAUACAAAAAAGAAACACAUGGUUGGAAAACAUGACGCCUGGCUUGGUGCCAUGGUAUGGCCUCACCAUGCUCUGGUAAAAAUUGGAGAAUGUUUUCCUUAUGUCGUGAUGCACGCCUUUCAUAAAUCGAACCAUCACGGAGGAAGUUUCAUGGUUUCAAGGGGGAAAUCACCAAGAUUGAAGGGGGGUCCAAAUUUCCUUUCUCCUCUGUCCACGAGUUUUUUCUACGAUGAACAUGCAACCUGCAAAUCACCGUGUUGAAAUUUGGCACUUUUCCGGGUUCAUUUGCCAUGUUUAGGGGAUUAUGUGCAUUUCCUAGGCAUUAAUGCACAUAAUUCAAGUUCAAACAAUCGAUGCAUGAAAGGGUCCACAAGAACGGCCAAGAAAACCAUGCUUGUGCCAUUUAGUAAAUUCUCAUGCCUUUUACAAGGAAUGGACAGAUAUUUCAAUGAAAUGUGUGGCAAUAGUCAACCACAAAUGUCUGUUUGUUGGGUUUUCAACUAUAAAAAAUGAAAUAAAUGCUUAAAAAACAUGACGCCUCGCAUGGUGCCAUGGUAUGACCUCACCAUGCCUUGGUAAAAAUUUGAGAAGGUUUGGCUUAUGUUGUCAUGCACGCCCUUCAUAAAUCGAACCAUCAUCGAGGAAGUUCCAUGCUUUCGAAAGGGAAAUCCUCAAGAUUGAAGGGGAAUCCAAAUUUUCUUCGUUCUUUGCCCUGGAGUUUUUUUCUACGACGAACAUACACCCUGCAAAUCACCGUGUUCAAAUUUGGCAUUUUUUGGGCUCAUUUACCAUAUUUAGGGGAUUAUGUGCAUUUUCUAGGCAUUUAGCGCAUAUAAAUCCAAUCCAGCUACAGGUGCACGGGUGUGAUGUGAGGGACGUGGAUUGCCGUUUGAUCACGGCGCAUCCAACGGUGCACAUGCGCAAUCCGCAUGGAUGGGGAUCCGGCCAAUCAUAACACAACACACAAUAGGCUCAGGCACACUAUUUCUGGAAGCAAUGGAGAUGAACCGUGUGCGAUAAUGAAUGAGCAAAAUUGUAAGGGAAGCCAAAUUUCUGUUGUCGUUUGUGGUUGAGCUCUUGAAUACCACCACACUGUACGGCUGCCCGGCCCCUCCAUCCCAGAGCUCUCUCCAGGCGUCGUCCAUGGCACCGUGGCGCACAGUAACUGGUAAGGAAACGAUGGCAUCCUGUUGCGAAGCGUUCCUCGCCGCCCGCAACCGCACACAUGGUAAGGAAGCGAUGGCAUCUCGCCGUGCCGAGUUCAUCACUACCGGCGGCCAUACAGUUACAUGGGCGGACUUUGACGCUGCCAUGGCUGAAUGGGUGGUGGAUCUAGAGGCGGCCAAAGCCGCAUAGAAGGAGCGGAAAAAGGCUGAAAACAGUCAAGAAAAAAGAGUCCCGCCGCCGCAAGAAAAAAGAGGCCGCACGCCGUGGUGAGGAGAGCUUGGCGGUGAUCGAAGCACGGUGGGCUGCUACCUACAAGGCUGGGAAGGAGAACGUCGGCGUCUGGCCAGCAUGCCCUGAUGGCAGCAUGUGAGAAGUAGUUUAAGUUUGUAGUAUUAGAGCAAAUUACUAGUAGUACUUUAAGUUUGUAGUAUUAACGUACAAUGUUAGUAAGAGCAUCCUUUGAGGGCUUUGAGCGUUGAUUAGCAUGUGUGCUCGUGUGUGUUUUUUUGCGUUAAUCAUUAGAAAAUCACAAAAGACACGGUUUCUAUGCCAUACUCGUCUGCGUUUUUUGCGUUAAUGACCCAUAAGUCAAUUACCUGUGCGAUAUUUCCUAAUAAACCAGGCGUACCAUUGACCCAAAAAAUCAAGUACAUGUGUACAUUUUUUUGGAGACGGAAUCUGCCAACUUUCUUUUUUCUCGCACACGAGUAUUUCACGCGCUUCGUCUGCGUUGUGUGUUCCCCCGCCCAAGUUUCAAAUUUCGCAUUGAAAUUUUCAUUAGGCGCACAAUUUCAGAAUUUAUUCCUCCAACCACAUCCCCUUCCCCUCAGUAUCCCCCUCCCUCGCGCCUCCCCUACUGGCAUCUCAAACCACCGCCGCCGCAACCACAGCUUCAACCACAUCUACGUUUUGCUCGGAUCUAGUCAGGUAACCCACCGAUCUCUAUCACGUCCCCGGCCUGAUUGCUUAAAUGGCGCAUGCGAAACAUCCUCAUGCCUCCAAAUCCCCCUCGCCAGGAGAUGAUGGUGGUCCAUGGUGCGAUGGCCGCUGUGCGUGUUGACUCGGAGGAACACCUCUCCUCCGCCACCGACGACGACAUGGUGCGGGCUCUGGCCCAGAUGAAGUCCCCCAGCGACUACCCCCAGGACUUAACAGGUAAGAUCUGACUAGCUAAAUCUUACCAAUACCACUUGCAAUGGCUAUGAUUUGUACAGUUGAUGUAUUAAGCAUGUUCGUGCCUUGUUUAUUUCAGUAUUACACACUGUGUGAUGUUCAAAUAUUGUGUGUCCAGCUCAAUUUCACCAAUACCAGCAACAAACUUACAAUACAUGACUCAGGAUAUCACUAGAGAUGCUGCCCAUUUGCUAUUUUUAGUGGAUGCUAACCCUGUUGCACUUAACAUGCAUGUCCAUGUACUUACGCAGGGUCAUAAUGGCCGAUGCUUUUGUUUGCUGUCGAGGUGAGAUGCAUCCCAUGUCUUACAGUAUUUCACAUAAGUUGUGCAAUUGCAGUUUAACUUCUACCCAUUUACUGGUUGCCUGCAGGUACACAUGUCAGUGGCACUGAUCCACGCUUCGACCCGGAGGAACAGCUCGCCUCCGCCGUCGCUGACUUUGGGCGAGCUCUGGCCAAGAUGAAGUGCCCCAGCAACUACCUCUCAGGACUUACCAAGUAUGUACUCACCAGUUCAAUCUUACCAAUACUAGUUGCAAUUAAUGGAUAUGUUCUGUAUGGUCGAUGUAUUAAGCAUGUUCUAGUAAACAUGCCUAACACGUUUUUGCUACUAUCCCUAACUUUUUAUAGACAUAUGGGCCAUUCUCUGCUCUGGCAGCACCUGCCUUGUGAUGUUUAACUAUGCCCAUUGCAUUUUUAUCAAUACCGGUUUCAGUGUCUAUUAACCUGUUGCAAUUAACAGUUGAAUCCAUUUUAAACAGUUGCAUUUCAAUGGCUACAAACUUACAAAACAUGACUUAGGAUGUUGUUAAGCCUAUUGCAAUUAACAGUUGUAUGCAUUUUUUAAUCUGUCCAUUUGCUACCAUGCUACUCUCCGCAAUGAAGAUAUACUAGAGAUGCUGCCCUAUUUGCUAUUUUUGGUGGAUGCUAACCCUGUUGUACUUAACAUGCUUGUCCAUGUACUUACGCAGGGUCAUAACGUCUGAUAUUGUUGUUUGCCGUCAAGGUUAGCUGCAUCCCAUGUCUUACAGUAUUUCACAUCAUUUGUGCAAUUGCAGUUUAACUUCUACCAUUUACUGGUUGCCCGUAGAUACACAUGUCAGUGGCACUGAUCCAUGCUUUGACCCGGAGGAAUAGCUCGCCUCCGCCGCCGCUGACUUUGGGCAGGCUCUGGCCAAGAUGAAGUGCCCUAGCAACUACCUCUCAGGACUUACCAAGUAUGUACCCACCAGUUCAAUCUUACCAAUACCAGUUGCAAUUAAUGGCUAUGUUUUGUACUGUCGAUGUAUUAAGCAUGUUUUAGUAAACAUGCCUAACACAUUUGAGCUACUUUCCCUACCUUUUUAUAGAAAACUGGGCCAUUAUCUACUCUGGCAGCACCUGCCAUGUGGUGUUUAACUCUGCCAAUAGCAUUUUAAUCAGUACCAGUUUCAAUGGCCAUUAAGCCUGUUACAAUUAACAGUUGUAUCCAUUUUUAAAGAGUUGUAUUUCACUCGCUACAAACUUAAAAAACAUGAAUUAGGAUGUUGUUAAGCCCGUUGCAAUUAACAGUUGUAUCCAUUUUUUAAUCUAUCCCUUUGCUACCGUGCUACUCUUUCAAAAUGAAGAUAUCACUACAGAUGCUGCCGUUUUAUUACCAUUUGCUAUUUUUGGUGGAUGUUAACCCUGUUGUAGUUAACAUUGGUUUUCCAUGUACUUACAUAGGGCUACAAUGGGCGAUGAUGUUGUUUGCCAUCGAGGUUAGCUGCAUCCCAUGUCUUAUACACCAUCUAUUCCUAAAUAUAAGUAUUUUUAGAGAUUCCAAUAUAGACUACAUAAGGAGCAAAAUGAGUGAAUCUAGAUUCUAAUUUAAACUACAUCUAUAAUUCUAUAUACAUCCGUAUGUAGUUCAUAUUGAAAUCUCCAAAAAAACUUGUACUUAGGAACAUAGGUAGUUGUAUUUUACAUCAUUUUUGCAUUCUUAGUUUAGCUUCUAACAUUUACUGGUUGCUUGUAGGUACAUAUAUGAGGCGUACUGAUCCAUGCUUCGAUCCCUUUUGCAAAUGGGGCAAUGAGAUAUUCAUGAACAAGCGUCAAGUGAGGAAACUAAGAAAGAUUGUUGGGCAAAAGAAAUGGGUGAUUGGAAUUAAGCUCUUCAUUUACACUUUGUUGAAGACAACAGUGAACUUUAGGAUGGUAAGUAAUGUGUUGCCUUUUCCCCCUGCCCAUAACAAGUUACUCUAUUAGACCUCAGUAUUGGAUAUUUUUCUCUUUUCAGUGGUUUCCGAAGCUAUUUACUGAUGAUUACCUUGCAAACUACAUGACCGGAGUGGAGGCAACUAAGGUUAAAGUAUAUAAUUCAUGCUACCAUGAUAAUGCUCUAGAAGUCUUCAUGAAGGUGGUGAAGAAUGGGCGGGCGAUCGUCACAAGGGGUUUGACAAAAGUGGUUCGUGCCUAUGGCAUGCAGGAAGGCACAUUAUGGGCAUUCCGGAUCUUCAACACCGUUGGCAGUCAAAAUGAUUUACACUUGUCUCUUCACCUUUACCGCCUUUAAAUACUACGGUUCAUCAUAGUUAAUUGCUGCCUAAUCCUGUAAUUACUGAACAUAUUGUACUCGCAAUUUUAUUUAUGGAUUCGUUAUUGAACCAUUGUGCUGAGAAUUUGAAUUGCACGUUUCGUAUUUCAAAAUUUCCAAUUAGAAUAAUAAAUUACAGGAAAAAAUAAAAAUAGAACAGACGGUCAUGGACCUUUGCAAACGGUUCUAGCAGUAAAAGCGCUUGCGAUGGAUAGCCCAAUGCCACACAGUUUUCUACAUCAAAUCAUGUGUGAUGUAGUUAAUGAAAGCAAACAGUUAACCAAGGCAGAGCGUGUGUGAUAGUUACACCUUUCACACACGAGCGUAUACAUAAAACCAUGUGGGAUGUACAUCCGAACGGAAACGUUUUCCUUGGAUUGACUGUGUGGGAUGUACAUAAGAACGGAAAUGUAUUCCUUGGAUUGAUUGUGUGUGAUAUACAUACAUAAAUGUUUUUCUGGGAUUCACCGUGUGGGAUGUACAUACCUACGGAAAUGAUUUCUGGGAUUCACCGUGUGGGAUGUACAUACCUACGGGAAUGGUUUCUGGGAUUCACCGUGUGGGAUGUACAUACCUACGGAAAUGAUUGGAUUUCGAUGCCCCGCCCGAUCGCACACGGCCCCAGCCUGGGUCCCAGGAGGGCCUAUCCCCGACGAUUUCUGGGUCGUGCGGGAAGGACACCCUAUCCCACACACUCACUUGGCGACGGUUCCAAAUGCCGUCGUGGAAAGGGGUUUUAAACCAUUUGUUUAGGACCGACGCGCACCAGUGGUACUUAGAGUAGUGAUUUGCUUUAUUAUACUAACGAAUCUUACCGAACUUUCUGUUGAGUUUUGUGUGGAUGAAGUGAUCAAAGAUCGAGGAGGUCUCGAUGUAAGGAGAAAGAGGAGAGGAAAGAGCUCAAGCUUGGGGAUGCCCAAGGCACCCCAAGUAAAUAUUCAAGGAGACUCAAGCGUCUAAGCAUGGGGAUGCCCCGGAAGGCAUCCCAUCUUUCUUCAACAAGUAUCGGUAUGUUUUUGGUUUCGUUUCGUUCAUGUGAUAUGUGCAAAUCUUGGAGCGUCUUUUGCAUUUAGUUUUUCCCUUUUUAUUUUAUGCACCAUGCUGGUAUGAGAUAGUCCAUGGUUGAUUUAUAUAAUGAUCAUUGCACUUCACUUAUAUAUUUUGAGUGGCUUUAUAGAAUGCUUCAUGUGCUUCACUUAUAUCAUUUGAAGUUUGGAUUGCCUGUUUCUCUUCACAUAGAAAACCGUUAUUUGAAGAAUGCUCUUUUGCUUCACUUAUAUUUAUUAGAGCAUGGUCUUUUGUAGAAAGAAUUAAACUCUCUUGCUUCACUUAUAUCUAUUUAGAGAGUCAAAAGGAAUUGGUCAAUUGCAUGGUUAGUCAUAAAAUCCUACAUAAAACUUAUGGAUCAUUGAAUAUGAUAUGUUUGAUUCCUUGCAAUAGUUUUGUGAUAUAGAGAUGGAAUAUGUGGGAGGUACUACUAAAUAGUUGUGGUUCAUAAGAAUAUUGGUGUUAAGGUUUGUCAUUCCCUAAGCAUGCACGUAUAGUCUUUUGUUUUGCUAUGAAGUUGGAGCAUGAUUUAUUAUUGAUUGUCUUCCUUAUGAGUGGCGGUCGGGGACGAGUGAUGGUCUUUUCCUACCAAUCUAUCCCCCUAGGGGCAUGCGUAGUUGUACUUUGCUUGAAGGGCUAAUAAACUUUUGCAAUAAGUAUAUGAGUUCUUUAGGACUAAUGUGAGUCCAUGGAUUAUACGCACUCUUACCUCUUUGCAAUUUGCUAGCCUCUACGGUACCGUGCAUUGCCCUUUCUCACAUCGAGACAUGGUGCAAACUUCGCAGGUGCAUCCAAAUCCCGUGAUAUGAUACGCUCUAUCACACAUAAGCCUUAUUAUAUCUUCCUCAAAACAUCCACCAUACCUAUCUAUUAUGGCUUUUCCAUGGAUAUUCCGCCAUGCAACUUCCAUCGCUUCCGUUUGAUGACUUGAGCAUUCAUUAUUAUAUUGCUUUGCAUGAUCAUAUAGCUCACGUAGUAGUUGUGGCUCAGCCACCGUUCAUCAUUUUUCAUACAUGUUAUGCUAGAUCAUUGCACAUCCUGGUACAUGCCAGAGGCAUUCAUAUAGAGUCAUAUUUUGUCAUAGGUAUCGAGUUGUAAUUUUUAUUUCUUUUGAGUUAUAAGUAAAUAGAAGUGUGAUGAUCAUCAUUAUUCAUUUUUAGAGCAGUGCCCCAGUGAGGAAAGGAUGAUGGAGACUAUGAUUCCCCCACAAGUCGGGAUGAGACUCCGGACAAUGAGAGAAAAAGAAAAGAAAAAAAGGAAAAAAAGAAAAUAAAAAAAACAAAGAGAGAAGGGGCAUUGUUAGUAUCCUUUACCACACUUGUUCUUCAAAGUAGCACCAUGUUUUUCAUAUGGAGAGUCUUGUAUGUUGUCACUUUCAUAUACUAGUGGGAAUUUUUCAUUAUAGGAUUAGAUGCACACCCACUUAGUUUUCAUAUUGAGCUUUCAUACACUUAUAGCUCUUAGUGCAUCCGUUGCAUGGCAUUCCCUACUCCUCACGUUGAUAUCAAUUGAUGGACAUCUCCAUAGCCCGUUGGUUAGCCGCGUCGGUGUGAGACUUUCUUACUUUUUUAUCUUCUUUAUAUUUACCCCUAUCAUCAUACUCUAUUCCACCCGUAGUGCUAUAUCCAUGGCUUGUGCUCAUAUAUUGUCUGAGGGUUGAAAAAGCUGAACCGCAUUAAAACGUAUGAACCAAUUGCUCGGCUUGUCAUGGGGGUUGUGCAUGAUAAAUACUUUGAGUUAAGAAGAUAGAGCAUGACAAGACUAUAUGAUUUUGUAGGGAUAGCUUUCUUUACCAUUGAUAUUUUGAAAGACAUGAUUACUUGUUGGAAUGCCUGAGUAUUGAUGUCUUUAUGUCAAAUUAUAGACUAUUGCUUUGAAUCACUUAUGUCUUAAUAUUCAUGCCAUGAUUAGAUAUAUGAUCAAGUUUAUGCUAGGUAGCAUUCCACAUCAAAAAUUAUCUUUUUUAUCAUUUACCUACUCAAGGACGAGCAAGAAUUAAGCAUGGGGAUGCUGAUACAUCUCCGUCGUAUUUAUAAUAUUUGAUUGUUUCAUGCCAAUAUUAUACAACUUUUACUUACUUUUGGCAACUUUUUAUAUGAUUUAUUGGACUAACCUAUUGAUCCAGUGCCUAGUGCCAGUUCCGGUUUUUUGCAGGUUUUUUGUAUCGCAAAAAAUCCAUAUCAAACGAAGUCCAAAUGCAAUAAAAUUUCACGGAGAAUUAUUUUGGAAUAUAUGUGAUUUUUGGGAGUUGGAAUCACCGCAAACGGAGUCCCUGGUGGGCACAACCCACCAGGAUCCGACCCCUGAGCCAGGCACGUGGUGGUGGGUUGUGCCCACCUCGUAUGUCGGUUGGAGCUCUACUUCGGGCGCAAGGAAGCUUAUAUCCGGAAAAAAAUCUUGUUAAAAUCUCAGCGCAAUCAGAGUUACGGAUCUCCGGGAAUAUAAGAAACGGUUUUUGGCCAGAUCUAGGGAAUGCGAAACUGAAGAGAACAGAGAGGGAGAUCCAAUCUCGGAGGGGAUCCCGCCCCUCCAGGGCCAUGGAGGCCAUGGACCAAAGGGGGAACUCUCCUCCCAUCUAGGAGGGAGGCCAGGGAAGAAGAAGAAGGAGGGGGGCUCUCUCCCCCUCUCUCCCGGUGGCGCCGGAGUGCCGUCGAGGCUAGGAUUGUGACGGCGAUCUACACCAACAAUCUUGCUACCAUCAACACCAACUCUCUCCCCCUCUAUGUAGCAGUGUAACACGUCUUCCCCCCACUGUAAUCUCUACUUAAACAUGGUGCUCAACUCCAUAUAUUAUUUCCCAAUGAUCUAUGGUUAUCCUAUGAUGUUUGAGUAGAUCCGUUUUGUCCUAUGGGUUAAUCGUGAUCUUGGUUGGUAUGAUUGUAUAUUUUAUUUAUGGUGCUGUCCUAUGGUGCCCUCUGUAUCGAGCAAACAUGAGGGCCCCCCGCUGUAGGGUGUUGCAAUAUGUUCAUGGUUUGCUUAUUGUCAGUGUUGCGGGGGAUGACAGCAGUCCAAACACGGAUAGGUGGGUUAUGGCGAAUGGGAGUAAAGAGGACUUGAUACUUAAUGUUAUGGUUGGCUUUCACGACCUUAAUGAUCUUUACUAGUUGUGGAUGCUUGCUAGGGGUCCAACCAUAAGUGCAUAUGAUCCAAGUAGAGAAACUAUGUUAGCUCAUGCAUCUCCCUCAUAUAAAAUUACAAGAAUGAUUACCGGUACUUGUUAUCGAUUGCCUAGGGACAAAUAACUUUCUUGUUGACAAAACCUCUCUACUAAAACUAACUUAGUUGUGUCUUUAUCUAAACAUCACCUAGAUUUUAUUUACGUGCUCUUUAUUAUCUUGCAAACCUAACCUAUCACAACUACAAAGUAAUUCCAAUUUCAUACUUGUUCUAGGUAAAGUGAACGUCAAGCGUGUGUAGAGUUGUAUCAGUGGUCGAUAGAACUUGAGGGAAUAUUUGUUCUACCUUUAGCUCCUCAUAGGUUUGACACUCUUAUUUAUCAAAGAAUGCUACAAACGAUCCCCUAUACUUGUGGGUUAUCAAGAGGCCAUGGUUGGUCCACUUCCUCGCCCCGUGCUUCCUCGCGCCGUCCGACCGGACGUGCUGUUCACGCUCGGGGUCGCUGCCGCUGCCGGAUCUUCUCCCGGAGCCGCGUCCGGAGCUCCACAUGCGGCCCCACAUGGCGGCUGGAGGCGGAAGGGGCUCGUCGACGGCGAGAAAUGUGAGGAGGGGAGUGGGGAAUUAUGGAGCGCGGCGGCGGCGGGGGGAUAGGGUUUAGACCCGCAAACGCAUCGCGAACCCAUAGAUAUACUGGUCGGGGCAGGCGGUUUGCGGGCCGCGGUAAAUAUUUUUACGGGUCGGGCGAGUAUACGGGCUCUGUUCUGGCCAAAAAAUUGGGCCGAGCCCGUAUACUUGCUGGAAUUUUGCAGGUUUGCGGCUUUUGCGGGGUCUGCUAGAAUUGCUCUAAGAAAUAUGCAAAACCCGGCUUCAUUCAUUAGAUUUUAUUACUUCAAGAAUUUGAUUUGCAAAUUAUCAAUAACAUGGGCGAAGAUAACCAAGUUCGGUUUAAUCUUAUAUUUCUUAACCGCCACAUAAUAUUGUGCAGUAGGUGCACACAUAUAAUCAUUCUUGGAAGCAGUGAAGUCCCAAGUUUCUUGCUAGCCAUAAUGGUAAAUUAUUGAUUUUUUUUAAGUUGCAAAAAAUAGGUUGACAACAAAAACAAAUUAAAACUGACGCGAAAAUAGAGUAACCUUACUAGGAAAGAACCUUGUCAGUGGCGCCAGAAAAAGGGUUGAUUAUCAUUGAUCCUGUCUCGGGUGUAGAUAUGGCCUUCUUCUCUAGAGAUCCUAUAAUUUAAAAAAUCCAUAAAGUGAUGAUGCUUGGUACAAAAAUAUCUGCAAGUACUUGUUAUUUCAAGAUGUUCGAGUUUGCUUGGCCAAUCGUAGAGGCGGUGAAAACACUAAUAAAGAAAUAGGCCCGGGCUUAAGAUUUCACCUGCCCUCGUGCACAUGGGCUCGGGAUACAAACUAGAUAAAUCAACAUGGCACUAGUAAACAUUGUUAAUUAUGUAGUGCAUGAACUAUGUGUGGUAUGCAUCCGAAUAACCCCAGGACCGACUACCACCCAAUCGAGGUUGUGUUGUCCAACCGAGACAAACGCAUUAGGGGGUUACUGACUACACCAUAAUUACCACCGAAGAUUUUAUUCUAGCUAUCAUACUAAUCUUACUAUCACUGACAUUUGACGUACCUUUCGACUCCUCUCAACACUUUAACUCUGUGUGUUUCGAUCUUCAGUAUCUUGGGUACCAGCAAACCCUAGUAUUGAGGUAGAGAGAAGAGACAAUAUAGUUGCACAACACAUAUAAAUAAUAUAAUCUCAAAGUAAACUAACAAUCUCCUAAUGCGCAUACAUGGGGCUGCGAAGCUAUGCCUCAACCCUUAGCCUAAGGUGACUACUCACACAUCACGAAUAAAUCACAAAGAAUAGACAUUAUAAGCAAAGUUACUUGAAGAUAAAUGAUUGAAAGUCUUACAAUGCUCAUGAUCAUGAUGUAAUAUCAAUUGCAAGUUAUUAAACUAAUCUAGAUGGAGGCUAUGGUGGUGGAGAUGGCGAUGGUGGCAUCACAAAGGCGAUGUAGAUAGGAAUGGUGACUACUAGGAAUGUAAACCGGCGAACUCAAAACUCUCAGGACUCCUCGAGGGUUUUCCUCUCCUUUAUAUAGUGCAAAUGGAUGGAGAAGGAUUUUGGGGCGCCUGUACUAUGAAUCAGCAUCGGAUCCUUUUGCAAAAGUCGUCGGGGAUGGUAUCAUCGAGGCGGUGGUCGUACCAUGCACAAUCUUCUCAUCAGUAUAUUCAGUAUAUGUCUUGAAUUUUCACGUAAAUCACGCAGUUCUGUAAGGAACAAUAUAAACAAGGAGAUUUUUAACCCUUCAAAUUUAUUAGUCAUUAGUAGGCAAAUCGAUGUGACUAUACAAAAAUACUUGAAAAAAUCUGGUUUAAACAUGAGUGAAUAUGAGUGGAGAUUCCACUCGUCAGCACUGUCAGCACAUCAAGUUUAGUCGCCAGUUUUGAGGCAGGCGUCAUCGAUGGAAUUGAUAGCAGUUGUACCUUUGGUGGGAAUGUAGGCAACAUUCCAGAGACGGGCAGGUGCGCCUGCCUAAAAGAUCUGCCAUGGCGAUUAGAAGCCUGGCAGCAAAUUUAGUAGCAUCUUUUUUAGCGAAUUAUAGCAGCAUCUAGCCCCCACCCCAGGGUAAGGAAAUAUUAUUGGUCACCACCGGUCCACCACCCAUAGAUUUUGCAAAGGUUAAGGGCACAUUCGGCAGCCCACAAAAUCGCAAUCAGGCCCAUUGUAUGCAACAUCUUUUUGGUGUUGGGUUGUUUGGUUAGAUGCAAAUAUUGUUGAGACUGGUGCAUCGGGCAGCCCGGUCACGGGCGGCGGCGACUUUUGCUGCGGCGGCGCGUCAUCUGACUUCAGAUCGGCAGCGGCAUGGAGGGCCUUGUGGGCUGCGCUGCGGCAUCUUUGGUCAGAUCUAUUCUGGCCAGUGCACCCGGCGGUGGUGGUCAUCUCCUCCAUCGGAGGUGGUCAGCCUAAGGCUGGGUGAUCGAAUCCCGAGAUCUGUCAUCUAGUCCCGGUUGCGAGUUAGGGAGACAUGGUUGCUUGUGAAAACCGAGCCAACGGCAGGCGAUAGUGGUGUUUUGCACCGUUACCUUGAUGAAGGCAUCAUCGAGUAACUACUGUCAACCCAUUUGUGCUGCUUCGGGGGAAACCCUAUUAUCUUGUGUUCUAGAUUAGACGAUGGAAGCACUACGGUGUUGUCUCUCUCUUGGGAGUAUUGUUUGUGGAGCAGCGCUGGAAGGCAGAGGCAGGAGGCGAAGCGGCUUCGUCUUGAACGGAGCUUCGGUGGACAUGUCAAGUCAUGCUUGGCCGACAGGUGCUACGCUUUGUCAUGCCUAGUCGGCAGGUGCUAUGCACGACAGAUCUUCCAGAGUCUCAGCGUCUGGAUGGACGAGCGCAGGGUGGUGGCGUCGUUGGGUGCCAUGGUGGCGUCGACGGUUGGUUGGACUAGAAAGGAUGAUGCAGAUCUCUCUCCUGAAGAUGGGACAGUGGUUUGAUGAUGAUGGCGGCUUCUAAAACGUGUGCAUGUGGUGUACGCUUUAGGUCUGCCACACCGGUUGUUGGUUCUGAUACGUUAUAUGGAUGGAUCGGUGAUGACAUCGGUUAUAGAUAUAGGGACUGAGAGCACUCCACAUUAUCAAGUUUGUAGGUGUGAGUGAUGACUUCGGGUGGCUUGAUGUAUGUUUAUGUCAGUCCUUCGUGGAAUAAUUAAUAAAGAUGGCAGUAUGCAUUGAUUGAUGCAGAAGCCGGGGGUUUAACCUCCUUUUCCAAAAAAAUACUGUUGAGCCUACAUAGCAUGGUUCUUAAGGCAUCUCUCGGCAGUUUCCAGCAAGCCAGGCCCGAGUGGUUAUUUGGAGCAAACAUUGAUGGCUCGCUAGGAACGUGUUUGCACGUGAUCACUUAUCCUUAAUCACUUAUCUUCCCCUCUCUCUCUUACCUCUUUCCCUCUGUUCCUUCACAUGGAACAAACAAGAGUCAACCCGCCGCCGGCCCUCCUCUACGUCACCACCAAGUCCCACGACCACCAAAAAUCAUCAGAUCCGACCAUCCCGACCUUCUAUGCAGCGCAUCCACCUUGUCCUUGCUCCACACCAUGUCAUCAGUCACCGUGGCUCCGUCGGACACUGGCCCUGGCGGCCCCCGUGCUCUCUCGUAACACCUUUUCCAGGAACCCCUGCUUCAGCUACUCUUCCUCAACAAUUGCUUGGCACCGGAUUCAGCGUUGCGUCGUCGCCCGGCCGCCCUCAUCCCCAGGGACCAGCCCGUCGUCGAUGCGCACAUCCUCGCCAGCGGGGCCGAAGGCACAUCCUCUGCAGCAUGGCCAUCAAGAACGGUCUCACGCACACCCUGUCGCGCAUGUGGCCACGCACGCCGACUCGACCUACUUCAUGGGGCUCAUCGACGCAUGGCUGUGUGCCGCUUGCUCGACUAGCUGCAGAACGUCAUGGGCCUCGACACGCUCUACGACUUUGCCAAGCAGUGGUCUUAUGCAUCGGUGGGCGUUGACAAGUUCAUCAACAAGGCGGAGAUCAAGGCGGCGCUGGGCAUGCGCCCGGACGUGACAUGGGAGGAGUGCAACGACGCGGUGGUGGCAGCCACGCAUGAGUAUGUGAUGAAGAGCAUGUUGUCGGAGGUGGCAGCUUCAUACUGCACUUCAUCCCGUUGUCGUGGGUGGUCGUUGAUAACCCACAAGUAUAGGGGAUCAAUUGCAGCUCUUUUCGAUAAGUAAGAGUGUCGAACCCAACAAGGAUCAGAAGGAAAUGACAAGUGGUUUUCAGCAAGGUAAUGUCUGCAAGUGUUGAAAUUGUAAGUAGCAGAGUAGUUUGAUAGCAAGAUAAUUUGUAAUAAGCAAGUAACGAUAGUAGUAACAAAAGUGCAGCAAGGUAGCCCAAUCCUUUUGAGCCAAAAGACAUGCCAAAACAGUCUCGUAUAAUAAGCAAAGCAUUCUUGAGGGUACACGGGAAUUUCAUCUAGUCACUUUUCACCAUGUUGAUUCAAUUUGUGUUUGCUACUUUGAUAAUUUGAUAUGUGGGUGGACCGGUGCUUAGGUGUUGUUUCUUACUUGAACAAGCCUCCUACUUACGGUUAACCCUCUCGCAAACAUCCGCAACUACGAGAAAAGUAUUAAGAAUAAAUUCCAACCAUAGCAUUAAACUUUUGGAUCCAAUCGGUACCUUACGGAAUAGCGCAUAAACUGGGGUUUAAGCGUCUGUCACUCUCCCAACCCAUCAUCUCUUACUACUCCACAAUGCAGUUCCUUAGGCCCAAAUAUGGUGAAGUGUCAUGUAGUCGACGUUCACAUGACACCACUAAGGGAAUCACAACAUACAUACUAUCAAAAUAUCGAACACAUAUCAAGAGUUCACAUGAUUACUCGCAACAUGAUUUCUCUCGUGACCUCAAGAACAAAAGUAACUACUCACAGAUGAUAAUCAUGCUCAAGAUCAGAGGGGUAUUAAAUAUCAUAUUGGAUCUGAACAUGUAAUCUUCCACCAAAUAAACCAUAUAGUAAUAAACUACAAGAUGUAAUCAACACUACUAGUCACCCACAAGCACCAAUCUAUAGUUCCGGUAACAAGAUUGAACACAAGAGAUGAACUAGGGUUUGAGAUGAGAUAGUGAUGUUGAAGAUGUUACUGGAGAUUGCCCUCCCCAAGAUGGGAGAGUUGGUGGUGAUGAUGAUGAUGAUGAUUUCCCCCUCCGGGACGGAAGUUCCCCGGUGGAAUCGCUUCGCCGGAGGGCAAAAGUGCUCCUGCCCAAGUUCCGCCUCGAGACAGCGGCGCUCUGUCCCGAAAUUCCUCUCCUUAUUUUUUUUCUAGGUCAAAAUGACCUAUAUACCAGAAGAUGGGCACCGGAGGUGGCCCUGGGUAAGCACAACCCACCAGGGUGCGCUUGGGCUCCCUCGCGCACCCAGGUGGGUUGUGCCCACCUGUUGGGCCCCCUCUAGUACUUAUUUGCUCCAAUAUUCAUCAUAUAUUCCGUAAAAAUUCUCCGUGAAGUUUCAGCUUGUUUGGAGUUGUGCAGAAUAGGUAGCCUGACAUAGCUUUUCCAGGUCCAGAUUUCCAGCUGCCGGAGUUCUCCCUCUUUGUGUGUACCUUGCAUAUUAUGAGAGAAAAAACAUUAGAAUUACUCCAAAAAAGCAUUAUUAUGCAUAAAAACAUCAUAAAUAACAGUAGGAAAACAUGAUGCAAAAUGGAUGUAUCAACUCCCCCAAGCUUAGACCUCGCUUGUUCUCAAGCGAAAAACCGAAAUAAAAAAACAUGUCCACAUGCUUAGAGAGAGAGAGAGGUGUCAAUAAAACAAAAUACGGACAUAGAAGCAUCAUUUUGGUUAUUAUAACAACAAAAAAUUUAAACAUAAGACUUUUAUCAUAGAGCCUUUAUCAUAAACUUCUCAUGAAUAAGUAACAGUUCAUCACACAAUUGAGGUAUAAAGCAUAAACUCUAUUAGAAACCAACAAACUAUGUUCUCAGUCAGCUUUGCAACUACAAGUCAUCAUAUUUUCAGGAAGGGUCACGUAUCGGAGCCUUUAGGCAAGUCCAUGAUGUCACUUGAAGCUACGUCGGUAUUUCCCAAAGAGGAAGGGAUGAUGCAGCACAAGGACGGUAGGUAUUUCCCUUAGAUAUGAAACCAAGGUUAUCGAACCAGUAGGAGAACCAAGAAACACAACGUAAACAGCCCCUACACACAAAUAACAACACCUCGCAACCCGAUGUGUUAAAGGGGUUGUUAAUCCCUUUCGGGUACGGUGCCAAAUAAAAUAAAUAGAAAUAAAACACAACAGGGUAUUUUUGUAUUUUUGGUUUAAUAGAUCUGAAAAUAAAUUGCAAGAGAAAAAUAGAUCGCAAAGGCAAAUAUAUGAGAAAGAAGACCCGGGAGUCAUAGGUUUCACUAGUGGCUUCUCUCGAGAAAAAUAGCAAACGGUGAGUAAACAAAUUAAUGUUGGGCAAUUGAUAGAACUUCGAAUAAUCAUGACGAUAUCCAGGCAAUGAUCAUUAUAUAGGCAUCACGUCCAACAUUAGUAGACUGACUCCUGCCUGCAUCUACUACUAUUACUCCACACAUUGGCCGCUAUCCAGCAUGCAUCUAGUGUAUUCAGUUCAUGGAAAAACAGAGUAAUGCAAUAAGAACAAUGACAUGAUGUAGAGAAGAUCUACCUAUGUAGAGAUAGACCCCAUCGUUUUAUCCUUAGUGGCAACGAUACAUACAUGUCAUUUCCCCUUCUGUCACUAGGAUCAAGCACCGUAAGAUCGAACCCACUACAAAGUACCUCUUCCCAUUGCAAGAUAGAUAGAUCAAGUUGGCCAAACAAAACCCAAAUAUUGGAGAAGAAAUACAAGGCUAUAAGCAAUCAUGCAUAUAAGAGAUCAAAGAAACUCAAAUAACUUUCAUGGAUAUAAAAAGAUAUAACUGAUCAUAAACUCAAAGUUCAUCAGAUCCCAACAAACACACUGCAAAAGAGAGUUACAUCAUAUGGAUCUCCAAGAGACCAUUGUAUUGAGAAUGAAAAGAGAGAGAGGAAGCCAUCUAGCUACUAACUACAAACACGAAGGUCUACAAAGAACUACUCACGCAUCAUCGGAGAGGCACCAAUGGAGGUGGUGAACCCCAUCCGAGAUGGUGUCUAGAUUGGAUCUGGUGGUUCUGGACUCUGCGGCGGCUGGAUGAAUAUUUCAUCGACUCAGGUGGUCCGGGGGUAUUUAUGGUGGUUUUGGGAAUAUUGGGUAUUUAUAGAGCAAAGAGGCGGUCCGGAGGGCACCCGAGGUGGGCACAACCCACCAGGGCGCGCCUGGGCCUCCUGGCGCGCCCUGGUGGAUUGUCCCCUCCUCACGAUUCCCCCCAGGCUCAACAACUGGCAAUUGGCACUAUGUCAAUAGGUUAGUACCAAAAAAAUGAUAUAAAAUGACUAUAUAAUUAUUAUAAAACAUCCAUGAUUGAUAAUAUAACAACAUGAAACAAUCAAAGAUUAUAGAUACGUUGCAGACAUAUCAGCAUCCCCAAGCUUAACUCCUACUCAUCCUCGAGUAGGUAAGUGAUAAAAACAGAAUUUUUGAUGUGGAAUGCUGCCUAACAUGUCAUAUCAUAUUUUUUCUUUAUAGCAUGGACAAUUGAACUUUUAUGUAAUUCAAAGUAAUAGUCUAGUUUUGACAUAAUAAUUUAGAUACUCAAGCAUAUCAACAAGCAACCAUGUCUUUCAAAAUAUCAAUGCUAAAAUAAGUUAUCCCCAACCCUGCUCAAUCAUUGAUCCAUUCAUGAAACACACUCAAAUAUUAGCUACAGCCAAUACUUAAGUACUAUCAUAUUGCCUCCUAGUUGGUGCUUUUAUAAGAGAAGAUGGAGACUCAAGAAAAAUAAAAUUUGCAUAAAGUAAAAAAGAAAGGCCCUUCGCAGAGGCAAGUAGGGAUUUGUAGAGGUGCUAGAGCUCAAAACAAAAAAUUAGAGAUAAAAUCAUUUUGGGAGGUUUAUCCAUCCCACCAACGAAAACGACUUAGAGUUCCCAACACUUUCCAUGCUAGAUAUAUCAUAGGCGGUUCCCAAACAGAAAAUAAAGUUUAUUCCUUUUUCCACCAUACUUUCACUUUCCAUGGCUAGCCAUAUCCACGGUUUCCCUCCAUACCAACACUUUCCAAGGAAUUUAAUAUUUGACAACAUAAACUAAAUUCAUUUUUGCAUUUCAGGACUAGGCAUCCCUAAAACCUUUGCCUUACCUCAUGCAAUGACAAGUGAAUAAACACUCAUCAUGAGAGUAACACAUCCAGCAUGGAAAAUAUUAGCCAACCCUGACCGCUCCGCGAGCGAAACAAACACACAAAAGAGAAGUUUAUUUUGAAAUUAGAGAUGGCACAUGCAAAUUUGCUUAGAAUGGCAAAAGAAUACCGCAUAUAGGUAGAUAUAGUGGACUCAUGUGGCAAAACUGGUUUAAAGGAUUUUGGAUGCACAAGUAGAGAUCAUACUUGGUGCAAAAUGAAGGCUAGCAAAAGAUUGAUAAGCGACCAACCAAGAAAUGAAUAAUCUCAUAAGCAAGCAUUAAGCAUAAUUAACACCGAAUGAUGCACCACAAGGAUAUAAUUUCAUUGCAUGACUAUUGACUUUCGUGCUUGCAUAGGGAAUCACAAACCUUAACACCAAUAUUCUUACUAAAGCAUAAUUACUCAUCAACACAACUCACAUAUUACAUCAUCAUAUCUCAAAACUAUUACUAAGAACCAAGUUUAUUUUGUCCAAUGAUCUUCAUAAAUUUUUUUGUUAUAUCCUUCUUGGAUAUCUAUCACUUUGGGGCUAAUUUUCAUGUCUUGCUUUUCAUAAGCUCAAACAAAUAUAAGUGAAGAUCAUGAGCAUACUUUUUAUCCUUCUCUCAAAAUAAUUUAAGUGAAGCAAGAGAGAAUUUCUUCAAAAAUAAUAAAUCACACCAUGCUCAAAAAGAUAUAAGUGAAGCACUAGAGGAAUUCCAUUGCUCAUAAAAAUUUAACUGAAGCAUAGAGAGCAAUUCUAACAAGUCAUGACAUAAUUUUGGCUCUCUCAAAAAGGUGUGUCCAGCAAGGAUUGAUGACUUAAGACACAAAUGAAACAAGCAAAGACUCAUAUCAUACAAGACGCUCCAAGCAAAACACAUAUCAUGUGACAAAUAAAAAUAUAGCUUUGAGUAAAAUACCGAUGGUCAUUGGAAGAAAGUGGGGAUGUCACUCGGGGGCAUCCCCAAGCUUAGUUGGUUGCUCAUUUUUGGAUAAUAGCCUGGUAUGCUGGGGCAUCCCCAAGCUUAGGCUCUUCUAUCCUUCCUUCAUCCAUCGUGAGAUAACCCAAAACUUGGAAAUUUCAAUCACACAAAACUUAACAAAAUCUUUGUGAGAUCCGUUAGUAUAAGAAAGCAAACCACUUCUAUAAGUACUGUAUCAAACCAAUUCAUAUUUUGUUUUUGUAUUAUAUACACUGUAUUCCAACUUUUCUAUGGCAAAAACUCAUCAAAGAAAACCAUAGAGCCAUCAAAAUAAGCACACAACACAAAGAAAACAGAAUCUGUCAAAACAGAAUAGUCUGAAGCAAUCUGACUAUUUUGAAUACUUCUGUAACUCCAAACAUUCUGAAAAAAUAGGACUACCAGGGUAAUUUGUGUAUUAAUCUUAUGAAAAAUAAUUGGCAUUUUAUCAUGUUCUGGUGAUUUUUAACAAUUGUUUUCGUGGCUGCACAAGUUUCUGUUUUUCAGCAAGAUCAAACAACUAUCACCCAAGAAGAUCCUAUAGGAUUUACUUGGCACAAACACUAACUAAGACACAUAAAACACAAUCAUACCAGUAUCAUAAUUCUGCAAACACACAAGAACAGAAAGCAAAAGCAAAAAUAAAUUUUAUUCAUUGGGCUGCCUCCCAACAAGCGCUAUAGUUUUACGCCCUUAGCUACACAUAAAGCGAGGAUCUAAGUAUUGCCAUCUUUGGUUCGAGAUCCAUAAGAUGCCCUCAUGAUUGAUUCAUAAGGUGGCUCAGUUCUUGUUCUAGGAAACUGUUCCAUUCCUUUCCUCAAAGGAAAUUGGAACUUAAUAUUGCCUUCUUUCAAAUCAAUCAUGGCACCGAUAGUGUGUAAAAACGGUCUACCAAGAAUAAUUGGACAAGACGGAUUGCAAUUAUCAAGAACAAUAAAAUCUAUGGGCACAUAAUUCCUAUUUGCAAGAAUAAGAACAUAAUUAAUUCUUCCCAUAGGCUUUUUAAUAGUAGAAUCCUCCAAGUGCAAAUUCAAAGAACAUUCUUCAAGAUUAGUAAGACCAAGCACAUCACAUAAAGAUUUCAGAAUUGUAGAAACAGUAGCACCCAAGUCACACAAAGCAGAACACUCAUAAUUUUUAAUCUUGACUUUGAUAGUAGGUUCCCAUUCAUCAUGCAAUUUUCUAGGAAUUGAAACUUCUAAUUCCAAUUUUUCUUCGAAAGCUUUCAUCAUAGCAUCAACAAUAUGUUUAGUAAAAGCUUUAUUUUGUUCAUAUGCAUGAGGUGAAUUUAUCAUGGAUUGCAACAAAGAAAUACAAUCAAUCAAAGAGCAACUAUCAUAAUUAAAGUCUUCGUAAUCCAAAAGAGUGGGCACAUCACUAGUUAAAGUUUUGACCUCUCCAAACCCAUUUUAAUCAAUUUUCUCAACAAGAUUUUCACCCUCUGAAAUAUUGGGACGCCUUCUACCUAUAGUUGACUCUUCUCCAAUCCCUUUUUCAUUAGUCUUAACUUUACUAAACAAGGAAUCAAUAGAAGAAACACUAAUCAUCUUAAUAUUUUCAUCAUCUUUAUCUUCUAACGAGAUUGGUUUAGCAGCCAUUUGAUUUACUAAGGUAGCUUGUGCAUCGGAUCUUUUUCCUAGCAAACUUUUAGCAAAAGCAUACUUAGAUUGGAGAUUGCAAACUUCUCUACUAAUAUCAUCAAGUUAUUUUGUAAUAGCAUCUAGCACAACAGAGUGCUCCUUAAGUUCUUCGGUAAAAUACUUAUUAUGCUCAAAUUGUGUAGUCAUACAUUCCUUAGUACUUUUCUCAAUUUCAAGCAAAAUAUUGGGGUAAGGAACAUCAUAAUAUUUUCUUUGAGGCAUCAUGAUUACGCAAACAAGAACGCACACAAAAACAGAACCGGCAAGAAAAUGGCGAACGGAAAAAAGGAGCGAAUAAAACGGCAAAUUUUUGUGAAGUGGGGGAGAGGAAAACGAGAGGCAAAUGGCAAAUAAUGUAAAUUGCAAGGAGAUGAGAUUUGUGAUUAGGAACCUGGUAUAUGUUGAAGAUCCUUCCCAGCAACGGCGCCAGAAAUUCCCUUUGAUGUCGCUUCAAUCUACGUCGGUAUUUCCCCAAAGAGGAAGGGAUGAUGCAGCACAGCGGCGUUAGGUAUUUCCCUCAGAUAUGAAACCAAGGUUAUCGAACCAGUAGGAGAACCAAGCAACACAACGUAAACAACCCCUGCACACAGAUAACAAAUCCUCACAACCUGACGUGUUAAAGGGGUUGUCAAUCCCUUCCGGGGUACGACGCCUCAAGAUAGGCAAACGGACGUGAGAUAAAUUGUAGUAGAUUGAUAGAUCGAAUGCCAAAUAAAAUAAAUAGAAUAAAAUGCAGCAAGGUAUUUUUGUAUUUUUGGUUUAAUAGAUCUGAAAAUAAAUUGCAAGAGAAAGUAGAUCGCAAAGGCAAAUAUAUGAGAAAGAAGACCCGGGGGCCGUAGGUUUCACUAGUGGCUUCUCUCGAGAAAAAUAGCAAACAGUGGGUAAACAAAUUACUGUUGGGCAAUUGAUAGAACUUUGAAUAAUCAUGACGAUAUCCAAGCAAUGAUAAUUAUAUAGGCAUCACGUCCAACAUUAGUAGACCGACUCAUGCCUCAAUCUACUACUAUUACUCCACACAUCGACCGCUAUCCAGCAUGCAUCUAGUGUAUUAAGUUCAUGGGAAGACAGAGUAAUGCAAUAAGAAUGAUGACAUGAUGUAGAGAAGAUCUACCUAUGUAGAGAUAGACCCCGUCGUUUUAUCCUUAGUAGCAAUGAUACAUACGUGUCAUUUCCCCUUCUGUCACUAGGAUCAGGCACCGUAAGAUCAAACCCACUACAAAGCACCUCUUCCCAUUGCAAGAUAAAUAGAUCAAGUUGGCCAAACAAAACCCAAAUAUCGGAGAAUAAAUACGAGGCUAUAAGCAAUCAUGCAUAUAAGAGAUCAAAGAAACUCAAAUAACUUUCAUGGAUAUAAAAAGAUAUAACUGAUCAUAAACUCAAAGUUCAUCAGAUCCCAACAAACACACCGCAAAAGAGAGUUACAUCAUAUGGAUCUCCAAGAGACCAUUGUAUUGAGAAUCAAAAGAGAGAGAUAAAGCCAUCUAGCUACUAACCACGAACCUGAAGGUCUACAAAGAACUACUCACGCAUCAUCGGAGAGGCACCAAUGGAGGUGAUGAACCCCAUCCGAGAUGGUGUCUAGAUUGGAUCUGGUGGUUCUGGUCUCUACGGCGGCUGGAUGAAUAUUUCAUCGACUCCCCUAGGGUUUUGGGAAUAUUGGGGUAUUUAUAGAGCAAAGAGGUAGUCCGCGGGGCACCCGAGGUGGGCGCGCCCUGGUGGGUUGUCCCCUCCUCGGGACUCCCCCAGGCACAACCAGGGCCCAUUACGUUCCUUUUGGUCCAAAAAAAUCUCCGUGAAGUUUCGUUGCCUUUGGACUCCUUCUGAUAUUGAUUUCCUUCGAUGUAAAAAACUUUCACAAACAGCAACUGGCACUUGGCACUAUGUCAAUAGGUUAGUACCAAAAAAUGAUAUAAAAUGACUAUAAAAUGAUUAUAAAACAUCCAACAUUGAUAAUAUAACAGCAUGAAACAAUCAAAAAUUAUAGAUAAGUUGGAGAUGUAUCAGCCCACAUACUCAACCAUCAUAUAGUCUUCUAUGAUUGCUAACACUCAUCACAUACACAUGAGCAAAACAUUUCAGCCGGACACAUAGAAAGAUAGGGGCUUAUAGUUUCGCCUCCCAACGUAUUCACCUCAAGGGUGAUGUUAACAGUAAUAACUUAUGCCACCCAUAUUCAACUGGACAUAUGUGCCUAUAUCUUCCUCACCACAUGAUGCUUACGAAAGGAGAAAAUAAAAAAGAAUAGAGAGAAGAAACUUUGACUCUUUCCAUAAAAGUAAAUACAUAUAAAAGUAAAAGAUAGGCCCUUCGCAGAGGGAAGCAGAUGUUGCCAUGCGCUUAUUUGUUUGUAUGCUCAACCCCUUAGUGCAAAAGAACGUCACGUUGCAUUACCCCUUGUGAUAGCGACCUUUAUUAUGCAGUCUGUCGCUUUUAUUCUUCACCAUCACAAGUUCAUGCAACGCUCAAUUUUCUCUUACACUAAAUGAUCUGACACAUUUAGAAGCAAUUUUUAUUGCCUUAUUGCACCGAUGACAACUUAAUUGAAGGAUCUUGCUUAAUCCCUAGGUAGGUAUGGUGGACUCUUGAAAAUAAGAUUUAGGUUUAAGGGUUUUUGGAUGCACAAGUACUAUAUCUACUUAGUGCGGAAUUUUUGGCUAGAAAAUAUAGGGGCAAGCACCACAUGUUGAAGGAUCUAUGACAAUGUAACUUCUAUGUGAAUAUGAACAAACAUAAAUCAUUACAUUGUCUUCCUUGUCCAACGUCAACAAUCUUUGGCAUAUAAUAUUUUUAUGGGGCUCACAAUCACAAAAGAUUUCUAGGAUAGUGUAUUUAUAUGUGAAUCUUCUCUUCCCUUAUUAAUUCUUUCAUGAUUUGCAUAAUUGACCAAUGCAAUGUUUGUCAAUCUCUAAUAAAAUUUUCUACUUAUACUUUUCCUUAUGUGGUGCCAUCACCUACCAUAAGAUUAGCAUAUGAUAUUUUUAAUUUAUUUCCCUUCUUUUUAUAUUUAUAUCCUUUCUUUUUAUUGCAACAUGAAAGUAAAGAAAGCAAAAACUCAAAUUAAACUUUAUUAUAUAUCUUGCACAAGAUUACAUGGAUAGAUCACUAAGUAAGCUCUCGAAAAGAAAGGAUCGAACUAAACUUCUAUUGAUAUAUACCAAUAUAAAAAGACCCAAAUGGGUAGAUCCAAUUAAUCUCGGCCAUCAAAUCAUGUCAAUCCAACGACCUAGACUGCUUCAAUGUCAGAGUGCUCAACACGUUAAGCAUGCAGUUAAUUUCAUGCCAAAUAUAGUGUUAAUCACAUAAUAGCAUGCAAAUAAUAUCCUACUCAAUAUCCGCAUGCACUUAAUAUACUUCCAAUUAACGUGCAUUGCACGUACACAAUUACUAGUCUAAAGCAAAAGAUUAAACUAAAAUAAGUAAAGGCAAAAAGAUAGUGGGGGUGGUACGAUAUCGGGGCACCUCCCCCAAGCUUGGCGGAAUCCAAGGGGAGUGCCCAUACCCGAAACUCAAUUUUCCUUUGGUGAUGAAGAAGAAGGAGGUGGCGAUGAAGAUAUCUUGUCCUCGGGUUUACAUGGCAGAGGCUAACCAUUAUAAGAGGAGGAGUGAGUCUCACGGGUCCUGCAACUGGCAGCCAAACUCAUACCUUUAAACCUUGACUCAUAUUCAAAGACUUGGUUUUGAAUAUCAUAGCUCUGGCUUUGGAGGAAGUUGAUUUGCUCGUUGAGGGUGAAGACGAUGUCCUUCAUAGACUUUCCAUCCACCUUGAGAUCAUGGGUGUAGUCCACGAUCAUGAGGUGAUUGGCAUUGACUCCACGUUCCACCACCCCCUUGCACCGAAAGACCUCCUGCUCCAUACCCUCAAGCCUGGCCUCCACGGUUCCCGUCCCCUUGGGACCUUGCACAUCACGGAUGUGCAGCACCCCCUCAUGCAUCUGGAUAGCCUGAGGGUGCUGCAUCACCUCCCGCAGAUAUGGGUUGAUGACGUUCUCGAAGAACUUGUCCUUGGAGGAGCGUGGAGAGGCCAUGGUAGACUGGAUCUGUCAGAAAAUAUCAAGUAAAUAAAACAUAAGAUUUCUCCGCGAUACGGUGGUCAAUGCGUUCGGGGGGUAUAUAAAGAUUUUUUAUCUUGGUGAACAAGCAAGCGUGAGAAAAACGGAGUCCGGAAGGUGCCCCAGGUGGGCACAACCCACCUGGGCGCGCCUGGCUUGUGUCUUGUGCCCACCAGGGUAUGCUUCCUGGAAGUUUCUUAUUUUCCUAAUUUUCCAAAUAUUCCAAAACUGACAAAAAAUAUUUUUGCGGAUUUUUUCGGGGUCCGUUUACUUACCGUAUCCAUACCUCCUUAUUUUCACGAUUCUGGAGUGUCCCGGAAGGACUCUUUUAUGUGUUCUUCCGAUGUCAAAGUUUGGAUAAUAUUACUUUCAAUAUUAAUGGGCGUACCUGAGAUAUAAUGUUUUAUUUGUUGCCCAUUAACAACCUUUAGGUUAGUACCUUCGGCAUUAUUUAUUUUGAUAGCUCCAGGCCGAUAAACCUCCUCGAUAACAUCGGGUCCUUCCCAUUUACUGAGGAAUUUUCUUGCAAAGAACCUGAAACGAGAGUUGUACAAAAGAACAUAUUCUCCGACUUUGAAAUCACGCUUUUGGAUUCUUUUAUCAUGCCAUAUUUUAACUUUCUCUUUAAAUAACUUGGCAUUUUCAUAAACUUGGGUUCCCCAUUCAUCUAAUGAGCUAAUAUCAAAUAACCUCUUUGCACCGGCAAGUUUGAAAUCAUAGUUGAGUUCUUUGAAUGCCCAAUAUGCUUUAUGUUCUAGCUCAAGAGACAAAUGACAAGCUUUUCCAUAAACCAUUUUAUAAGGAGACAUACCCAUAGGAUUUUUAUAUGUUGUUCUAUAAGCACUACUAGGAAAAGGGCUAUAGAUGGGAUUGACACUAAUGGCGCACCAGAAAGAUGGUGCGCCAUUAGUAUAUACUAAUGGCGCACCACAAUCUGAUGCGCCAUUAGAGUUUAAACUACUAAUGGCGCACCAUGCUACGGGUGCGCCAUUAGUAUCAAUUUUUUUUAACUAGUGCGCCUGUCCAAACAUACUAAUGGCGCAUCCGGGCAAAGUGCGCCAUUAGUAGUUGUAACUACUAAUGGCGCACCAGGUAGCAGGUGCGCCAUUAGUAUAGAAUUUUUUUUUGAACUAGUGCGCCUAUCCAAACAUACUAAUGGCGCAUCCUGCCCAAGUGCGCCAUUAGUAGUUGUAACUACUAAUGGCGCACCAGGCAGUGGGUGCGCCAUUAGUAUAGAAUUUUUUUUUUGAACUAGUGCGCCUAUCCAAACAUACUAAUGGCGCAUCCUGCUUAAGUGCGCCAUUAGUAGUUGUAACUACUAAUGGCUCACCAUGCAAGAGGUGCGCCAUUAGUAAGUGGGCAGCAACAAGAUAUUUGGGACAGCCUCUCCUACCCACACACUCACUUUCUCCCCACUUCAUUCUCUCCACCUCCUCCUUGUCUCGGGUGCCUCCUCUUUUUCACCUCAUUUCCACCAUAGAUUCAUUCAAAUUAAGUGGUUAAAUUACCUUGUUUUAAUAGGUAAGUAAGGGGGGAAGCUAUAUUUAGGUUGUUCUCCUUACAACAAUGUGCACAUGCACUUUUUACGGCCUAGCUAGAUCUAUGUAUGUUCGUGGUGUUGCAUAUGUUUGUGGUGUUGCAUAUGUGUUUGUGUUUGGAGGUGUACCGGUAUUUGAUAUGCGAUAGUUGCCAAUAUUUUGCCGGAAUGUUGAUUCAUUUCUGUUUCGGCGAGAAUUUUGGCAUUAAGCAUUCUUUUUGGUCCUAUUUUUAGGGAAAGUCAUGCCAAAUUUUUGUUUGGUUCUAAAAUAUCGUUUUGCUCUACCCCGCAGGCGACCAUGGUCCGCACGAUGACCGAAGGCAUCGUGAAUAGGUUUUUGAGGUCCGCGAAGGCCGAGAUGCUUCAAAAGAAUGAGACGGAGAUAAGAUGUCCGUGUCGAAGAUGCAAGCUGAAGAGCCUUAUUGCGGACCCAGAUUCCGGGCAGGUGCGGGACCACCUGCUGUUGCGUGGUUUCAUGGAUGGCUAUCGGUGGCAAGGUGAUGAAGAUGACUACGAAGUCGUCCAUGCGGGCCGGGCAAGAAAUGAGGAAGGGCAGCAAGACAACCACCGCGGCUCGGGCGGGCGAGAAGACGAAGAAUCCCCAGGAGAUGAUCACGACUGUGAUGCUGUACAUAGUCAUCAUGUAGAAGAUGCAGGACAUGAUGAUGAGGAAGAUGCCGGAGCAGGCGACGGGCAUGAUCAUGAAGAUGAUGAUGCCGGCGGAGCAGAUGACGCUGGACCAUCGAUGGGCUGGGUGCAGGACCCUCAUAUUCAAGAGCUGCUUCUCAAGCAGACGGAUAACGCAAGAGCUGCCGCCCGAGAGAAAGCCAAGAUGGAUCAACUUGAGUUAGACGUGGUUACUCCAUUGUAUGAAGGAUGCAGGCCCGAUGAUACCCGCCUGAAAGUAACGCUCAUGGCCCUGGAGAUGAAGGUAAAACACAAAAUGACCGACGCAUGCUUUGACGAGAACAUGUCAUUCUGGCACGAACGUCUUCCCAAGGGGAACAAGUGCCCGACUAGUUUGGAGGAGGCGAAGAAAAUCGUGUGUCCUCUGGAUUUACCGCACGUGAAAUACCAUGUGUGCAUGAACAAUUGCAUCAUUUAUCGGGACGAGCACGCGGAGUCUACAAUAUGUCCGGUGUGCGGUGUCACUCGAUACAAGAAGAGGAAGAAAGCUCCUCGAAAAGUGGUGUGGUACUUUCCGAUCACUCCUCGUCUGCAGCGGUAUUUCGCGGAUCCUAAGGUAGCAAAGCUCCUGCGUUGGCACGCGGAUAGGGAGGAGAAGAAGCGAGAAGAUGACGCAAAUGAUCCGGAGAUAGAUAAAAAAGACAAGAUGCUGAGUCACCCUAAGGAUGCGAGCCAGUGGCAAGCAUUGAACUUCGAAUACCCAGAAUUUGGGAACGAUCCAAGGAACAUCGUGCUGGGCGCGAGCACCGAUGGAGUCAAUCCGUUUGGCAGCCAGAGAAGCACACAUAGCACCUGGCCUGUGUUUGUGUGGAUGUACAACCUUCCCCCCUGGUUGUGCAUGAAGAGGAAGUACAUUCACAUGAGUAUGCUAAUUGAAGGGCCGAAACAACCAGGGAAUGACAUCAAUCUGUAUCUGGGGCUGCUGAAAGAGGAGCUUGACACGCUAUGGAAAACGCCAGCCAAUACGUGGGAUGCCGCAGAGAAAGAAUAUUUCCCUAUGAGAGCCGCACUGCUCACGACGGUGCACGACUAUCUCGGUUACGGAUAUCUUGCGGGGCAGGUAGUCCACGGAUUUUCUGGAUGCGUAAGGUGCAUGGAUGACACAACGUAUCGCCAGCUAGAUAGAGAUCCCGGGUCUUCGAAAACCGUGUUCAUGGGACAUCGAAGGUGGCUUCGCGACGAUGACCCGUGGAGGAAACGCAAGGAUCUGUUCGAUGGUGAAACCGAACCCCGAAAACGCCCGUGUACGAGGAGCGGCGAGGAAAUAGACAAGCUGUUGAAAAAUUGGAAAGACUGCCCACUGCCGGGAAAGAAGCAAAAGGCGCCAGAGCCAGGAAAGAAGCGAAAGGCGCCAGAGCCGCUGCUGAAGGUAUGGAAAACGAGGUCUGUUUUCUGGGACUUGCCGUACUGGAAGAUCCACCGUGUGCCUCACAGCCUUGAUGUCAUGCAUAUCAUGAAGAACGUGUGCGACAGUCUGCUUGGUACCCUGCUCAACAUGCCAGAGAGGACCAAAGAUGGGCCGAAAGCAAGGGCAGAAUUGAAAUCAAUGGGCAUCAGGCAGGAGCUUCACGCUAUAUAUGAUGAUGAUGAUGAUGAUGAUGAUGAUGAUGAUGAGGCGAAGCAGGACACAGAAAGUCGUCGCAAAGGCAAAAAGGCCAAGAAGACCCGAAAUGACUACCCUCCCGCGUGCUUCACUCUAAGUCAGGAGGAGAUCGAGCAGUUUUUCACCUGCCUCCUAGGAGUAAAACUUCCUUACGGUUACGCGGGGAAGAUAAGCAGAUACCUAGACCCAGCGAAGCAGAAGUUCAGCGGGAUGAAGUCUCACGACUGUCACGUGCUGAUGACGCAGAUACUUCCAGUUGCAAUCCGUGGGAUCAUGGACGCGCACGUCCGUGAAACGCUAUUUGGCCUAUGCAACUUCUUCGACGUCAUCUCUCGGAAGUCGAUUGGCGUGAGGCAACUCAGAAGGCUACAGGAAGAGAUCGUGGUGAUACUAUGCGAGCUUGAGAUGUACUUCCCGCCCNNNNNNNNNNNNNNNNNNNNNNNNNNNNNNNNNNNNNNNNNNNNNNNNNNNNNNNNNNNNNNNNNNNNNNNNNNNNNNNNNNNNNNNNNNNNNNNNNNNNNNNNNNNNNNNNNNNNNNNNNNNNNNNNNNNNNNNNNNNNNNNNNNNNNNNNNNNNNNNNNNNNNNNNNNNNNNNNNNNNNNNNNNNNNNNNNNNNNNNNNNNNNNNNNNNNNNNNNNNNNNNNNNNNNNNNNNNNNNNNNNNNNNNNNNNNNNNNNNNNNNNNNNNNNNNNNNNNNNNNNNNNNNNNNNNNNNNNNNNNNNNNNNNNNNNNNNNNNNNNNNNNNNNNNNNNNNNNNNNNNNNNNNNNNNNNNNNNNNNNNNNNNNNNNNNNNNNNNNNNNNNNNNNNNNNNNNNNNNNNNNNNNNNNNNNNNNNNNNNNNNNNNNNNNNNNNNNNNNNNNNNNNNNNNNNNNNNNNNNNNNNNNNNNNNNNNNNNNNNNNNNNNNNNNNNNNNNNNNNNNNNNNNNNNNNNNNNNNNNNNNNNNNNNNNNNNNNNNNNNNNNNNNNNNNNNNNNNNNNNNNNNNNNNNNNNNNNNNNNNNNNNNNNNNNNNNNNNNNNNNNNNNNNNNNNNNNNNNNNNNNNNNNNNNNNNNNNNNNNNNNNNNNNNNNNNNNNNNNNNNNNNNNNNNNNNNNNNNNNNNNNNNNNNNNNNNNNNNNNNNNNNNNNNNNNNNNNNNNNNNNNNNNNNNNNNNNNNNNNNNNNNNNNNNNNNNNNNNNNNNNNNNNNNNNNNNNNNNNNNNNNNNNNNNNNNNNNNNNNNNNNNNNNNNNNNNNNNNNNNNNNNNNNNNNNNNNNNNNNNNNNNNNNNNNNNNNNNNNNNNNNNNNNNNNNNNNNNNNNNNNNNNNNNNNNNNNNNNNNNNNNNNNNNNNNNNNNNNNNNNNNNNNNNNNNNNNNNNNNNNNNNNNNNNNNNNNNNNNNNNNNNNNNNNNNNNNNNNNNNNNNNNNNNNNNNNNNNNNNNNNNNNNNNNNNNNNNNNNNNNNNNNNNNNNNNNNNNNNNNNNNNNNNNNNNNNNNNNNNNNNNNNNNNNNNNNNNNNNNNNNNNNNNNNNNNNNNNNNNNNNNNNNNNNNNNNNNNNNNNNNNNNNNNNNNNNNNNNNNNNNNNNNNNNNNNNNNNNNNNNNNNNNNNNNNNNNNNNNNNNNNNNNNNNNNNNNNNNNNNNNNNNNNNNNNNNNNNNNNNNNNNNNNNNNNNNNNNNNNNNNNNNNNNNNNNNNNNNNNNNNNNNNNNNNNNNNNNNNNNNNNNNNNNNNNNNNNNNNNNNNNNNNNNNNNNNNNNNNNNNNNNNNNNNNNNNNNNNNNNNNNNNNNNNNNNNNNNNNNNNNNNNNNNNNNNNNNNNNNNNNNNNNNNNNNNNNNNNNNNNNNNNNNNNNNNNNNNNNNNNNNNNNNNNNNNNNNNNNNNNNNNNNNNNNNNNNNNNNNNNNNNNNNNNNNNNNNNNNNNNNNNNNNNNNNNNNNNNNNNNNNNNNNNNNNNNNNNNNNNNNNNNNNNNNNNNNNNNNNNNNNNNNNNNNNNNNNNNNNNNNNNNNNNNNNNNNNNNNNNNNNNNNNNNNNNNNNNNNNNNNNNNNNNNNNNNNNNNNNNNNNNNNNNNNNNNNNNNNNNNNNNNNNNNNNNNNNNNNNNNNNNNNNNNNNNNNNNNNNNNNNNNNNNNNNNNNNNNNNNNNNNNNNNNNNNNCAAUUUACACACGAGUUCCUGUGAAAAUUCAGGGUGGUGGUGGCCACUGUGACAGUAUUAGCUUGAGUCUCCAAUCAUUGUUCUCAUGUUUUGAUUAUCUGAAGGCCUUGGGUAAAAUGUGGUGCAUGAAAAGAUUAUCUUUAUUUCCCAGUUUAAGAUGAACUGAGUAGGUUUGAUUGAGUGCAUGAUCAGUAUUUACACCGCUUGAUCGAAACAAUUCCGUCUUAUUGCUCUCUUGGUCAUCAACGUUUCUGCCUAUGAGUUCGAUCUUCUACCAACUGGUAGAGAAUAACAUCUCACCACUGAUGAUAAUGGUGUUCUAGCAUCGCACAUUGCUGCAUUAAACAAGUUGGGUACAAUAAUAGCCUUUCAUAACUUAUAAUGACAAACAUUGGUUCCAUUAACCCCACAAAUCCCGACAGAUUCAGGGGAACGGGGUUCAGACUCACGUAAGCAACUUGCCAUGAACCGUGCGGUAAUGGUGUUCUAGCACGCACAUUGUUGUGAAUAGUAUAUAUUGAGAGGACUCCACUAUGCAACCUUUGACAUGCUCAUCACAUACUGUUAUUUAUAGUGAACCUUCUUUACUUGUAUUUACAGGGAAACAAUUGGUACAAUUCUUGCCCGGGGCCACAGCUGAAAUAGAGACGCCAGUUAGUGCUGUUUCCAUUAGGAGGAUUCCAAGGUAUAUACCCCAAUUCUAUUUAAAUAUAAAUUGGAAAAAUCUCUUUCAAAAUUUGGUACAAUUGCUUGAAUUUUUGGAAAAAUCUCUUGAACAACUGCUGAUAUCCUAAAAAUUCAGAACAGUAUAGCUAUCAUUUUGAAGUUUGAAACUAAAAAAUAUCGACAGCAGUAAUUGUUCUAAGAUGGUUCAGGAUAGUGGAUCUUAGGCAUUACAUUUUUCUUUUUGAUGAAAUAGGCAUUAUAUUUAAGCUGGCAGUACAGUAGGCAUAACCUUCUACCUCACUUAAACAGUUGACAAUUCUUUACCUUAGUCUUUGCAUCCCAUCAGCAAGCUUUUAUUGGUGGCUCACCAAAACUAAACAUCUAAAGGCAUCCUCCUAGCCUCCUGGUACAUCAAUUUCAAGGUAGGCGAACCAUGGUUCCAUUUAACCAAGUGAACUUCCUUUUCUUCUUGCUAGGAGUUGAAAAUUUGGCAUUUGUGGUUGUGACGGUUAAAUGAAUAACUUAUGUGCACAAGUGCAGCAGAAAAUUUACAACAGACUAAUUAGAUUCAUUUUUCUUUUGUUUGAGAGAGAGUUAGCUGGAAUUUUUGAAUAAAACGUAAGUCUAAUCCCAGCGAAAAAUUCAAGCUAUCUUAACCUCCAAUUUUGAUCAAGUAAACUCAAUAUUUCUGGGACAGUUAGAGUAUCCAUCGAUCAUAUUUGAACCUAAUACCAAUUCAUUCAUCUCCAUACCACUGCAGACACAACAGAACAGAGGCACUUCAUCACCCACGGCUGAGAAAGCAAGGUAGAAUCACCACUGCAUACAUACUAUUUCUCUUUUUUCUGUUCUUUUCAGAUCAAUAUUGUUGUGAUCUUUCAUGUCUUUAUAACAGGGAAAAUGGUUGUAUAUGAUAGACAUCGAACCGUUUCUGUAAACUGAGUACUAACUGAGUUCCCUAAAAAAAGAACCUUAGUACUAACUGAAAUAUGAUGGAACAGAAAAUACAAUGAAAUCAAUACGGAACAUGCUAGAUAAAUAUUGCCAUGAAACCAGAUGACACUGAUAAUUUUAGUGGAAAACAAAGGACUCUUCUGUUAUUUUUAGUGAAAAGUUGGUCCACCGACCACUCACAUAUCCAAUUUCCAUGAUCCUCAACGGAAGUCAGAAACACAACAUAUCCAUGGACUUCUCAUUGUUCAAAAUCUUCUCUUAGGAUUAACCACAACAGCAUAUCGGGGGUUCAGGAAUCAAAAUAUCAGUUACAUCAAGAGUUAGCAAUGACCAAACUGGCAUGUAACAGAGACACUAUAAAAGAUAGCCAACAUCCAGUUAGGCCAACAUAACAGUGAACAAAACUACUGUCAAUCAGCUCAGUUCUAGUGCUGUUGGAUUUUUCUCGAUUGUAUUCUUGCAGUUUUGAAAAUUCAAUUUAUUCGGUUACUGAAAAUUCAGUUAAUUCAGUUAGGCACACAAAUUUCAGAACUUUUGUGUGCCCUAGUACUUGGUGUUUGUAGAAAACCAGGAGUGUCAAUGGGACUAGAAUUCACUUGUUCUUAUAUGGGUUUGUAAAACUUGUUCAUGUACUGAACUACUAAUGCCUUGUGAUGCUCUGAAUUACUUGUGAUGCCUCUGAAUUACUUGUGAUCACAUUGAGAAAGACUUGUAAAGAUGAUGAUCAUCUUUAAUAGAAAACAAUUUGUGAUGAUUUUGCUAGUUUGCUGGGUUUUGUCUCCGACCAUCGUGUCGUGAUGAUUUUGCAGGUACCCCGAGAGGCCCUUGAGUUUGCCGGAAUGUCGAUUAACUUCCGUUCCGGCAAAUUCGGGUACUCCAUAUGUCCUAUUUUCAGCAAAGGUCAUGCUGAAAUUUUCCGUGAAUUUUAGCAUGACUUUGCUAAAAAUAGGACAUAUGGGGUACUUGUGACUAAUGCAUGGGCUGGGGUAUCUUAGUAGUUAAUUAAGUAGGAUCAAGUGCCCCGGCGUACUUGUGACUAAUGCAUGGCUUUUAGGGUGCCUCGGUGUCGAUAAAAACCGAAAUGAUGAAAAGUUAGGCUUUUAGGGUGCCUUGGCGUCGAAAAACCCUCAAUGAUAAAAGCUUAGAUUUUAGGAUGCCUCGGUGUCGACAAACCCUAAAUGAUGAGACCAUGAUCUUGUUCCUUGACAAUAACCAACUUUUUGACCAAACUUUGUUUCUAUUUAGAGAGAAACAUGGCCCACAACGAUGAGGCCGGGGGUUCGGGCGGCAAGGCAUUCUGGGAGCUGUCCCAGGAGAUGGAGGAACAACCUCACUUGUAUGAGGCCGCCGCCUUCCCCACCGAUCCUGAGACCACGGAUGGUGCCGCCGAGGAUGACCACACUGAUGCCACCACUGAUGGUGCCACUGAGGAUGCCACCACUGAUGAUGGCGGCGCACGCACAGAUAGCAGCCAGCCGAAGAGGCAACGGAAGGACCGGCGCCCGAUCGUGCUCCGCACCCUCAAGGAGGAAGUUACUGAAGUGGACUCCAACGGGAAUCCAACGGCGCCCGAACGAAUAGUCAAGGGGUACUCGCUUCAGCUCGGGUGCAUUGUCCGGAGCACCGUCUCGAUCAACACCGAGAACCUGAGGCAUCCUAACCGGGGGAAUUUGCGCCACCUCCUCUUCACGAAGCUGCACGAAUGAUACAAGUUCCCCGCUGAAUUCGAAAACACAAGCCUCAAAGGGAAUAAAGUGAACAAUGCUGCCCUCACGAAGAUGAGCAAGGCCCUGUCUACUUGGAAAAGCAAUGUGAAGAGAAUGAUCGAGAAAGGUGAGAGUUAUGAGAAGAUCAAGGAGAAAAAUCCUUCGAUCACCGAAGAUGACUACAACGACUUCAAGAUCAAUUGCUCGAGCACCGCAAGCUCCCAAUCAAGUGAGUGGGGGAAACAAAUGCGGGAGCUGAACAUAGGGGAACACACACUCGGUCCCGGCGGUUACAGAGUGGCGGAGCCUAUAUGGGACAAGGAGGAGGCGGACCGUGUCGAGCAAGGCCUACCGCCCCUCUUCGAUAAAUACGGUGACAAGCAGACCAGGAACUUUGUCAGGGCCCGGUACAAGAAGGACCCGAAAACAAAGGAGCUUACCACGGAUCCGAAGACCAGGCAGCUUGAGCUUGUUCUGGUAAGGAAUACACCCCCGCAUAAUUAGCUCCAUAUGGUUGCAUUCUAAUUAAUGAAGCCGAAUUUCUAAAUGGUUCACAUUCCUUCCGCAGGCGACUGAAAGCAGUAGCGCGGGGUCGACUCAGAGCAACCCUUGGGACAGCACUCUAAAUAGGGGGUUGAAUAUAAUGAAGAACAAGGAUAAGCUCAGUAAGCCGACGUCAGCUGGUCGUGUGGCCGGCAAAGGCUUGUCGACAAAAUGGGAGUCAUACUAUACCGCUGGUGUGCGGAAGGAGAAAAAGACCAGCUCGGAAAGCCAGGCGCAAGAGGUUCAAGAACUCAAGGCACAGGUGGCGCGGAUUCCGAAGAUUGUCCAAGAGCAAGUGGAACAACGACUCGGAGCGACGAUCACCGCCCUUGUGCCUACCUUGAUCUCGGGGUUGAGUGCGUGGAUUGCGGGCGGCCAACAGGGGCCGCCCCCGAUUCCUAGCUUCACGGCCAGCAACUCGCAUAAUGCGAUGGCGGGGCCAUUGGUGCCUCCGGCGGAGGCGGCAUUGGUGUCUCCGACGCCGACACGGGAGCUUAAUGCACCCGGGUGUACGCCGGCCGACACCUCUUCAGCAAGCGGCCGCUCCGUCAACUGCACACCCGCCGUUGGCGGUGCCUCGACAUUAGCCGAGCUCGACACCAUCAUCACGGUAACUAAUUAAGCCUCUCUCGGCCGAGGACUUCAUCUCCUUGCCUUUGACUGGGCAUCCCUGACGCCCUACAUGUUUUCGCAGGGCGCCGCCGACGUUCCGUGCACUCUCCUCCACUUCGUGAACAACGAGUUGGUCGAUGUCGCCAAGGGCAAAAUCGUUCAACCGGGCAACCCCUUGUUCCACGGUACCCAGAUGCCACCCAACUUGUUUAGGGUUCAACUGGUUCGGGUGCUGCCAGGCUGCGACGACUUGUUACCUCCGAUUCGACCCGUCGGGGCCGACGAUGAUGACGUGAUGACCCUCAGCGCCUGCCUGAGCUGGCCCCUGCUUUGGCCGAAGAGCCAGAUUCGUUUGGGGGCGGGGGACACCACCCCAAAGACAACACCGCUAGUCGUGCCGGCGCCAAGUCGGCCCCAUGGCAAGACCGCCGUAACGGUGCCGGACAUCCCUAUGCCACUGGAUCCAAACAUGCAUAUGGCACAGGAUCAGAACGAUGACGACGACGACGAUGAUACAUUUGGCAACGUCGAUCAGUACUUUGCCGAGCAUGGGUACGAUGGCGACUUCAUGGGGCCUCCUUCUCAAGAACCAAACCCAACAAAAGACGUGUGCGAUCUAGCUCGUACCGCGGAGAAGCCAAGUUGCAACAGGCGCCGUCUGGCGUUCAGCUCUCAGGAGACGCCUCCAGCUGCCGACUUCACCGAGCCUCAGAUAGGCGAGGUGCAAAAUAUUAUCAGCCCCAACACACUCAAGAAGGCGGUCUGUGAGCAGAACUCGGUCCCAUUACAGGAGAAGAAGAAGGCACGCAAAAGAAAGACUAAGAAGGGUGCGAGCCAGCCGGCACCGAGUACGAUCCGUGCUCAGGAUGGGCCACCUUCACCGCAGGAUAUCUCGAGGAGGGUGCAUGUGGCGGGUAGGGCGAUGCUACCACCAAAUAUGCUCAAUGCUGCAACCGGUGCUAUGCGGAGUCUGCACGACAGUGUUCUUUCUUUGGAGAAGCGGCGUCUCAAAGAGAAGGAUGUGGCAUACCCGGUUUUCGUGGCCAAGGUGCCAGAGGGCAAGGGCUUUGUGGAUGGCGACAUCGGGGGUACGAUCGUCCUGCGGUUUGAUGACAUCUUUGCUAUGUUUAACCUUCAUCCGCUGCACUACACCUUCGUUCGGCUAUUUUCGCUGAGUAUGGAGAUGCGGAUCAUUCGCGACAAGACCCCGGACAUCGUGAUAGUCGACCCCUUCUACAUGCGUGCCAAGAUCUUGGGCAGCGCUGGGGACCGGCAAGUCGCGAGUUCUUACCUCGAAGGCGUCAUUCUGGCAAACCAAGAUAAGGAUAACUUCCUCGUGCCUUACUUUCCCGAGUAAGUCCUCCCCUCAACCGGCCUGUAACAUAUGAAUUCUUACUUUUCGAUCGUUUUUCUUUUAACAUUCCGUGUUUUCUGCAGUGACACACGUUGCACGCUCAUCCUCCUAAGCCCCAAAUAUUCCAUGGCCACGCAUUUCGACCCGGACCGUCAGUCGAACGUAGACUACACAAAUGUCAAGAAGGUUCUUGAUGAUGUUCUCCCCGGCUACGCCCAAUCUGGAGGCACCUUCACCAGGCCUAUUCGUAAGUACGGCAAGCACGUGUUCUCCCACAAUACGACGUUCUGCUGCGUCAAGCAGCCGCCUGGCAGUCAGAAGGGUGCCUACUACGCCAUCCAUCACAUGCGGGCGAUCGUACGGGACCAUCAUCAACUUCUGCUACCGAGUAAACUCCAAGAUUGGGCCGCGAGCGUGUCGGCAAUCCAGGACGCGGACCUCCGACAAGAAUUCUUUCGCAUCCAGUCGGAGUUUGCGGAAAUCAUCCAUCAAGAUGUCCUUCGUACCUCGGGGCAGUUCUACCUCAGAAAUCAACCGUCCAACAGUGACAUCGACACAAUGCUACAAAUGCAGGAUGACAACGCCCGUUCUUUCAUGACUCCCACGAUAGACGGCGGCUUCAUCCACGCUCCGGUCCCUUGAGUCGAGUUGUCUAGUUCUGAAACAUCGAUUGGCUCAUGUUGUAAUUAAACUUUAAUGAACUUGUAGUAUGUCUCUUUGGUUUCGAGAGUCGUUCAACUUAGAUGUAAUCGAUGCUAUUAAUGUCUUGCUUUUCUCUUCCGAUAGUUCUGUUGCAUAAUUAUAUAUUGCUUAUGUAUUGUCUGUGAAUUGGUACUAACGUUUCGUUUGGCUAGUGCAUAGCGAUGCCGACGUAUGUCGUGUACAAGGGUAAGGUUCCCGGAGUCUACGAUGACUGGGAGGAGUGUCGGAGACAGGUUCACCGAUUCAGCGGUAACAGUUACAAAGGGUACACCACUAGGGCCGAGGCCGAAUCUAGAUACGCCCGCUAUCUAGCGGGAGAGGGGAGGGAGCGUUGGAGGAACCGGAUGAAGACGAGUUUCAUCGUGAUGAUGCUCAUCGUGAUGACCGCAGCUCUCUUCUAUGUGAUGGUAGUUUAGAUGAUCGAUAUCGACUUGUAAUGCGAAGACAAACUCGCUACUCGCGGUCUCGAGACUUGUAAUAUAAUGUUCUAUCUUUGUUCGGUCUUUUUAAUUCGGAGACUAAUAUGAUGAAUUGUAUUCGGAGACUAAUAUGAUGAAUUGUAUUCAAAGACUAAUCUUCUAUUGUAUUUGAUGAAUCUAUUAUUGAUGUGUGCUGUCUAUAUUUUGUCAAAUUAUACAUUUUGUAACCUGUGCAAAAAACAGAAAAUAAAAAAAUAAAAAAAAACCUAAUAUUCAUACUAAUGGCGCAUCAAACGACAGUGCGCCAUUAGUAUGACAGUGCAUACUAAUGGCGCAUCACCGGGUAGUGCGCCAUUAGUAUGCUGCGGUUACUAAUGGCGCAUCCAGAGGUGGUGCACCAUUAGUAUGCCAAAGCACCUGGGUAUACAUGCCCCCUGGGAGGCAUACUAAUGGCGCACCCUCGCAUAUACUAAUGGCGCACCAGGUGGUGCGCCAUUAGUAUACCAGAUACUAAUGGCGCACCAGGUGGUGCGCCAUUAGUAAAAAUUACUAAUGGCGUGCUAUCAAUGGCGCACCAGUGAUGCGCCAUUAAUGGCCAUAUUAGGUGCGCCAUUAGUAGUGGUAUUUCUAGUAGUGAAGCCCAAAGUGCAUCAUCUAAUUUCUUAGUGUUGGAGAUAUGCCCUAGAGGCAAUCAUGUAUGAUGAUAUUUCCUAUGUGUUUAUGAAUAAAGAUAGUCCUUGGACAUUAUCAAUGAUGUGUAUCAGCAAGUACGUGACUUGUUUGUGGGACUAUGCAUUAUAUGAUGACUGUCCUAAAAGGUCCCUAGUUGAAAGGGUUGUGUGGACGCGCAGCCGACUAGACUAGCGUAUGACACGGUCGAUGGCUUAGUCUCACUAGCCAUGGAACAUUGGAUGCUAACCGGAUAAUAUGGACUUGGAAAGGUCUGGUCAAAUUCAACAUAGUCGGAUCCGAGUCGAGAUAAGAUCAGAGUCGGAUAGACCCAACUAUGAGACACAGCGAUAUGUCAUCUGUGAGUCUCUAGUACAACAUACGUUCUAUGUCCUAAGACCUGAGCUGACGCAUGUACUCGGGAUGGUGACAGACUUUCUUUGGGCCGACCAAAUGCUACUCCAUGACUGGGUAGUUACGGAGGUAGGUUUCGGGUUUGUCCAGUACCAUGUUGAGAGACAUGGUCGAGCAAGAUGGAAUUUGCCCCUCCGAUCAGGAGAGAUAUACUCUGGACCCCUCAUGUGAUCCGACCAGGAAAAGCAUGGCCAUGCGACAAGGAUUAUGAGAUAAUCCGGAUAGUGGUCGGUAUCACUGGAACGAGAAAGAGGUCGGGCUAGCACAAGGAUGACAGUCUCACCUUGAGCCCGACAACAUAUAUCGUGAGGCAAAGGGAACAGAAGUGUGACAUGUUGUACAGGUUCGCCUAACCAGCUUCAUAGUCUGCUUGGUGUUCGGCAUGCCUUGCUAGAGGCCGCUACCAACCAUGAAGUUCGGAGGUGAUCCGAACUACGACCAAGCUGACUUGAACCUAAGGGGUCGCGCGCUUAAGGGAAGGAACCUACGAGGUCGGAUCCGAAGACACUGGUCGGAUGUGAUCCGAGCUGUAUUCGGAUUGUGCCCGAGUAGACUUGUGGGCUUUAGGGUCCGUGCGAGGCCCAAGUGUUGAGCCCGUGCCGGACGCCUAUAUAAAGUGGAGGUGCACCACACUCAUGCGGUUGAUCUCUUUGGCACUACGACUAGGGUUUGCAUGUGUUGCGAAUAGCCACCUCCACUCGCCGCCGACUGUGUGAUCGGACCUAGCAGUCCGCCGCACGGUGUUCCUCCUGCAUGCGCGAUACCGUUAGAGGCGGUGCACUUGCGUCGCUCCGGCGAACUUGUACGUGGGAUCGGACGACCGACUGUUCGAGGGAGAUCAGACGAGGAGGAGAUGAUCCACGCGGACACGCUGCCCCAACUCUUCUUCCGCUGCAUGACACUGCGCGUCUAGUGGUAACGAACUAUGAUCCAUCUCCUGUAGCAUGUUCUUGGUUGUUCUACGCGUAGGAAAAUUUUAAUUUGCAGUCGGCGCACCCUACCGUAGAUCCCAACACUUAGACCAAUUCUUCCGGGACCUAUUGAUGGUCUUUUGUAAAAUUAAUUUUAUUUCUCUAAUGCUAAGUUCAACUUGACCACUAGACUGAGGAUGAUAGGGUGAUGCAAUUCUAUGGUUAACAUCGUACUUGGCAAGCAUUUUGUGGAAAGCACCAUGAAUAACGUGUGAACCACCAUCAAUCAUUAAAUAUCUAGGGACUCCAAACCUUGGGAAAAUAACUUCCUUAAGCAUUUUAAUAGAGGUUUUGUGAUCAGCACUACUAGUUGGAAUAGCUUCUACCCAUUUAGUAACAUAAUCAAUAGCAACCAAAAUAUGUAUAUAACCAUUAGAGGAAGGAAAAGGUCCCAUGUAAUAAAAUCCUCAAACAUCAAAUGGUUCAACGGCAAGUGAAUAAUUCGUAGGCAUUUCUUGACGCUUACCUAUAUUACCUAUUCUUUGGCAUUCAUCACAAGAUAAGACGAUGCAUCCUUCAAGAGAGUAGGCUAAUAAAAUCCAUAUUGCAAUACCUUGUGAGCAGUUCUAUCUCCAGCAUGAUGCCCUCCAUAAGUUUCAGAGUGACAUUUCCGUAGGAUUUGUCCCUGUUCAAGCUCAGGUACACAACGUCUAAUAAUACCAUCUACUCAUUCUUUAUAAAUAUGUGGGUCAUCCCAAAAGUAGUGUCUUAAAUCAUAGAAGAAUUUUUUGUUUUGUUGGUAUGUAAAUCUAGGUGGUAAAUAUUUAGCAACAAUGUAAUUAGCAUAGUCAGCAUACCAAGGAGUAUUAUUAGAAACAUUUAUUGCAGCUAACUACUCAUCAGUAAAACUAUCAUCAAUAGGUAGUGGGUCAUCAAGCACAUUUUCAAGCCUAGACAAGUUAUCAGCUACGGGCUUCUCAGCUCGUUUUCUAUCAAUGAUAUGUAAAUCAAAUUCUUUAGCAAGAGAACCCAUCGAAUAAGUCUAGAUUUAGCAUCUUUCUUUUCCAUAAGAUAUUUAAUAGCAGCAUGGUCGGUGUGAAUGAUAAAUUUAGAGUCAACAGUGUAAGAUAUAAAUUUAUCACAAGCAAACACCACUGCUAGGGAUUCUUUUUCAAUAGUUGCAUAAUUCCGUUGUGCACCGUCUAGAGUUUUACUAGCAUAAUGAAUAACAUUCAGUUUCUUAUCAACUCUUUGUCCUAGAACAACACCAAUAGCAUAAUCACUAGCAUCACACAUAAUUUCAAAAGGCAAGUUCCAAUCAGGUGGUUGAAUAAUAGGUGCAGAAAUUAAGGCUUUCUUGAGUGUUUCAAAGGCUUCUAAACAAUCAUCAUCAAAAACAAAAGGAACAUCCUUUUGCAAAAGAUUUGUAAGAGGCCUAUAAAUUUUAUAAAAGUCUUUGAUAAAUCUCCUAUAGAAACCAGCAUGACCUAAGAAACUACGAAUACCUUUGAUAUCUUUAAGACAUGGCAUUUUCUCAAUUGCAUCAACCUUAGCUUUGUCCACUUCAAUACCUCUUUCAGAAAUUUUAUGCCCCAAAACAAUACCUUCAUUAACCAUAAAGUGGCACUUCUCCCAAUUCAAGACAGGAUUUGUUUGCUUGCAUCUCUACAAAACUCGAUCAAGAUUGCUUAUACAAUCAUCAAAAUACUUCCCAUAAACAGAGAAGUCAUCCAUGAAAACCUCAACAAUCUUUUCACAAAAGUCAGAGAAUAUGGCAGUUGGACAUCUUUGAAAGGUAGUAGGUGCAUUGCAUAAACCGAAAGGCAUAUGUCUAUAAGCAUAAGUUCCAAAGGGACAAGUAAAAGUGGUCUUUUCUUGAUUAGGUUGAGAAACACGUAUUUGUGAAAAACCAGAAUAUCCAUCAAGGAAGCAAAAAUGUGUGUGCUUAGAUAAUAUUUCUAACAUUUGAUCAAUAAAAGGCAGAGGGUAAUGAUCUUUUCUAGUUGCUUUGUUUAAUUUUCUAAAAUCAAUUACCAUUCUAUAGUCUGUAACAAUUCUUUGUGGAAUAAGUUCAUUCUUAUCAUUAGGAAAAACAGUAAUACCUCCUUUCUUAGAGACACAAUGAACAGGACUUACCCAUCUACUAUCAGUUAUAGGAUAGAUUAUACCUGCUUUCAGAAGUUUUAAGAUUUCCGUUCUCACCACUUCUUCAUUUUCAGAUUUAACUAACGUUGGUGAUCAACAACGGGUUUAGCAUCAGGUUCCAUAUUAAUCUUGUGCUAACAUAGAGUGGGACUAAUGCCCUUUAAAUCAUCAAGAGUAUAUCCAAUAGCAGCUUGGUGCUUCCUUAGAACUUUCAAUAAUCUUUCUUCUUCAUGUUCUGAAAGGUUAGCACUAAUAAUAACAGGAUAUAUCUUCUUUUCAUCAAGAUAAGCAUAUUUCAAAGUGUCUGGCAAUUGUUUUAAUUCAAACACAGGAUCACCUUUAGGUGGAGGAGGACCUCCUAGAGUUUCAAUAGGUAAAUUGUGUUUAAGCAGAGGACGUUGUUCAAAGAAAAUCUUAUCUAUUUCAUUUCUCUCAUGCAUAUGUAAAUCAUUUUCAUGGUCUAGCAAAUAUUGUUCUAAAGGAUCAGUAGGAGUCACAACAAUAGAAGCAAGACCAAUUAUUUCAUCCUUACUAGGAAAUUCUUUUUCAUGAAGCUUUCUAUUAAACUUGGAAAAAUUAAACUCAUGAGACUCAUCACCAAAGCUAACACCGACAGUUUGUUUUUUACAAUCUAUUUCAGCAUUAACGAUGUUCAAGAAAGGUCUACCAAAGAUAAUGGGAAAAAAGUCAUCUUGUGGGGAACCAAGAACAAGGAAAUCAGUAGAGUAUUUUAUUUUCCCACACAAGACUUCAACGUCUCUAUCAAUCCCAAUUGGUGAUAUAGUUUCUCUAUUAGCAAGUUUAAUAGUAACAUCUAUGUCUUCUAUCUCUACGGGUGCUAUGUCAUUCAUAAUUUCUUGAUAUAAGGAAUAAGGAAUAGCACUCACACUAGCACCUAUGUCACAUAAACCAUGAUAACAGUGAUCUCCUAUUUUAACUGAGACGAUAGGCAUGCCAACAACAGGUCUAUGAUUAUCCUUUUUAUCAGGUUUGGCAAUUCUAGCAGCUUCUUCACAGAAGUAUAUAACAUGCCCAUCUACGUUUUCUUCCAGGAGGUCCUUAAUCAUAGCAAUACUAGGUUCUACUUUAAUUUGUUCAUCGGGUUUAGGUGUUCUAAUAUAACUUUUGUUAACCACAGUUGAAACUUUAGCAUGUUCCUUUAUCCUAAGAGGGAGAGGUGGCUUCUCAAUAUAAGUAGUAGGAACAACUGGAUCAACAUUAUAAAUUAUGGUGUCCUCUUUAAUUGGUACCGGUUCUUUAAUUUCUUCUUUAAUAGGUGGGUGAUAUUUGAACCACUUCUCCUUAGGGACAUCACCAUGAGUAGCAAAUGAUUCACAAAAGGAGGCUACUAUCUCAGAGUCAAGUCCAUAUUUAGUGCUAAACUUUUGAAAAGGUUCGGUAUUCAUAAAAGAUUUAACACAAUCAUACUUAAGCUUAAUACCUGACUCUUUACCUUCAUCGAGUUCCCAAUCUUCAGAGUUGCGUCUAAUUCUUUCCAAAAGAUCCCACAGGAAUUCAAUAGUCUUCUUCACAAAACAACCAGUACAAGAAGUAUCAAGCAUGGAUUGAUCAUCACAAGAAAGCCGAGCAUAAAAGUUUUGGAUAAUAAUUUCUCUUGAGAGCUCAUGGUUGGGGCAUGAAUAUAACAUUGACUUAAGCCUCCCCCAAGCUAAAGUGAUACUUUCUCCUUCACGAGGCCAAAAAUUAUAUAUAUAAUUCCGAUCACGAUGAACUAGAUUUUUAGGAUAAUUUUUUUUGGUGAAACUCCAAUUUCAAUCGAUUCCAAUUCCAAGAUCAAAUAUCAUCGCAUAGCCUAUACCAUGCCAAUGCUUUUACCUUCAAAGAUAAAGGGAAAACUUUUUCAUAACUUCAUCUUCGGGUAAACCUGCAAGCUUAAACAAUCCACAAAUUUGUUUCACAUAUAUCAAGUGCAUAUCAGGAUGUUCGGUUCCAUCUCCUACAUAAGGAUUAGCUAGCAGUUGUUCUAUCAUACCCGAAGGAGUUUCAUAUUCAAUAUGUUUGGUAGGUAUAGUAGGUUGAGGUGUAGAUAAUUGUGGUUCCGGUCGAGGUGAAGAUACCCCGAACAAACCCCUCAAAGGAUUGUUUUCCAUAGUAACAAGUGACAAUAAAUUUCAGCAUACUAUAUGAAUGUUUCCUUACCAAAUUCCACUUACCAAAGGCGCUUCACUCCCCGACAACGGCGCCAGAAAAUAGCCUUGAUGACAAGAAGUAUAGGGGAUCAAUUGUAGCUUUUUUCGAUAAGUAAGAGUGUCGAACUCAACGAGGAGCAGAAAGAAAUGACAAGUGGUUUUUAGCAAUGUAAUGUCUGAAAGUGCUGAAAUUGUAAGUAGCAGAGUAGUUUCAUAGCAAGAUAAUUUGUAACGAGCAAGUAACAAUAGUAGUAAAAAAAGUGCAGCAAGGUAACCCAAUCCUUUUGAGGCAAAGGACAGGCCAAAACGGUCUCUUAUAAUAAGCAAAGCGUUCUUGAGGGUACACGGGAAUUUUAUCUAGUCACUUUUCACCAUGUUGAUUCGAAUUAUGUUCGCUACUUUGAUAAUUUGAUAUGUGGGUGGACUGGUGCUUAGGUGUUGUUCUUACUUGAACAAGCCUUCUACUUAUGGUUAACCCUCUCGCAAGCAUUCACAACUACGAGAAAAGUAUUAAGAAUAAAUUCUAACCAUAGCAUUAAACUUUUGGAUCCGGUCGGUCCCUUAUGGAAUAGCGCAUAAACUGGGGUUUAAGCUCCUGUCACUCUCGCAACCCAUCAUCUACUUACUACUCCACAAUGCAGUCCCUUAGGCCCAAAUAUGGUGAAGUGUCAUGUAGUCGACGUUCACAUGACACCACUAAGGGAAUCACAACAUACAUACUAUCAAAAUAUCGAACACAUAUCAAGUUCACAUGAUUACUCGCAACAUGAUUUCCCCCGUGACCUCAAGAACAAAAGUAACUACUCACAAAUGAUAAUCAUGCUCAAUAUCAGAGGGGUAUUAAAUAGCAUAUUGGAUCUGAACAUAUAAUAUUCCACCAAAUAAACCAUAUAGUAAUCAAGUAUAUGAUGUAACCAACACUACUAGUCACCCACAAGCACCAAUCUAUAGUUCUGGUAACAAGAUUGAACACAAGAGAUGAACUAGGGUUUGAGAUGAGAUGGUGAUGUUGAAGAUGUUGCUGGAGAUUGCCCUCCCCAAGAUGGAAGAGUUAUUGGUGAUGAUGAUGACGAUGAUUUCCCCCUCUAGGUGGGAAGUUCCCCCGACGGAAUCGCUCCACCGGAGGGCAAAAGUGCUCCUGCCCAAGUUCCACCUCGAGACGGUGGCGCUCCGUCCCGAAAAUCCUCUCCUUAUUUUUUCUAGGUCAAAAUGACCUAUAUACCAGAAGAUGGGCACUAGAGGUGGGCCUGGGUGAGCACAACCCACCAGGGCGCGCCCAGGUGGGUUGUGCCCACCUGGUGGGGCCCCUCUGGUACUUAUUUGCUUCAAUAUUCAUCAUAUAUUUCAUAAAAAUUCUCCAUAAAGUUUUAGCUUGUUUGGAGUUGUGCAGAAUAGGUAGCCCGACGUAGCUUUUCCAGGUCCAGAUUUCCAGCUGCCGGAAUUCUCCCUCUUUGUGUGUACCUUGCAUAUUAUGAGAGAAAUGGCAUUAGAAUUACCCCAAAAAGCAUUAUUAUGCAUAAAAACAUCAUAAAUAACAGUAGAAAAACAUGAUGCAAAAUGUACGUAUCAGUUGUCUUGCUUCUCGCAGCGGCCGCCAUUUUCGUUGUGCCGUCCUUGUGCAUGGCCUCGUUAAUAGCGAUGGCGGGCGGCUGCUGGUACACCAGCAUUGGCAGUAGUGCUGGUGCCGACCAGUGGACGUGCCCAUGGUUCCCUCUGCCAUAGUCGUUUCGUUUGCGUCCGAAGCACAUGUAUUGUAAUCUCCCUGUUAAGUGUAGUCGUUAACUCCUAAUCACCAUGCAUGUAUGCAACCAAACACCGUGUGAAAAUUACUUUCACGAUGGCAAGACCCGUAUGCAUGCAACGAAACUACUUGACAACAUCGUUUUUUGCCUCGUUUUUUCUUAGCCAAGCCCUGCUCAGCCUGACUCGUUUUUCCUCGUUCCAACUAGGCCUUGCUCAGAAAGUAAUCAAACAUGCCCUAACUUUGAUGCUUCUUUUGAUUCAAGACCAUCUAAAAGGAACCAAUGGAGUUGUUAUCCAUGACAAUAAAGAAAAGUUUUUUUAAACGGAGGCAAAAGAUUUGCCUCACCGAUUAAUUAAAGCUGAAGAUAUUUGCCUAGUUAAUUAAAAGAAAACCGAACGAAAAUUGAUACAAACAAACCACAUGCGGGCUACUCAUAGAGCAUGCAACCCAGUAAGCACAUGGUCAAUCUGACAACCAUACCCAACACGCAAUGAGCACCACCCCCCAUAUUUCCACAACACAAAGAAACCCCCAACGAGAGAACCUCGGCCGAAGACCACAUACACCGCCAAAUCCAGAAAGGUAGGCCAUGCCAUAAGGACAACCCAAAAGACUUAUGACCAUCAAUCAAGCAAUUGCAGACGUCUUUUCUGUGGCGUCACUCUUCUUGCUUUUGCUUCUAAGAGCUUUCCCACAAUCCUCUUGCUGCCAGAUCCAGGGCUACCCACCUCCAAAUGUUUGAGCAAGCUAUGAAGCUCUAUCUCGAACAGAAUCACAGAAUCGCAUCAAUCUACAAGAAAGGAAAGCUCAUUGUUGCAAAGAAGAAAAAAUGGUAUGCGCAUGAGACUUGCGCGUCGAUUCAAUAUGACAGAAAAACUUGAAACUUUACAACGGCGCACCCGAGACCUAUGAGGACCCCACUCCCCAGGCACCACAUACCAUCGGUUACAUUGCAAGUUUACUACUCCCUAAAUCCAACCGUACCACGCCCAACUAGUUUGUGCCGCAGCGCGAACUGCCACACGCUCCACUCACCCCAGAUAAGCGACGCCAGACCGUUCCUAGUCAUAGCCAUGUUGUCGAACACUCUACGAUUCCUCUCCUUUCAGAUGGAAUGCAAGACUAGGAUGGUUAGGGCGUUCACCUCCCUCCUUGCUACCUCCUGCAGCACCUCGCUCGCCACCGUCCACCAAGCCACUAUUGUAGCUUGAGUCGUCGGUGUGAAGUUUUCCCAACCUUUAACCUCUAGCACAUCAAACCAAACAUACCGGUUCUUGCAAGCAUACCGGGCAACAUGGCUGGUGCGGCAACCCUCUUGCCGCAAGACGGUCCGAAGUCCAACAUUGUUGCAAAGAAUUCAAAUAUACUUUCUUCCUUUCUAAAUACUCUCUUUGUCCGAUAAAGCUUGUCCCAUGGUCUUUUUUCAGAAAAAAAAACAAGCGAAUUCCCGACAAGCCCCUUAACUUCCUGUCGUCUCCCCCGCUCCUCUCCCGCGCCGGAGCUCCCCUGCUCGGCUCCCCCGCGCGUAGCCGAAGCUCCUCCGCCCGACGCCUCCCCCACAGCUUCCCUCUCCUUGUCCCCUCCCCCUUCCUCAUGGUGAUCCAAGGCGAGGAGAAGGCUCGAUUUUUCUUCCGACGGCGGCGGCCUUCUCUGAGUUCGAUUCUCUCCAAACCCUCGUCCUCGGCGCCAUGGCGGCGGCGGCCGUUUCCGGGUCGUCCUCCUCCUCGGUGCUUCGGUAGCAGCUCGCCCGCGGCGGCGGCAGGAGCGAGCAGCAGCAGUGGCCGCGCGAGUAUGCAGCGAAGGAGGUCACCUUUGGCGUCGGCGCGCACGCCGCCAUGCUGCGCCGGAAGCCCUGUCUCGCAUGCGUGGUCGGUGUUGCAACAGCCGCUUCUCCUUUGCCAUGGGUGAUUUUUUGCUAUGCUAGUCGUCCCCCCCCCCUUCUAUUUUCCCAUGUUUCUUCUGCUUUAGUUUCCCAUGUGUUCUUGUCAGUCUCUUAGGUGAUGUAAUGUGGGUUUGAUUUUGCUGGUGCUUGCAGAUUUCUUCAGGGGUCGGAGGCCAACCACCACAUGGCAAUAGUCUGAAGACUGCAUUUGAAAUAUGCCUUCAACAUAGUUAACUACCUUGCUAAACUUGUCAUGUUGUGUGUAGAUACUGCCCCCGUGCUUGGCAAACUUGUCAUGAGGCAUCCUUUUGUUGCCUUUCCUACUGUUGACAAGACCAGGGUGACCAUCAGGGAGCAGAAGGAGGUCACCGUCCAGCUAAUUAACUACACCAAGAGCGGUAAUUAAUUUUGCAUCAUCUAGUGACAGAUUCCUCAACUCACAUUUUAGUUCUGCUCCCUGCCCUCUAGGCCCUCCAGUUUCUUAUCAUAUCUGCUUUUGUUUGUGAUGGAUCAGGGAAGAAGUUCUGGAACUUGUUUUACCUGCAGCCUAUGUGGGUUCAGAAGGUAGCGAAAUGUUAUUGAAAUGCUGAAUUUGUUUUGGAGCUUGCAGGUACAGUUACAUGGAUAUUACUCUUCAUGAUUUAUACUCAGACAUCAAUGAUCAAUGAUUAAUGAUUUAUACUCCAGCAAUUCCAGGAAUGACUUUAGGAUAUUGCUCUAGAUUAGGAGUUUUAAAUGGAGUACUCCAUCAGAUUAGGAUACUACUCUAGAUUAGUGUAGCCACUAUCUAACAAUUUUUUUCAGAACUGAAUUUCAGAGUACUCUAAAUGAUGUGUGCCCUAGCAUUUUUGUGUUCCCUGGCAUUUCUGUAGCAUUCAGUACCAUGACAAUUUUAACAUGUUGAGAAAAUUUCAGUAACAUGAAUUUGAAAUUGAGUACUCAGUGUAAGGAUUAAAUGCACACAAUUUGGGUAUUAGCUUCCCAUUCAACAUUGCGGAAAUUUCAAAUAUGCUAAGUAUCAUUGCUAGUGGUUGGCUGACCAGAGAAGAGAAGACAGUUUAUUUGGCAUGGUUCAGACUAGUAAUUUGUGUUCAAGAAUCUUCCUGUUCUCCCAUUGUUACCAAGCAUGAUCUUGCUUGCAUUGCCGCCUUUGCUACAUGAAGCAAUAGGGUAGGUUCAGUUUCGCUGAAUUUUUGAAACUAUACAUCAUUUGCUGAAUUUUUGCUCAACAUCACUUGCUCCUUGUAAAUUAUUGCAUAUAUAAUUUUUGAAACUAUAGGUGAACCUCUUCAGCAAACAUAAAACAGUUAACUGAAACUGUCUAAAACAGUUAAGUCCACUUGAUGCUUAGCUAAUGCAGGCCAACAGAAUGAAAUGAACUACGAAUUUGUUCUCUGAAAUAGUACAUGCUUUCUCUAGACUGAGUUUCCUGCCUUUUCCAACUGAAACUCAGUCAGCCCUGGCUAAUAAUUAUCUUGCUCACUGACCCAACAACAUCUCAGACUUUGAAGACAUGAGCUGCGAAAUGAUAUAUGGUCAGGUGCCCCCACCAGUGGAAGAAGAUCCAGUGUCGAAACAACCCUGCUAUCCCAGCCUCUGUGAGUGCGCCCAAAUUUGGCAACACUUUACAAGUACUGAACCCAUCUAGCGCUGAACUUGCACUAACAUGCAUCACCUGUCACAAAUUUGUUGUGCUGCUACAAUUUUUCAGGUUCCAUAUCGACGCCCUCCGCUGCAAUAUGUCCCAAAAUUCAGAACUAGUCUUCUGCAAGCGCUCACAAGGGUUUUGAUACAAAAUUGUGCAUGGUGCCAUGGUAUCGGAUAGGCCAGAAUUUCAACAGGGACAAUAGAUAAUGCAUCGGUAAAUUUCUGAAACUUGGGGAUGCAUCACUGGGACAAUAUACAGUCACUAUAGAGAAUAAUUUCAUUACAGAGUAAAUUCACUAUACAAUGAUGCUGCCAUGAUGCUGUAAUUAACAUCAGUUCCACAUCAAUUUGGCCAUAUGACAAGGAUUUCAGGGCAGGGGCGCCGGUACCUUUCACGAGUAGCAGAGCCGGAGUCGUCUGGACGAAGAAGUAGAAGAUCGGGGGCUGCCUGUACGAAGAUCGGGAGCUGCACCACCACUAACAGAAGCAGCAGAGUCAGAGGAAGACGGCAACAGCAGAAGAGGACGGAGUGGCGGAAUACAGCGCGCCGUCAGCCGUGGAGCCGCCGCCCGUCGAGGUGCGCGCAGGUAAGCAGGGGCGGCGCAAAUUGGCAGCCGCGGCUCAGGUGGGCCUUCGUCGCCGGCUGAACACCACGGUGGCUGGGGCGUGCGGUGCAGCGGCGAGGGAGGUGGAAGAAGCAGACGGUUGCUUCGAGUUGGAUUAGGAGCCGGGAAAGGAAAGAGUUGCAGUGUUGCCCGGCGAGGGUCUCAAACUCUCAAUUCAUGCUUAAUUAAGCUUUGGCGCGAAGCUUCAAAUGCACGCAAGCAAAUCCGAUUUUCUCACGGAUCACAUCACAUACGCAUCCACGGUUUGGAAUCGGCCUGAGCUCAUCAAUAAAAGGGAAGGCAGCCAACCUGCUGCCUUUGCCCUCGCCUCGCUCUGACUUCUCUUCUCGCACUUCCGAUCUUCCCCAUCGUCUCCUUCACCAAUCACCAGCCCUUACCCAGCGAAGCGACCGGCGUCCCCUGUUCCCUUCCCAUGGAGAUUGCCUACCCCUACGGCGGGGAGCUCACCAGGAAGCACGGCUCCGUGACAGGCCAGCCGUUUGCCGCCAAGAUCGACAUCAUGUCCGGCCAGAAGCGCGCGAGGGAGAUGCAGAUCCUUCGGCAGCGGUUCCAAGCAGAGCUCGUCGCCGUCCGUGGCCUCCUCCACAAGGCGGCCGCCGUGCUAAUUCCCGCCUCGUCCCCGUUGGCUCCCCGCGUUAAGGAGAGUCGUCCAGGGUUCUUGGCCGAGGAGCCGCCGGCCAAGAAGAGGAAGGCGUCUCCUCCCGUUCCUGUGAUCAAUCGCAAGAAGGCGCCAACGAAGAAGAAGAUGACGGCCUCUGAGAGGGAGAUGCUCGCGGAAGACCUGGAGCUGUUCGUUGCGGAAAUCCCCGAUCACAUCGUCCAGCUCUUGCAGAAGCACAGCUGCGCCACCCGCCCCGGCGAAAUCGAGAUGGACCUCCACGCGUUGGACGACGCUGCUGCUGUCGAGUUACAGGAGCAGGUUGACAAGUUCGCUCGAGAGAGGAGGUCGGCGAAUCCGUCGCCCCAAGAACGCCACCAAGACGGCCCUGAGGCGAUGAACGAAGAGGAGGACGAAGAAGUUGACAUCUGUGGCGGCGUCUCCCCCUUGGUGAUCGUGCCGCAACCUCUGCUGCAAGAACGCCACCAAGACGGCCCUGAGGUGAUGGCCGAAGAGGAAGAGGAGGAAGAAGUUGACAUCUGCGGUGGCGUCUCCCCAUUACCGAUCGUGCCGGCACCUCUGCUGCUCGUCGAAGAUGAAACAGCCAGCGGCAGCCCAAGCUCCAGCAGCAGCAGCAGCAGUUCAGAUACUGAUUCCAGCGACAGCGAUUCAGACACUGAUUCCGGCAGCAGCGACUCGGGUUCAGAGCACUCCGGCGGCAGUGACUCAGAUUCUGAUUCUGACGAGAUCGUCGACAGUCCAGCACCGGCCAUCACGCCUCCAACAUGUGAGCAGCUCGCCCGUGCUCUGGAAAGGCAGCGAAAGGAGGCCACGUCCCGGGCGAGGGAGAAGGCCCGUCAGGAGCUGCUCCACAUGGAGAAGACGGCAAUGCCCGACGAUACCCUACACCGAGAGGAUCUGAAGAGGCUCGGCAUUGAUGAGUACAACACGGCGAAGCCCAGCAACUUGUUGCGGCAGAUUGGGCUCUACCUCAAGGUUGACGAAGACUGGAAGCAGCAACGCCGUCAAAGCUUCCACGAGGAUUUAGAGGAAGGCGAGAUUCGGUCGUGAUCGUCGUUGCUAGCAAGGUCCUAUAACAAGUGAUGCUGUUGCUGAUGGCUUGAUGCCUCACACAAAACUUGUAGCUCUCUUUUGUAGAUUGUAUGUGUGCUGAACAUGAUUGGAUAUACGAAAGUACAUGAUCAAUUACACUGAGUAUCAAUUAAAUUAGUGAUAUCUUCUUUGUACACAUGUUUAACAGAUAUGUCCAUUUCUAAUAUCAAUCAUAUUGAAUAUUUAACAUGAACCGCAAGCAUAUAUAAUAAUGACAUAUAAGGACCAAUAAAUUUAGAAAAAAAUUGAGAAUAGGACCACGAAAUUUCAAUCAAGCCACAUAUAUAAAAGAGAGUUUUUAUAACUCGGAGGCUCAGUAUUUCUGAAAAGACAUCUUCACAUACAUAUGGAGAUUAAUAUCACGAUGUAUGAUUGAUGCCUCAAGACCCUGAAUGAUAGCAUCACCUUAUACGUUCAAUAUACAAAAAAGAUACAUAUCAAGGAGGUUUGUUCCUUGUUUCAAAAAAAAGGAGGCUUGUUCCAGUGGCACCGAGAUUCGAGCCUUUUCAGUUUUCGUUUUGUGCCUGAAUUUCCUACUAAUGGAUAUGCUAACUAGCUCCUCCUUGACAUUCUCAUUCUUUAUACAACCCGCUUGCACCAUUCUCAUUCCCAACUGCGAACUAUACAGUUCUUCAGUUAAGCAUCCAACAACCUUCAGCUUA